UUGAGAGAGGUAUUAGUCAACGGGCCUACAACAUUCAGACACGUGUGUACUUUACAAAUCUCUAUGUCAUACUGUAGAUGGUGCUACCACGCUUAACUUGGAAAAAUUCCAAAUGAUAGCUCCACUAUAUGACUCCGGUUUGCUACUCAGAGUCAUCCGGAUUGGUGUCAAAGCUUGCAUCGACCUAACCCUUUACGUGAAACGCUUUUAUCACCUCCAUAAUCAAUAAACAUUUCCUUAGUCCUCUAGUUACUAAGGAUUAUUUUGACCGCUGCCAGUGAUCCACUCCAGGAUCACUCUUGUACCCCUUAAGGCACACGCCAGGUGCGGUAGACAACAUGGCAUAUUAUAGAGCCUACGGCUAAGGCUUAGGGGACGACCUUCGUCCUUUCUCUUGCUUCUGUCGUGGUCGGGCUUUGAGUCUUACUCAAAUUCACACCUUACAAUAUAGGCAAGAACUCCUUCUUUGUCUGAUCCAUUUUGAACUUCUUUGAGUCUUUCUCUUUCUUGUGUAGAUCUUGAUGCCCAAUGUUCAAGUAGCUUAAUCCAAGUUUUUUUCCUUUGAAAAAUUCCUUUCAAACAACGCUAUAUGCUUUUCUAGAAAUUCUACAUCAUUUUCGAUCAACUAUAUGUCAACCACAUGUACUUAUCAGAAAUUCUAUAGUGCUCCCACUCACUUUAUUGUAAAUACAAGUUUAUUCAUAAACUCUGCAUAAACCAAAAGCAUUGAUCACUCAUCAAAGCACUUAUUCCAAUUUCGAGAUGCUUGCACGAGUCCAUAUAUGGAUCACUAGAGCUCACAUGCCUUUUAGCAUCCUUAGGAUCGACAAAACCUUCUGGUUGUAUCACAUACAACCUUUCCUCAAGGAAACUGUUAAGGAAACUUUGUUUUGACAGCCAUCUUCCAGAUUUCAUAAUCAAAAAAUGCAGCAACUGCUAACAUAAUCCCAACAGACUUUUAGCAUCGCUAUGAGUGAGAAAGUCUCAUCAUAGUCAACUCCUUGAACUUGUCGGAAACUUCUUUGAGACAAGUCGAGCUUUAUAAAUGGUGACAUUUCACCAUUAUCAUCUCUCUACUUCUUAAAGAUCCAUUUGUACUUAACGGCCUGUCGUUUAUCAGGUAAGUCUACCAAAGUCCAUACUUGGUUUCCAUACCUGAUCAUAUCUCGGAUUUCAUGGCUCCUAGCCAUUUGUUGGAAUCCGGGCCCACCAUCGCUUCCUCAUAGUUCGUAGGUUCUUUGUUGUCUAACAAAAUGACCUCCAAGACACGAUUGCCAUACCAAUCAUUGGCGGUACGAUUCCUUGUCAACCUAUGAAGCUCAGUAGUAACUUGAUGUGAAGUUUCAGGAUCGUCAUCAUUAGUUUCCUCUUCAUUUGGUGUAGGUGCCGGAAAAACAUCUUUCUACGUCGUGCUACCAUCCAACUGAAGUGACGGUUCAAUAAACUCAGAAAGGUCUACCUUCCUCCCACUCAAUUCUUUCGAGAGAAACACUUUCUCGAGACAGGACCCGUUUUUAGCAACAAACAAUUUUCCCUUGGAUCUGAGAUAGAAGGUAUACCAACUGUUUCCUUAGGGUAUCCUAUGAAGACACAUUUGUCCGCUUUGGGUUGGAGCUUAUUAGGUUCAAACAUUUUCACAUAAGCCUUGCAACCCCAAACUUUAAGAAACAACAGUUUAGGUUUCUUGCCAAACCAAAAUUCAUACGGUGUCAUCUCAACGGACUUUGAUGGUGCCCUAUUUAAAGUGAAUGCGGCAGUCUCUAAUGCAUAACCCCAAAAACAAUAAUGGCGAUUCACUAAGAGACAUCAUAGUACACACCAUAUCCAAUAUGGCACAACUACGACGUUUGGACACGCCAUCACACUAUGGUGUUCCAUGUGGCAUGUGUUGUGAAACAAUUUCCACAUUGUCUUAAAUGUAUAUGAAACUCGUAACUCGAAUAUUCACCUCUACGAUCACAUUGUAGACAUUUCAUCCUCUUGUCACGACGAUCCUCAACUUCACUCUGAAAUUGCUUGAACUUUUCAUCAUUUUAGACUUGUGAUUCAUUAAGUAAAUAUACCCGUAUCUAAUCAAAUCAUCUAUGAAGUAAGAACAUAAUGAUAUCCACUGUGUGCUUCAGCACUCAUUGGAUUGCAUACAUCAAAAUGUAUUGUUUCCAAUAAGUCACUUGCCCGUUCCAUCUCACUGAAAAACGACGCCUUCAGUCAUCUUGCCCAUGUGGCAUGGUCUGCAUGUCUCAUGAGAUUCAAAAUCAAGUGAGUCUGAAAGAUCCAUCGGCAUGGAGUUUCUUCAUGCGCUUACACCAAUAGGCAUGGUUCUCAUGUCUCAAACGAUUCAAAAUCGAGUGAGUCCAAAGAUUCAUCAUCAUGGAGUUUUUUCAUGUAUUUUAUACCAAUAUGACCUAAGCGCAGUGCCACAAGUAAGUGGUACUAUCAUUACUAACUUUGUAUCUAUUGGCAUUAUUAGUGUGAACAUGUGUAUCACUACGAUUGAGAUUCAAUAAACCAUUCAUCUUGGGUGCAUGAUCAUAUAAGAUAUUAUUCAUGAAAAAGAAUAUCCCAUUAUUCUGUAACUCACAUAAAUAAUCGUCUCGCAAUAAACAAAAUCAAUAUAAUGUUCAUGCUUAACGCAAACACCAAAUAACAUUUAUUUAGGUUUAUCACUAAUGUUGAAGGUAGAUGUAGUAUGUGAUGGUGAUCACAUCAACUUUGCAAACACUUCCAACAUGCAUCGACACCUCUCCCUUAGCUAGUCUUUGUUUAUUCCGCAACUCUUGUUUCGAGCUACUAAUAUUAGCAACUGAACCAUUAUCAAAUACCCACAGGCUAGAACGAGCACUAGUAAGGCACACGUCAAUAACAUGUAUAUAAAAUAUACAUUUGUUGACAUUGCCAGCCUUCUUAUGUGCCAAGUCUGGGGCAGUUCCGCUUCGAGUGACCAUUCCCCUCAUAACAAAAGCACUCAGUCUCGGGUUUGGGUUAAAGCUUGGGUCUCUUCACUAGAGCAACAACUGGUUUGUCAUCCUCGAAGUUUCCCUUCUUCCCCUUACCCUUCUUGAAACUAGUGGUUUUACUAACCAUCAACACAUGAUGAUCCUUCUUAAUUUCUAACUUCGCGGUGUCGAACAUCGUGAAUAGAUCAGGGAUCAUCUUCUCCAUCCCUCAUAUCAUAUAGUUCAUCACAAAGCUCCAACAACUUGGUGGCAGUAACUUUGGAGAACUAUGUCAAUCACUAUCUUAUCUGGAAGAUCAACUAGCACUUGAUUUAAGCGAUUAUAGCACCGAGACAAUGUGAGAACAUGCUCAUCGGUUGAGCUAUUCUUCUUCAUCUUGCAGGAAAAUGAUCUUGUCGGAGGUCGCAUACCUCUCAACACGGGCACGAGACUGAAAUCCCAAUUUCAGCUCUUGGAACAUCUCAUAUGCUUCGUUACGUUCAAAGUGUCUUUGGAGCCUCAAUUCUAAGACGUAAAGCAUGACGCACUGAACUAUUAAGUAGUCAUCAAAAGCUAGUCUAUCAUAUGUCCAGAACAUCCACAUAUGAUGCUUGAGGGGUGGCAUGCCGAGCGGUGCAUCAAGGACAUAAGCCUUCUGUGCAGCAAUGAGGACAAUCCUCAGUUUAUGGAACCAGUCCACAUAAUUGCUACUAUUAUCUUUCAACUUAGUUUUAUCUACGAACGUAUCAAAAAAAUACACGGGAGCUACAACACGAGCUAUUGUUCUACAACAUACUUUGUAAAUACAACUUAGACUAUGUUCAUGAUAAUGAGUUCAAUUAAUCAUAUUACUUAAGAACUCCCACUCAAAUUAACAUCCCUCAUGUUGUUCGAGUGUAACAUGAUCCAAAUCCACGAACCCAGGUCCGAUCAUCAAGUGAGAUGAGGUGGUUUCAAUGGUGAACAUCUCCAUGUUGAUGAUAUCUAGUAUAUGACUCAUGUUUGACCUUUAGGCCUCCUUUGUUCCUAGGCCAUGUAUGCACAUGCUAGGCUCGUCAAGUUUAAGCCAAGUGUUAUGCAUGUGCAAAACUGGCUUACAACCAUUGUAUGCGAACAUAGAGUCUAUCACACCCGAUCAUCACGUGGUGCUUCGAAACGUCGAUACUUCACAACGGUGCACACUUGGGAAGAACACAAUUUUAUCUUGAAAUUUUAGUGAGGGAUCAUCUUAUAAUGAUACCGUCGUCCUAAGCAAAAUAAGAUAAGUGACAUGAUAUGGUCAUCAUAAUCUUGUGCUUUUGAUCUCCAUGUCCAAAGCACCGGCAUGAUAUCCAUCGUCACCAGCAUGACACCAUGAUCUCCAUCAACGUGUCGCCAUGUGGUUGUCGCUACACCUAUUGCUUCUACAACUAUUGCUAACUCAUAGCGAUAAAGUAAAACAAAUGGUACAAAUUAGUUAAAGACAACCCUAUGGAUCCUGCCAGUUGUCAUACUCAUCGACAUGCAAGUCGUGAUAAUCUAUACAAAACAUGACCAUCUCAUACAUCACAUGUAGCAUCACAUCUUGGCCAUAUCACAUCACAACAUCCCGUGCAAAAAUAAGUUAGACGUCCUCUACUUUGUUGUUGCAAGUUUUACGUGGCCGCUAUGGCCAACUAGCAAGAACUGUUCUUACCUAUGCAUAGACAGAACAAUGAUAUUCAAGUUGCUAUUUAACCAUCUACAAGGACCGCCUUUUUCAAAUCCGAUUCAAGUAAAGUGGGAGAGACAAACACCCGCCAGCCAUCUUUAUGCAACAAGUUGCAUGUCAGUCGAUGGAACCGAUCUCUCGUACGUGGGCGAGUAAGGUUGGUCUGGGCCGAUUCACCCCACAAUACCGAUGAAUCAAAAUAUGACUAAGGAAAGCAAUCUGGACAUCAAUGCCCAUGAACUCUUUUGUGUUCUACUCGUGCAUGUCAUCUACCAUAGACCUUGCUCAUGAUGUCACUAUUGGGGAAAGUUGCAUGGAACACAAAUUUUUUCCUACGCUCACCAAGAUCAAUCUAUGGAGACUAACAUCUACGAGAAGGGGAGUGCAUCUACAUACUCUUGUAUAUCGCUAAGCGGAAGUGUAUAUAAUGCGGUUGAUGUAGUUGUACGUCUUCACGAUCCAAUCGCGAUCCAUCCCGAUCUAGCACCGAACGUACGACACCUCCAUGUUCAGCAGACGUGCGUCUCGAUGACGUCUCCGCCUCCUUAUAGAAAGCGAGGGAGGAGAAGUAGAUGGGAUCACGAGCAACAUGACAACAUGGUGGAGAUGGUGGUGCAACAGUUGAGCAGGGCUUAGCCAAGCGCCUCUAGAACUGCGAACGAGGAAGAACAGGAGAGACACGAGGGAGAGGGUUGCCUCAAGGGAGAGGACUUGAUGUGUUCAGCCCUCCCCUUCCGUCCACUAUUUAUGGAAGGCAUUGGGCAGGAGGGGUGUGCAGCCCUAGCCAAGAGGGAGGAGUCUUCCCUCUCCAAGGCACAUCCUAGGUGCCUUGCCUCUCAAUUUUUCUACCACUAGCCGCAUGGGCCCUUGCGGGCUGGCCAACAAGUCUUAGGCAUCCCCCUUAAAGCCCAUGCACGUCCUAGGGGCUGGAGGAACCCUUUCGGACUCCUCCGGAACACGCCGGAACCUUCCCCCUUCUAGAACCUUCCUAGUACAAUAUUGGUAAAACCCCAAAAAAAUUCGGAGCUCCUCGUGACAUUGGGGAUCUCAUCCGAGACUCCGAACAACAUUCAGUCACCAAUACUAGGACCCUACGGGUUCAAUAAUCAUUUAGAGGUGACCGAGAUACCUCUCCAUUCAACAACCAAUAGCAGGACCUGGAUACCCAUAUUGGUUCCUACAUUUUCCACGAAGAUCUUCACCGGUCGAACCACGAUGCCAAGGAUUUAAUCAAUCACGUAUGCAGUUGCCACGAAGUCUAUUUACUCGUUCCGUAAUACAAGAUCCCGUGACUAAAUUCUUAGCCACAUUUCUUGCAAGCUUAUUGUGAUGUUGCAUUAUCGAGUGGGCCCUAAGAUACCUCUGUGUUAUACGGAUUGACAAAUUCAAGUCUUGAUCCAUGCCAACUUGAUACGUCCAUUUUGCAUCAUGCUUUCAUGUUGAUAUUUAUCGCUUUAUGGGCUGUUAUUACACUUCAUGGUACAAUACUUAUGCCUUUUCUCUCUUAUUUUGCAAGGUUUACAUGAAGAGGGAGAAUGCCGGCAGCUGGAAUUCUGGCCUGAAAAAGGAGCAAGUUUGAGAUACCUAUUCUGCGCAACUCCAAAAGCCGUGAAAAUCAACGAGGAUUUAUUUUGGAAUUUAUAAAAAAUACCGGGUGGAAGAAGUACUAGAGGGGAGCCAGCAGGAGGCCACAAGCCUGCUAGGCGCGACCUACCCCCUGGCCGCGCCUAGGGGGCUUGUCGGCUCCCUGUUGGCCCUAUGGCCCCCUAUUUUUCUAUAAGGAGGGUUUCGUUGCAGAGAAAAUCAAGAGGAGGCUUUGAGGAGGAAUCUCCGCCGUCACGAGGCGGAACUUGAGCAGAACCAAUCUAGAGCUCCGGAAGGGCCGUCCUACCAGGGAAACUUCCCUCCCGGAGGGGGGAAAUCAUCGCCAUCGUCAUCACCAACACUCCUCUCAUCGGAGGGGACUCAUCACCAUCAACAUCUUCAUCAUCACCAUCUCAUCUCCAAACCCCAGUUCAUCUCUUGUAACCAAUCUCCGUCUCACGACUCCGAUUGGUACUUGUAAGGUUGCUAGUAGUGUUAAUUACUCUUUAUAGUUGAUGCUAGUUGGAUUACUCGGUGGAAGAUUAUAUGUUCAGAUCCUUGAUGCUAUUCAAUACCUCUCUGGUCAUGAAUAUAAUUAUGCUUUGUGAGUAGUCACUUUUGUUCCUGAGGACAUGGGAUAAGUCAUGCUAUAAGUAGUCAUGUGAAUUUGGUAUUCGUUUGAUAUUUUGAUGCGUUGUAUGUUGUUUUUCCUAUAGUGGUGUUAUGUGAACGUCGACUACAUAACACUUCACCAAUAUUUGGUCCUAGAGGAAGGCAUUGGGAAGUAGUAAGUAGAUGAUGGGUUGCUAGAGUGACAGAAGCUUAAACCCUAGUUUAUGCGUUGCUUCGUAAGGGGCUGACUUGGAUCCACUAGUUUAAUGCUAUGGUUAAACUUUGUCUUAAUUCUCCUUUCGUAGUUGAGGAUGCUUGCGAGAGGGGUUAAUCAUAAGUGGGAGGUUUGUCCAAGUAAGGGCAGCACCCAAGCACAGGUCCACCCACAUAUCAAACUAUCAAAGUAGCGAACGCGAAUCAUAUGAACAUGAUGAAAACUAGCUUGACAGAAAUUCCCGUGUGUCCUCGGGAACGCUUUACCUCCUAUAAGAGUUCGUAUAGGCUUGUCCCUUGUUACAAAACGGAUUGGGACACUUUGCUGCACAUUUGUUACUUUUGCUACUUGUUACUUGCCACGAAUCAUCUUAUCACACAACUUUCUGUUACCGAUAAUUUUAGUGCUUGCAGCGAAUACCUUGUUGAAAACCAUUUGUCAGAUCCUUCUGCUCCUCGUUGUGUUCGACACUCUUACUUAUCGAAAGGACUAUGAUAUAUACCCUACACUUCUGGGUCAUCUAGACUCUUUUCUGGCGCCGUUGCCGGGAAGUGAAGCGCCUUUGGUAAGUGGAAUUUGUUAAGGAAACAUUUAUAUAGUGUGCUGAAAUUUACUGUUACUGGUUACUAUGGAAACUAAUACUUUGAGGAGCUUGUUCGGGGUAUCUUCACCUCGAACAAAAGCACAAGGAGUUUCUCCUCAACCUGCUGCACCUACUAAAAAUAUUUGCUAUGAAUUUCCUUCGGGUAUGCUUGAGAAACUGCUGGCUAAUCCUUUUAUAGGAGAAGGAACAUCACAUCCCGACCUGCAUCUAAUCUAUGUAGAUGAAGUUUGUGAUUUAUUUAAUCUUGCAGGUUUGCCCGAGGAUGAGGUCAAGAAGAAGGUCUUUCCCUUAUCUUUCAGGGAUAAAGCAUUGACAUGGUAUAGGCUAUGUGAUGAUACUGGAUCAUGGAACUACAACCGAUUGAAAUUGGAAUUUCAUAAAAGGUUUGAUCCUAUGCAUUUGGUACAUCAUGAUCGGAAUUAUAUUUAUAAUUUUUGGCCUCUUGACAGGGAAAGUAUAGCUCAAGCUUGGGGGAGGCUUAAAUCAAUGUGAUAUUCAUGCCCCAACCAUGAGCUCUCGAGAGAAAUUAUCAUUCAGAACUUCUAUGCUCGGCUUUCUCAUGAUAAUCGCACCAUGUUUGACACUUCUUGUACCGGUUCUUUUAUGAAGAGAGAUAUUGACUUAAAAUGGAAUUUAUUGGAAAGAAUUAAAUGCAACCCUGAAUAUUGGGAGUUUGAUGAAGGUAAGGAGCCAGGUAUGAAUCUCAAGUUUGAUUGCGUUAAAUCCUUUGUCGAAACUAAUACUUUUGUGAUUUUAGCGCUAAAUAUGGACUUGACUAUGAGAUUGUAGCUUCAUUGUGUGAAUCAUUUUCUGCUCGUAUUGAUCUCCCUAAAGAGAAGUGGUUUAAAUAUCAUCCUCCCUUAGAAGUCAAUGUCGAUUAACCCAAUCCAGUUGAAGAGAAAGUCAUUGCCUAUAAUGAUCCUAUUGUUCCUAGUGCUUACAUUGAGAGACCACCUUUCCGUCUUAGAAUAAAGGAUCAUUCUAAAGCUUCAACUGUGAUACGUAGAGGCUACAUUAGAACAUCUACAACCCCUGAGAAAAUUAGAGUUGAACCUAGCAUUGCUAUUAUCAAAGAUCUCCUGUCCGACAAUGUUGAUGGCCAUGAUAUUCACUUCUGUGAAGAUGCUGCUAGAAUUGCUAAACCACAUGCUAGAGACAAACAUAGGCCUGUUGUUGGCAAUCCUGUUGUUUCUGUUAAGAUAGGAGAUCAUUGUUACCAUGGUUUAUGUCACGUGGGUGCUAGUGUUAGUGCAAUACCUCAAUCCUUAUAUGAUGAAAUUAAAGACGAGAUUGCACCUGUUGAGAUGGAACCUAUUGAUGUCACUAUUUAGCUUGCCAAUAGAGAUACUAUCUGCCCUUUGGGAAUUGUUAGAGAUGUUGAAGUCUUGUGUGGUAAAACGAAGUAUCCUGCUGAUUUUCUCGUUCUUGCUACCUCACAAGAUAGCUUUUGUCCCAUCAUAUUUGGCAGACACUUUCAAUGCUCAUAUUGACCGUGAGAAGCAAACUGUCACUGUUGGCUUUGAAGGUGUGUCACAUGAGUUCAAUUUCUCCAAGUUUGGUAGACAACCUCAUGAAAAAGAGUUGGCUAGUAAGGAUGAAAUUAUUGCCCUAGCAUCUAUUGCCAUGCCUCCUACUGAUCCUUUAGAGCAAUACUUGCUUGAGCAUGAAAAUGAUAUGCAUAUGGAUGAAAGGGAUGAGAUAGAUAGAGUUAUCUUUGAACAAUAUCCUAUCCUUAAGAAUAAUUUGCCUGUUGAAUUACUUGGUGAUCCACCCCCACCAAAGGGUGAUCCUGUGUACGAGCUCAAACAGUUGCCNNNNNNNNNNNNNNNNNNNNNNNNNNNNNNNNNNNNNNNNNNNNNNNNNNNNNNNNNNNNNNNNNNNNNNNNNNNNNNNNNNNNNNNNNNNNNNNNNNNNAAGCUUAGGAUCCCAAUGUGCUGGAAAGACACUAUAUUAAAUGCAUACCAAACACAUAACUCGGAUAUUCUCCACCAUGAUCAAAUCAUAGAAACUUUAUCUUCUUGUUACGAUGAUUCUCAACUUCACUCUGAAAUUGCUUGAACAGUUCAAACGUUUCAGACUUGUGCUUCAUUAAGUAAAUAUACCCAUAUCUACUCAAAUCAUUAGUGAAGGUGAGAAAUUAACGAUAUCCACCGCGUGCUUCAAUAUUCAUUGGAAGACACACAUCAAUAUGUAUGAUUUCCAACAAGUCAGUUGCUCGUUCCAUUGUUCCGGAAAACGGAGUUUUUGUCAUCUUUCCCAUGAGGCAUGGUUCCAAUGUAUCAAGCGAUUCAAAAUCGAGUGAUUCCAAAAGUCCAUGAGCAUGGAGCUUCUUCAUGUGCUUUGCACCAAUAUGACCUAAGCGACAGUUCCCGAAGAAAGUGGUACUAUCAUUAUUAACUUCGCAUCUUUUGCCAUCAAUAUUAUGAACAUGUGUAUCACUAGAUCAGGAUUUUAAAAAGAACAAACCAUUCAUAUUGGGUGCAUGACCAUAAAGAUGUUGUCCCUGUAAAUAGAACAAACAUUACGCUUUGAUUUAGUUCAAUAACCGUCUCAUAAUAAAGAAGAUCCAUAUAGAAUGUUCAUGCUUAACACAUGCACCAAAUAACAAUUAUUUAGGUUUAAAGCUAAUCCCUAUGGUAAUCGAAGAGCGAGCAUGCCGAUGGCGAUCACAUCAACCCUGGAACCAUUUCCGACGUGCAUCGUGACCUCGUCUUUUACCAGCCUCCGUUUAUUCUGUAGCUCCUGCUUCGAGUUACACAUAUGAGCAACUGAACCAAUAUCAAAUAACUAGGCACUACUACAAGAGCUAGUAAGUUACACAUCAAUAACAUGUACAUCAAAUAUACCGUUGACGUUCCCAGCCUUCUUAUCAUCCACAUACUUGGGGUAAUUCUACUUCCGGUGGCCAGCCCCCUUGCAGUAAAAGCACUCGGGCUUAGGCUUGGGUACAGCCUUGGAUAUCUUCAUUGGAGCCGCAACUGGCUUGCCGUUAUUCUUGAAGUUUCGCUUCUUACCCUUGCAUUUCUUGAAACUAGUGGUUUUAUUCACCUUCAACACUUUAUGCUCCUUCUUGAUUUCUACUUCCUCGACUUUCAGCAUCACGAAUAGCUCAGAGAUUGACUAGUUCAUCCCAUCCAUAUUAUAGUUCAUCACGAAGCCCUUAUAGCUAGGUGGCAGUGACUCGAGAACUCUAUCAAUAACUGUCUCGGGUGGAAGCUCAGUUUUCAACUAAUUCAAGUGGUUGUAGUACCCAGACAUUUUGAUUUUAUGCUCACUAAUAGAACUAUUCUCCUCCAUCUUGCAGGUAAAGAACUUAUCAGGGGUCUCAUACCUCUCAAUCCGGGCAUUGGAUUGAAAUACUAGCUUCAGCUCCUGGAACAUCUCAUAUCUUCCAUGACGUUCAAAACGCUUUUGAAGUCCCAAUACUAUGUUAUACAACAUGGCGCACUAAACUAUUGAGUAGUCUUCAGAACAUGGGUGCCACACUCUCACGACAUCUCCAGAAGACACUAGGGGGUGGCGCCUCAAACGAUGCACCAAGGACAUAAGACUUUUACGAAGCCUUGAGGAUAGUCCUCAAAUUAUGGACCCAGUCGGCAUAGUUACUUCCAUCAUCUUUCAGCUUAGCUUUCUCUAGCAACGCAUUAAAAUUCAAGGGAGAUAUUGCACGAGCCAUUGAUCUACAACAUAAUUUGCAAAGACAUUUACACUACGUUCUUGAUAAGUCGUUCAAUUAUAAUGAACUUCCACUUAGAUCAACAUUCCUAAAGUUUUCUAAGUGUGACAUGAUCCAGAUCAACCAACCCAAGUCCGAUCAUCACGUGAGAUGAGGUGGUUUCAAUGGUGAACAUAUCUAUGUUGAUCAUAUCUAUUAUAUGAUUCAUGUUCAACCUUUUGGUCUGAUUUGUUGUGAGGCCGUGUAUGCAGAUGCUAGGCUCGUCAAGUUUAACCCUAGUAUUCUGCAUGUGUAAAAUUGGCUUACACCUAUGCGAACCAAGAUUAUAUCACACCCAAUCAUCACGAGGUGCUUCGAAAUGACAAACUUUCGCAAUGGUGCAUACUUGGGGAGAACACAAUUUUAUCUUGAAAUUUUAGUGAGGGUUCAUCUUAUAAUGCUACCGUCAUCCUAAACAAAAUAAGAUGCAUAACAGGAUAGACAUCACAUGCAAAUCAUAUAAGUGACAUGAUAUGGCCAUCAUCAUCUUGUGCUUUCGAUCUCUAUCUUCAAAGCACUGGCAUGAUCUCCAUUGUCAUUGGCAUGACACCAUGAUCUCCAUCAUUUUGUCAUCAUGUGGUUGUCAUGCCAACUAUUUCUUCUACGACUAUUGCUAACUCAUAGUGAUAAGUAAAACAAAUGGCAUGAAAUAAAUUAAAGACGACCCUAUGGCUCGUGCCCAUUGCCGUAUUCAUCGACAUGCAAGUCAUGAUAAUUAUUACAAAACAUGACCAGAUCAUACAUCACAUAUAUCAAAUCAAAUUUUGGCAUAUCACAUCACAACAUGCCCCUCAAAAACAAGUUAAAUAUCCUCUACUUUGUUGUUGCAAGUUUUACAUGGCAGCAAUGGGAAACUAGUAAGAAUCGUUCUCACCUACACAAAGCCACAACGAUGAUAUUCAAGUUACAUUUGAACCUUCUACAAGGACCGCCUCUGCCGAAUCUGAUUCAACUAAAGUGGGAAAGACAAACACCCCGCGAGCUACCUUUAUGCAAACAAGUUGCAUCUCACUCGGUGAAAUUGAUCUCUUGUGCAAGGACAAGUAAGGUUGGUCCGAACUCUUCAUCCCACAAUAUCGUUGAGUCAAAAUAAGACUAAGAAGGUAAGCAAUCCAAACAUCAACGCCCACAAACAUUUUGUAUUCUACUCAUGCAUAUCAUCUACGCAUAGACCUAUAUCAUCAUGACACUAUUGGAGAACAUUAAAUGGGAAACAAAAAACAUACACGCACGCAAGAUCUAUCCAUGGAGAUGCAUCGCUAUGAGAGGGGAGUGUGUACACCUACCCAUGUAGAUCACUAAGCGCAAGCAUUGAAAACAUAGUUGAUGUAGUCGUAGAUCUAUAUGAUCCAAUUGUGAUUCGCCCCGAUCAAGCGCCGAACGGACGACACCUAUGCAUUUAGCACACGUGCAACUCGAUGACAUCUCCACCUCCUCGAUCCAGCGAGCGAGGGCAAAGUAGUAGUUGGGACCUCCGGAAGCACGAUGGCAUGGAGACGGUGAAGUUGGAGUUAUCCCGAUAGGGCUUUCCGAGCACUACCAAAACUAUGACCGAAGGAGAAAAUGAUCUAAAGAGAGAGGUGCGGUGAUGACCCACAAGUAUAGGGGAUCAAUUGUAGUCCUUUCGAUAAGUUACAGUUUCGAACCCAACGAGGAGCAGAAGGAAAUGACAAGCGGUUUUUAGCAAGGUAAUUUCUGCAAGCACUAAAAUAGUGGUAACAAGUUGUUUGAUAUCAAGAUAAUUGUACCAAGUAACGAGUAGCAAUAGUAAAAAUAAGUGCAGUAAGGUAGCCCAAUCCUUUUGUGGCAAAGGACAGGCCGGAACGUUUCUUAUAUUAGACAAAGCAUUCUUGAGGGCACAUGGGAAUUUCAUCUAGUCACUUUCGUCAAGUGGGGUUAAUUUGCAUUCGGUACUUUGAUAAUUUGAUAUGUGGGUGGACCAGUGCUUGGUGUUGGUCUUACUUGAAGCAGCCUCCCACUUAUUAUUAACCCCCCCUGCAAGCAUGCGCAACUACCAGAAAAUUAUUAAGAAUAAAUUCUAACCAUAACAUUAAACAUAGGGAUCCAAAUUUGCCCCUCACAGAAUAGCGCAUAAACUAGGGUUUAAGUUUCUAUCACUCUCGCAACCCAGCAUAUAAGAACUACUCCACAAUGCAUUCCCUUAGGCCCAAAGAUGGUGAAGUGUUAUGUAUUCGAUGUUCACAUAACACCACUAAGGGAAACACAAUGUUUAUAUCAUCGAAAUAACGAAUGAAUAUCAACUUCACAUGACUACUUGCAAUGUGACUUCACAUGUAGCCUCAAGAACAAAAGUAACUACUCACAAUUGAUAAACAUGCUCCUGAUCAGAGAGGUAUUAAAUAGCAUAUUGGAUCUGAACAUAUGAUCUUCCACCAAAUAAACCACAAAGCAUCAACUAGAAGAUGUAAUCAACACUACUAGUCACCCCCCGGGUACCAAUCUAAGGCUCGGGUACAAUAUUGAGCACAAGAGAUAAACUAGGGUUUUGAGAGGAGAUGGUGCCAUUGAAGAUGUUGAUGAAGAUUGGCCUCCCCAAGAUGAGAGGGUUGUUGGUGAUUACGAUGGCCUUGAUUUCCCACUCCAGGAGGAAGUUCCCCCGGCGGAAUCGCUCCACCAGAGGGUAAAAGUUCUCCUGACCAAGUUCCGCCUUGAGAUGGUGAAGCUCCAUCCAGAAAGUCCUCUCCUUAUUUUUUCCAUGUCAAACGUGAAUAUAUACCAGAAGAUGGUCGCCCGAAAUUGGCUGGUGCCUAGUGGCUACCUCACAGCCCCCUCUAGUACUUCUUUCUUAUAGUAUUUUUUAUUUAUUACAUAAAAAAUCUCAAUGGAGUGUCAGCCCAUGGAGAUGUGGGAAAUAGAUAUCUCUCACAUAGCUUUUCCAGGUCGAGAAUUCCAUCUGCCCGCAUUCUCCCUCUUGGUGUAAGCUUGCAUAUUAUGAGAGAAAAAGCAUUAUAAUUACUCCAUAAAGUAGUAUAAUGCAUAAAAACACUAUAAAUAACACUAGAAAAACAUGAUGCAAAAUGGACGUAUCAACUCCCCCAAGCUUAAACCUCGCUUGUCCUCAAGCGAAAGACGAUAACGAAAAUCAUGACCACAUGCUUUGAGAGGGAGGUGUCGAUUAAAACAAAAUAUGGACAUAGUAGCAUCAUGCUCAUCAUUAUAACAAUAAAUAUACUUUAAAAAAAUCCAUCCAAGCAUUUUCAUCAUAUAACUUUCAUCAUAAAAACUUAUCAUAAACAAGUAACAAUUCAUCACAACAUUGAAGUAUGAACCAUAAACUCUAUUGAAAACUAACAAACUAUGUUUUGAGUCAACUUUGCAACACAAUUCAUCACAUUUUCAGGAAGGCUCUCAUAUCGGAGCUUUUAAGCAAGUCUACAUACUAAACCAUCAUUUAGUCUUCUAUGAUUGCUAACACUCACCGCAUACAUAUGAGCAAAAGGUUUCAACCAGACAUAUAGACAGAUAGGGGCUUAAAGUGUCACCUCCAAGCAUAUUCACCUCAAGGGUGAUGUCAACAAUAAUAACUCAUGACCACCCACAUUCAAUUAGACAUAUAUGCCUAGAUAUUUCCCCACAAUAUGAUGCUUGCAAAAGAGAAAAUAAAAAGGAGUAGAGAAGAUUUUUUUUAACCUUGCAUAAAAGUAAAAGAUAGGCCCUUCACAAAGGGAAGCAGAGGUUGUCAUGUGCUUUUUGGUUGUAUGCCAAAUCCCUUAGUGCAAAGGAACGUUAUGUUAUAUAGCCCCUUAUGAUCGCAGCCUUUAUUAUGUCUUUUAUCGCUUUUAUUAUCGCCAUCACAAGUUCGUACAAUGCUUAAUUUGCCUUACACUAAAUGAUCGAACACGUUUAGAAGCAACUUUUAUUGCCUUGUGCACCGAUGACAACUUACUUGAAGGAUCUUACUCAAUCCAUAGGUAGGUAUGGUGGACUCUUAAAACGUGGAUUUGGGUUUAAAGUUUUGGAUGCACAAUUAGUAUCUCUACUUAGUGUCGAGUUUUGUCUAGCAAAGAUAUUGGGCAACAUAACUUAGUGUCGAGUUUCCCCCACAUUUUAGAGGAUCUAUAACAACAUAACUUCUAUGUGAAUGUGAACAAACAUAAAUCAUUACGUUGUCUUCCUUGUCCAAUGUGAACAGUUUUGGCACACUAUAAUUAAUGGGAGAUCACAAUCACAAAGAUGUCAAGGAUAGUGUGUUUGCAUGUAAAUAUUCUCUUCCUUCACUACAAGAAAUAUGUCAACUAACGACCUUCUGUCAGUGACACUCGCAGAAUUGGUCGUAAAUCUACGACCAUUCCAGACCAAUUGGUCGUAAGAUGUCCGGAGGGGUCCUAACCCCAAAACCAAACGACCAUUUUCAUCACAAAGGUCGUAACUUCCUUACUGGAAAUGGUCGUAAAGCAGAUAGCCAUGUUCCGCUGCCUAAUUUGUACCUAAUUACGACCAAUAUAGAUGGUCAUAGCUACGACUAGUUGCCACAUCAUCAGUUUUGUCUACGUGUCAUGUCCAUGUGUGAAUUUUUUCCUAGUUUGUGAAGCAACCUACUAUUCUGUCAUUCCAAAAAUUCUCAUAAUACUUUGGAUCAUAUAUUCCUAAAAUACGUGAAAACCCUUCCUUCCGUAGUUUGAAAAUAUUUCAGCAAUAUUAAUUUUCCUAUUCUGUUCAGAAUAACACUUUGUGAAGGAAGUGCUAUUUCUGUUUCUUUGAUUACCCUCAAAUUUAUAGGGAACUUUUUCCUAUCCAAAUCAUUGCCUGAUGAAAACUUUCGUCACCAUUUUCCUAGUAAAUCUUUCUCACCAAAUUUCCAAAGUUUUUGUUCAACUAACAGCUUUGUGAAGGAAGUACUAGAUAGGAAUAUCCUGAUGAGUUGAACUUUUUCCACAUCUUCUAUUUUCCCAAAACAUAACUCUCCAUAACAUUUUAGCCCCAUCUAACAAUCCAUGUGAGCUCAUCAUCCAAUAUUUGUUUUUGAUAAUAUUUUCAGUUUGUGAAGCAACUACAUUUUAUAUUGCUUUAUAGUUGAUGAAUAUUUACCACGGAAUUAAACUGACCAUAUAACUUCACUGCACCAAAUUUUAGCUCAUUUUAUUCAGCCAGUUUCACUCAAUAUUUUUCCCAAUAUUCUAUUCAGUAGAGAGCAUUGUGAAGGAAGUACAAUUUUUGUUUAUCCAAAUUUUAUGAAAUUAUUACACUGCCUUAAUGUGCCCAAAUUAUCAUCCUCCUCCAAAUUUUAGCUCAAUCCAAUCAUAUAUGUGAGCCCAGUUUCAAUUACCAUUUUCUGUCCAGAUUGGCGCAUUGUGAAGGAAGUGUCAAUUUGGCAUGUCCAAAUGGUAUAAUUUUUUUAUAGUGCCUUCAUAUGCCCAAAUUAACAUCAUACACCAAUUUUUAGCUCAAUCCAUUCAAUCAUUUGAUGUCGGCUUCAAUAUCCAUAUUUGUGCACAGUGUGUUACUUUGCAAAGCAAGUGCCACCUAGGUUUAUCCAUUUGAGCUAAAAAUUUGCCAAGAGAGUCUUCUUAGUAGAUGAUCAUCCUCAGCCAAAAUUUAGGCCCAUUGUCUAUGUGCAUUACCCACACCGCUAAUCAAACACUUGGCUACUAAUUCUUGUUUGAGCUUAUUUCAGUCUCCUCGUGAGAUUCUUCUAUUGUACUCUUCUUCCUAACACCUACUGAGGGAUUGUCCAACCCACGAGACAUGCCUAUUCCAGCCAGAAUGUGUGGCAACGCAACAGUGAGGCGGUGACCAUGCGGGUGGCAUGCAAGUUCACGCGCUCUGGACUUGGGGCCCUCGACCACCAUCCAAACCUCGACGUCAAGCCACCACACCAUGUAUUUAUGAGUAAAUAGAUACUUAUGUACCUACAAAUGAUUUUUGGAAAAAAUAAAUAGCAAACUAUAAUGCAGCUACAGUUCAAAUUUAACCCAGUUCCACCUGAAUCGACAUAAAUUUGUCCUCUUCAUGAGAGGUGGAUAAAAGCUUUUAACACCCAACCAUUUUGUCAAUUGUACAUUAAAUAUGGCCUAGUAUUUUAGAAAAAUGAUUUGGUCCAAUUUUGAAACAAAUAUAUGGUAGCUCCUUCACAAAAAAAUCAUUUUGGGCACUUGAAAAAUGAAAAAUGAUUUUUACAUACAAGGAAAAUGAAAACUUCCUUAAUCAACAUUGUUUGCCAUUCCAAUACGCACCUUGUGCAUAAUAUUAUAUCAUUUCAACAAACUAUGUCAUGAAUGUGGCCAUAAGAUUGAUUAUUUGGCUUGAAAGCCAUGAAUCUUCACACAUGAUAGCCCAUUUCUAAGAACACUUUUUUAAAAUAAUUGUCGUAUUACAAGUUUAUCAUUUUUUCUCAUAACUUCGUCACAUAUAAUUACACAAUGCAAAGGUUUUCCAUUUUUUGAUUGUUUUUGAAUUUUUCAUGGCCAUUUCAAAAUGCAGUCAAAACAGCGGGUAUGACCGUUCCUACCUAGUGGUUGAAUCUUGGAAAUAUUUCAGAAUUUCUCUGAUUAAAUAGAUACUUGUGUACCUACAAAUGAUUUUUGGGAAAAAUAAGGAGCAAACUAUAAUGUAGCUGCAGUUCAAAUUUGACCCGCUUCGAGCAGAAUCGACAAAAAAUUAUCUUUUUCACAAGAGGUGGAUCAAAGAUUUUGACACCCAAAAAUUUGGUCAAUUGUACAUUAAAUAUGGCCAGUAUUUUAUAAAAAUGAUUUGGUCUAAUUUUAAAACAAAUAUAUGGUAGGUCCUUCACAAAAAAGUCAUUUUGGGCGCUUGAAGAACGAAAAAUGAAUUUUCCGUCCAAAGAAAAUGAAAACUUCCUUAAGAAACAUUGUUUGCCAUUGCAAUAUGCACCCUUGUGCACAAUAUAAGAUCAUUUGAACAAACUAUGCCAUGAAUGUGGCCAUAAGAUUGAUCAUUUGGCUUGAAAGUCAUGAAUCUCCACACAUGAUAGCCCAUUUCUAAGAACACUUUUUAAAGAUAAUUGCCAUAUUACAAGUUUAUUAUUUUUCCUGGUAACUUUGUCACACGUAAUGACACAAUGCAAUGGUUUUCCAUUUUUUGAUUGUUUUUGAAUUUUUCAUGGCCAUUUCAAAAUGCAGUCAAAAUAGCGGGUAUGAACGUUCCUACCUAGUGGUUGAAUCUUGGAAAUAUUUUGGUGUUUCUCUGAUAAAAUAGAUGCAUGUGUACCUACAAAUGAUUUUUGGGAAAAAUAAGGAGCAAACUAUAAUGUAGCUGCAGUUCAAAUUUGACCCGCUUCCAACAAAAUCGGUUAAAAUUUGUCUUUUUAACAAGAGGUGGAUCAAAGCUUUUGACCCAAAACUUUGGUCAAUUGUACAUUAAAUAUGGCUACUAUUUUAGAAAAAUGAUUUGGUCCAAUUUAAAACAAAUAUAUGGUAGGUCCUUCACAAAAAAGUCAUUUUGGGCACUCGAAAAAUGCAAAAUGAAUUUUCCGUCCAAAGAAAAUGAAAACUCACUUAAGCAACAUUGUUUGACAUUCCAAUAUGCACCCUUGUGCACAAUAUAAGAUCAUUUGAACAAACUAUGCCAUGAAUGUGGCCAUAAGAUUGAUCAUUUGGAUUGAAAGACAUGAAUCUUCACACAUGAUAGCUCAUUUCUGAGAAUACUUUUAUUAAAUAAUUGCCAUAUUACAAGUUUAUUACUUUUCCUGGUAACUUGGUCAGAUAUGAAGACACAGCGCGAAGGUUUUUCAAUUUUUUUAUUUUUUUUUGAAUUUGUUAUCCCCGUUUCAAAAUGCGGUCGAAACGGCGGACAUGACCGUUCAUAUCUAGGGGUUGAAUCUUGCCAAAUUUUUGUUGGCUCUAUGAUUAAAUAGAUAAUUACUUACCUAAAAAUGAUUUUUUGAAAAAAUCAUGAGAAAACUAUGAGGCACCUCUAGUUCAAAUUUGACCGGCUUCCUCCUGAAUCGGCUGUAAUUUGUCUUUUUCACUAGAGGUGGAUCGAAACCUUUUGGCACCCAACCAUUUGCUCAAUUGUGCAUUGAGUAUGGACUAAUAUUUUAUAAAAAUGAUUCAGUCCAAUUUGACAACAAAUAUUUUUUAGGUCCUUCACAAAAAAACUCAUUUUGGGCACUCGGAAAAAGGAAAAUGAUUUUUUUGUACAAAGAAAAUGAAAAGUCCCUUUGGCAACAUUGUUUGUCAUUCCAACAUCCACCCUUCUGCAAAAUAUGAGAUCUUUGAACAAACUAUGACAUGAAUGCUACUAUCACAUUGAUCAUUUGGCUUUAAAUCGACUGAUCUUCACAGAGUCUGCCCAGGGAAACGCCAAGUUCCAAAGCGCUGCUGCGUGCACCUCUGUCAUCCACCCCGCUGGCCAGAUGGGUGUUGCCGUCAUGAACUCCUGGACGAUGUCGGUACACUGGUACACCUCAAGCGGCUCUGCAGGUUCGGGCUCCGGCGGAGGUGGCACGACGUAGUCGCCGGCGGUCGACAAUGCGAUGGCCCCCGCGAGCUGUUGCUGGUACGUCGCCUCCUCGUCGGCCCUGCGCCGCGCUUCUUCCUCGCUGUCAUGGAGAACACCAGCGACCGCCGCCUGGUAGGCGGCCUCAGCCUCCUGGUCCUCAUCGUUGAUUAUGGGCAGGGGCGGCGGAAGACCUCCUCGCUGCACUUCGCGCACGCCACGACGACGCUGCUCCUCGUGCCCCACCACGAACAACACCUUCCAGUUAUGGUAGUCGGCCGCGUACAUGGGGUCUCACGCUGCUCCACCGUUAGCAGACAUCGACGGCGGCUCACCUCCUCCGCAUGCACCCGCGCUGACGCAUUUUAGUACCAAAUUUGGGCCGGAAAUGGGUCGGCGCAGACGUGAAGCAGACGUGUUUUGGUAAUGGGCUGGCGCAUUGGGCCGUCAUUUUUUUGUGUGCCGACCCAAACGGACGGCGGCGAACGAAAUGGAUCGCCCCAUUGGAGUUGCUAUAAGACAAGAAUUUUGGGACGGAGGGAGUAGUUAACUACGACCAAUUUAGAUGGUCAUGACAUCGUAUGCGUGUACUGCAUUUUGAUUGGUUCGUGGACGUUUCACGCGGAUCGUGGAUGGAACACCGUCGGAUGCUUGCGAAUCCAAUGGCAGUCCUCACCCCAAUCCCACGUAAGCCAAAACCCUAGCUCUCCUGAGUCGUCGUGGAUAUUUUCCAUCCACCCCCCCCCCCCCCCCCCCCCUCUUUUUCCAUAUUUUUUCCUCCCCCCCCCCCCCCCNNNNNNNNNNNNNNNNNNNNNNNNNNNNNNNNNNNNNNNNNNNNNNNNNNNNNNNNNNNNNNNNNNNNNNNNNNNNNNNNNNNNNNNNNNNNCCCCCCCCCCCCCCGCCUCCUUUCUUUCUCCCCUCUAUCUCUUCUCCUUCCUCUCUCCCCUCCCCUCCCUUGCGCCGCAUGCCCCUCUGCCGCCCGCGCACGCCCUCCGAGACUGCCGGAGACCCCCCACCCUCUCCUCUACACCACCACCAUUAGCGCCACCACCUUCUCCUUAUUUCCCAAGGGCCCGACACCCCAACCCGCGGUGCACCCAUGCAAACCGAGCUCUGGAUCCGAUUGUUGGAAGUGCAGCACCUAAUACGGCGGCGUGGGUGGGGCGCUACGCCCAACCAAGUCCGGCCCCUGCUCCCUCAUCAAGCCGGCGGCGGGCAGCGCAAGGAGGAACACAGGCUGGACUGGUGCUACUUGCAGGACGAGACUGCGGGGCGUCGCGAAUGACCAGAUCCAAAAUUGGUAAGCCCCUCCCCUCCUUCUUCGCCCACCAUCUCCUCCUCACCACACCACACCUCACCUCAUCUUAUCUUCCUUAUCUACAGGUUACCAUGGGCGUGUUGGCGAUGCCAGAAGGAGGGGCGCUCUACCUGUGCUGCCCAGUUCGCUUAUCGGUGCCGCGCCAGGGAGGCCGUCGCCCCUAAGCCCUCGCCGGUCAGAUCCGUCGCCCCCGCCUCCCCCUCCGCCUCAAUUCAUCUUCUCUUUGUCCAUUUGUUUGAAUAUCCUGGUUCUGGGUCAGUGUCACAGGGCAAGUCCCUGAAGCGGAAGCGGGUGCCGCACCGGCGAGGACGCCCCGAUCCGGCAGUUCGGCCGCGGCGCCAGCCUCUUCGAAUAGCCCAAGUACCGAUUUGAGGUGAAGCUGCGGAGCUUUUUCCUUCUUUUUAUGUGCCUUCAUUCGACUGCUAACUGAAGAAUGCAUCUUUUGCAGGAUAUCUUUCAUGUCCUCGAGAAGAAGACCAGGAGGUAAUGUCUCGCCCAAUUCUUCCUCUCCAGCGAUAAACUCGAUUCAUAUUCAGUACGCUUAGAUCUGUGAUGUGGCGCCUUCGUGCUUUUCAGCCAUGUACGCUUAGAUCUGUUCGUCGAUAAGCUUGUGUAUUUGUUGCAAAUUUAUUUGUAGCAUGCGGUAUCUUGGCAGUCGCGAUGUGUUUGUUUCUUGCGGUCUGAGGAACUUGGAGAGCGUCUGUUUCCUCGUAGUCGUUAGUAGGAUCUGCUAAAUGUGAUGUAUGUUGUCACCGUAGCUCUACUAUGGACGCAAUAGUAUCCUUUGUGUUUAGUGGGAUAGUUUCUGCUCCAAGUUUUCGAUGCACUAGACAUGCACUAAGUUCCGAAUGUUGUAUAGUUCAUUUGGAGUUUGGCAAGUACUAGAUGGAGUCUAGAAUGUUGUUUUCUCUUGUUUCAUUCAUGCCCAUAAAAGAUCAUAGUUCGUGGUUGUGAUUGUUAUGACGGCUUAAACCUGAUCUGUUGUGCAGACCGAGAAGUCUUUCCUGAAGUAGCCGGAGGUUUUCCUCUGGUGAGGAUUUCGAUUAACCUUCCUGUUGUGCUGGCAUUGUUAUAUUAACCUGAUCUAUUCUUAUAUGUGUUUAGGACUCACAAGGCUGGUGUGGAGUUUGUGGACUAUUGACAAGGCUGGUGUCUCGGCCUGAUUCUUUGUUGUAGAAUAGUUUUUCUUGGCACUUGCUGGUUCUUGCAAUGUAAAUAUAUGCACUCCUCGCAUGAAUGGUUGUAAUUUUAUAUUCUGGCUCCUAUAAAUUUUCAUGUUGCUUUGGAAAUGUAUCGAAGCCGAAGAUAGAUUCUGGUGUGAUGUAUAGUAAUGUUAACGACAUAAAAACCAGAUUGGAUCAAUUAUUUCAGCAUAGCUCAAAUUAUAUUGGAUAAUUAUCUAUGAGUAAAAAACGUGAGACGGCCUUGGCCGAGCAAAAAACAGCCGAGAAAUAUACACACCAAAAAGAAAUUUGUUGUUCAAAGUCCAUUACACAUAGAAAUAGAAAUUGAAAAGGCCAAAUUGUUGGGCUAGGCCCAUGUAGCCGACCAAAAUUAAUAGGAAAAAAAAUAUAAAAAGGUUGAAUUAAUGGGCUUGGCCCAUGUAAAACAUCGAAUUGGACCGGGCCGAUUCCUAUCAACGACCAAUCCAAUUGGUCAUAACUUUGCCACGUCAGCUUGCCAUGUUGGAUCCAAUGUGGCCUGUGCAGACUUCUAACGACCAAAACGAUUGGUCGUAGAACCAACGACCUUACAUUUGGUCGUAAAAUUCUUCAACCAUUCCAGCAGAAAGUUCGUUAUAGUUCAUUAAAGACCCUCCGUUUUCGACCUUCUGUUUUUGGUCGCAAAUGGAGACCACCCACCAUUCGGUGACAAAUAUUGAAGGUCGUAAGUUAGCAUAUUUCUUGUAGUGCUUAUUAAUUCUUUCAUGUGUUGCAUAACCAACUAAUGUUAUGUAUGUCAACCUUCAACAAAUUUUACAUCUUAUACUUUUCCUUAUGUGAUGUCACUACUCACUAUAAUAUUAGCAUAUGAUAAUUUUCAUUAUUUUCCUUUAUUUUGAUCGCAAUAAGAAAGUAAAGAAUCAAAAAUUCAAACUAAACUUUAUUAUAUAACUAUCACUCGAUUACAUAGAUAGAUAGAUCACUAAACUCGCACUAAAAAAGAUGGAUCAAACUGAAAUUUUAUUUGACUAAAUCAAAAAAUAACUGAAGAUCAAACUAAGAUGGAUAAAGAUAAUUAGAGUGAUGGUGAUACGAUACCGAGGCACCUCCCCCAAGCUUGGCACAAGACAAAUGGAGUUCUCGUACCCGUGUACUCAAGUCUCCUUCUUUGGUGAGGAAAAUCAAGGUGGUGGUGUAGAUGAGGAGGUAGAAGCAAACUUGUCCUUCGGUUUCAAUGGUAGUGGCUCACCAUCAAAAGAGGAGGCACGAGUCUCUGGAGUCCUACAACUAGCAGCUAAACUCAUACCUUUAAACCUUGAUUCAUACUUAAAGAUUUGGUUUUGAAGAUCAAAGAUUUGACCUUGCAGAAAAUUGAUUUGCUCAUUGAGGGUGAAGGAGAUAUCCUUCAAGGAUAUGCCAUCCACAUUUUGAUCACGGGUGAACUAGGUGAUCAUGGAGUGAUUGGCACUCAGUCCAUGCUCCACCAUACCUUGGCACCUCAAGAUCUCCUGCUCCACCGCCUCAACCCUGGCCUCCAUGUUUCUUGUCUUCUUGGGCCCUUGAACAUCCCGGAUGUGGAGCACCCCCUCACGCAUCUCAAUGUCUUGAGGGUGCUUCAUCACCUCCGAGAAGUAGGGGUUGAUGACCCUCUCGAAGAACUUGUCCCUCGAGGAGCUUGAUGAGGACAUGGUGUUCUAGAUCUGUCAGAAAAAUAACACAAAACAAGAACAGAGGAUUUCUCCGUGGUAAUAGGGUCAAAUCAUUGGGAGAUAUAUAUAAAGAAUUUUUAUACAAGGAAAUACUUGACCUACAAGAAAACAAAGCCACGAAGGUGCCCGAGGGGCCCACUACCCACCAGGGCGUGCCACGUGGGGAUGGCACGCCCUAGUGCCUAGUGGCCCUCGGUUGCCUUCCCGUGUGUUUAUCAAUUUCCUAAUUUUUGUAAUAUUUCAAAACUAACCGAUUUUUUUGCGGAUUUUUCGGAGUCCGUUUACUUACCGUAUCGCAUACCUCUUCCUAAGUGUUCUGGAAGGUCUCCUUUAUGUGUUCCUCCUGUGUCAUGGUUUGAAUAAUAUUUAUUUCAACAUUAAUAGGUGUACCUGAAAUAUAAUGCUUUACUCUUUGUCUAUUGACCACCUUCGGAAUUAUUGAUCUUAAUAGAUCCACACAUAUAAACGUCUUCGAUGAUAUAUGGUCCUUCCCAUUUGGAGAGAAGUUUUCCUACAAAAAACCUAAGAUGGGAAUUCUACAAUAGAACAUAUUCACCAACUUUGAAUUCUCACUUGUGGAUUCUUGUGGCAUGUGAUCUUUUGACUUGUUCUUUGAAUAGUUUGGCAUUUCCAUAAGCUUGGGUUCUCCAUUCAUCUACUGAGCAAAUAUCAAAUAACCUCUUUUCAUCACCAAGUUUGAAACCAAAUUUGAGUUCUUUAAUUGCCUAAUAAGCUUUAUGUUCUAACUCAAGAGCUAAGUGACAUGCUUUUACAUAAACCAUAUUAUAAGGAGACAUACCCAUAGGAGUUUUAUAAGAUGUUUUGUAGGCCAACAAUGCAUCAUCUAAUUUCUUAGACCACCUAUUUCGGGACCUAUUGAUAGUCUUUUGCAAUAUUAAUUUUAUUUCUCUAUUUGUUAAUUCAACUUGACCACUAGAUUGAGGAUGAUAGGGAUAUGCAAUUCUAUGGUUAACAUCAUAUAUAGCAAGCAACUGAUGAAAAAGCACCAUGAAGAAAAUGUGAACCACCAUCAGUCAUUAAGUAUCUAGGGACUCCAAAACCUGGGAAAAUAACUUCCUUGAGCAUUUUUAAUAGAGGUGUUAUGAUCAGCACAACUGGUUGGAAUUGUCUCUACCCACUUAGUGACAUAAUAAAAAGCAACCAAAAUAUGUGUAUACCCAUUACAGGAUGGAAAAUAUCCCAUAUAAUCAAAUCCCAAAACAUCAAAUGGUUCAAUAGUAAAUGAAUAAUUCAUAGGCAUUUCUUGACGUCUACAAUUAUUACCAAUUCGGUGACAUUCAUCACAAGAGAGGACAAACUUACAAGCAUCUUUGAAAAGAGUAGGUCAAUAAAAUCCAUGUUGUAAUACCUUAUGUGCAAUUCUACCUCCCGCAUGGUGUCCUCCAUAAACCUCGGAGUGACACUUCUGAAGAUUUGUUCAUGCUCACGUAUAAAACGUCAAAUAAUACCAUAUACUCCCUCUUUAUAAAGAUGUGGGUCAAUUCCAAAGUAAUGUCUUAAAUCAAAGAAGAUUUAGUUUUCUUUUGCUAAUAGUUGAAACUAGGUGGUAUGUAUUUAGCAACAAUGUAAUUAGCAUUAUCAGCAAACCACAAUGUGUUAUGAGAAACAUUGACCACACCUAGUUUUUCAUCAGGGAAGCUGUCAUCAAUAGGUAAUGGGUCAUCAAGUACAUUUUCUAAUCUAGAAAAGUUAUCAGCUACAGGGUUCUCAGCUCCUUUCUUGUCAAUGAUAUGCAAAUCAAAUUCUUGUAGCAAAAGAACCCACCAAAUAAGUCUAGGCUUGGCAUUUUUAUUUUCCAUAAGAUAUUUAAUAGCAACAUCAUUAGUGUGAACAAUCACAUUAGAAUCAACAAUGUAAGAUCUAAAUUUGUCACAAGCAAAUACAACUGCAAAGAAUUCUUGUUCAAUGGUAGCAUAAUUUCUCUAGGCAGUGUCUAGAGUUUUACUAGCAUAAUGGAUAACAUUUAAUUUCUUAUCAACUAUUUGUCCUAGAACAGUACCAACAGCAUAAUCACUAGCAUCACAGAUAAUUUCGAAAGGCAAGUUCCAAUCAGGUGGUUGAACAAUAGGUGCAGAAGUUAAGGCUUUCUUAAGUGUUUCAAAGGCUUCUACACUAUCAUCAUAAAACGAAAAGGAACAUCCUUCUAUAAUAAAUUAGUAAGAGGUCUAGAAAUUCUACAAAAGUCUUUAGUAAACCUCCUAUACAAACCAGCAUCACCCAGGACACUACGUAUACCUUUAAUAUCUUUAGGACAUGGCAUCUUCUCAAGUGCAUCAACUUUAGCCUUAUCCACCUCAAUACCUCGUUCAGAAAUUUUAUGACCCAAGACAAUACUUUCAUUUACCAUAAAGUGGCAUUUAUCCCAAUUCAAGACAAGGCUAGUUUGCUCACAUCUCUGCAGAAGUCGAUCAAGGUUGCCUAAGCAGUCAUCAAAAGAAGUUCCAUAAAUGGAAAAAUCAUCCAUGAAAACAUCAACAAUCUUUUCACAAAAUUCAAAGAAUAUAGCAGUCAUACAUCUUUGAAAGGUAGCAGGUGCAUUGCAUGAUCCAAAAGGCAUACGUCUACAAGCAUAGGUUCCAAAAGGACAAGUAAAGGUGGUUUUCGCUUGAUCAGGUUGUGACACACGUAUUUGAGGAAAACCAGAAUAACCAUCUAGGAAAGCAAAAUAUGUGUGUCCUUCGAUAAUCUUUCUAGCAUUUGGUCUAUGAAAGGUAAAGUAUAAUGAUAUUUUCUGGUACCUUUAUUUAAUUUUCUAAAAUCAAUUACCAUUCUAUAGCGAGUGACAAUUAUUUGUGGAAUGGGUUCAUUUUUAUCAUUAGGAACAACAAUAAUACCUCCUUUCUUAGGAACAUGAUGAACGGGACUUACCCAUCUACUAUUAGCUAUGGAAUAAAUUAUACCUGCUUCUAGAAGCUUUAAUAUUUCAUUUCUUACCACUUCUUUCAUUUUGGGAUUCAGCCUUCAUUGGUGAUCAACAACGGGUUUAGCAUCUGGUUUCAUUUUAAUCUGGUGCUGACACAGAGUGGGACUAAUGCUCCUAAGAUCAUCAACAGUAUACCCAAUAUCAGCUCGGUACUUCCUUAAAGUUUUGAGCAAUCUUUUUUCUUCAUGCUCCGUAAGGUUAGCGCUCCUAAUAAUAGGAUAUAUCUUAUUUUAAUAUAGAUAAGCAUAUUUCAAUGUGUUAGGUAAUUUCUUUAAUUCAAACACAUGAUCACCCUUUGGAGGUGGAGGACCUCCUAGAGUUUCAACACGCAAGUUGUGUUUAAGGAUAGGCUAUUGUUUAAAGAACAUUUUAUCUAUUUCAUUUCGUUCAUCAUAUGCAUAUCAUUUUCAUGGUCUAGCAAAUAUUGUUCUAGUGGAUCAGUAGGAGGAAUGGCAACAGAAGCAAUACCAAUAACUUCAUCUUUACUAGGAAUUUUUUUAUCCUUGGGUUGUUUACUGAACUUGGAGAAAUUAAACUCAUGAGACAUACCACCAAAAUUAACACUCACAGUUUCAUUUUUGCAAUCUAGUUGAGCAUUGACAGUGUUCAAGAAGGGUCUAGCAAAUAUUAUGGGAGAAAAAUCAUCUUAUGUUGAGCCAAGUACUAGAAAAUUAGUACGGUAUUUCACUUUCCCACACAAUACUUCAACAUCUCUAACAAUCCCAAGUGAUGUGAUGGUGUCUCUAUUAGCAAGUUCAGUAGUAACAUCUAUGUCUUCUAUUUCACCGGGUGUUAUCUCAUGCAUAAUUUCUUGAUAUAAGGUAAAAGGAAUAGCACUAACACUAGCGUCCAUAUCACAUAAACCAUGAUAACAAUGAUCUCCUAUUUUGACUGAUACGACAGGUAUGACAACAACGGGUCUAUUUUUAUCUUUAGUAUGAGGUUUGACAAAUCUAGCAGCUUCAUCAAAGAAAUAAAUAACUUUUCUUAACAUAACUUUUGUUAACCACACUUGAAGCUUUAGCAUGUUCCUUUAUCCUAAUAGGGAAAGGUGAUUUCUCAAUAUAAGCAGUAGGCACAACUGGGUCCACAUUGUAAAUGACAGUUUCAUCCUCAACUUUAAGUAGUUAUUCAACUUUUUACUUAAUAGGUGGAUGAUAUUUAAACCAUUUCUCUUUAGUGAGAUCAACAUAAGUAGCAAAGAUUUCAAAAAAUAAGGCUACUAUCUAAGACUCAAGUCCAUAUUUAGUGCUAAAAUAAUUGAAAGCAUAGGUAUUCAUAAAAGAUUUAACACAAUCAAAAUCAAGUUUUAUACCUAACUCUUUACCUUUGUUGAGUUCCCAAUCUUCAGAGUUGUGCUUAAUUCUUUCCAAAAGAUCCCACCUGAAUUCAAUAGUGUUCUUCAUAAAAGAACCAGACCAAGAAGUAUCGAGUAUGGUUUGAUCAUUACGAGAAAGCCGAGCAUAAAAAUUCUGAACAAUAAUUUCUCUCGGGAGCUCAUGAUUGGGGUAUGAAUAUAACCUGACUUAAGCCUCCCCCAAGUUCGAGUGAUACAUUCUCCCUCAUGAGGCCAAAAAUUAUAGAUAGAAUUCCGAUCACGAUGAACAAGAUGCAUAGGAUAAAUUUUUGGUGAAACUCCAAUUGCAAUCGAUUCCAGUUCCAAGAUCUUGUAUCAUCACAUACCCUAUACCAUUUUAAUGCUCCCCCCAAGAUAAAGGGAGAACCUUCUUCUUGACUUCACCUGUGGAUAAACCUGCAAGCUUAAAUAAUCCACAAACUUCAUCCACAUAGAUUAGGUGCAUAUCAGGGUGUUUUGUUCCAUCUCCUGCAUAAGGAUUAGCUAGCAAUUUCUCUAUAAUACCCGAAGGAAUUUCAUAAUAAACAUUUUCAGUAGGUUGAGGGACAUCUCUUUGUGUUGCCGUUCAAGGUGAAGAUACCCCGAAGAAACCCCUCAAAGGAUUACUUUCUAUACUGACAAGUGACAGUAAAUUUCAACACGUAAUAAAAAAUUUCCCUUACCAAAGGCGCUUCACUCCCCGCCAACAGCACAAGAAAAGAGUCAUGAUCACCCACUAGUAUAGGGGAUCAAUCAUAGUCCUUUCGAUCAGUAAGAGUGUCGAACCCAACAACGAGCAGAAGGAAACGAUAAGCGGUUUUGAGCAAGGUAAUUUCUGCAAGCACUGAAAUAGUGGUAACAAGUUGUUUGAUAGCAAGAUAAUUGUAACAAGUAAUGAAAAUCGGCAAUAACAAUAAGUGCAGAAAGGUGGACCAAUCCUUUUGUGGAAAAGGACAUGCCGGAAAAGUUUCUUAUAAUAGGCAAAGCGUUCUUGAGGGCACGCGGGAAUUUCAUCUAGUCACUUUCGUCAUGUUGGGUUAAUUCACGUAUGGUACUGUGAUAAUUUGAUAUGUCGGUGGACUAGUGCUUGGGUGUUUGUUUUUACUUGAACAAGCCUCCCAUUUAUUAUUAACCCUCUCCCAAGCAUCCGCAACUAUGAGAAAAGUACUAAGAAUAAAUUCUAACCAAUGCAUUACACAUAGGGAUCCAAAUCAUCCCCUUACGUAAUAGCACAUAAACUUGGGUUUAAGUUUGCGUCACUCUCGCAACCCAUCAUCUAAUAACUACUCAACAAUGCAAUCUCUUAGUCCCAAAGAUGGUGAAGUGUUACAUAGUCGAUGUUCACAUAACACCAAUAAGGGAAUCAAAACAUUAAUAUCAUAAAAAUAUUGAACGAACAUCAACUUCACAUGACUAUUGAUACGUCUCCAACGUAUCUAUUAUUUUUUAUGGUUCCAUGCUAUUAUCUUGACAAACUUUGGAUGUUUUGCAUGCCUUUUAUAUAUUUUUUGGGACUAACUUAUUAACUCAGUGCCAAGUGCCAGUUCCUGUUUUUUCCAUGUUUUUGACCCCUUUCAGAGGAGAUUUUGAAACGGAGUCCAAACGGAAUAAAAUCCCCGAAAAUAUUUUUUCCGUAACGGAAGAAGAUCAGGAGACUUGAGAGCCAAGGCAGGGGGGCCCAGGGGCCCCACAAGCCCACACCCCGUGGCCAGGGGGGAGGCCGUGGCCCUCAGGCUUGUGGGCCCCCUGGACACCCUUUGCCCUAGGGUUUGCGCCUAUAUAUCCCCAAAAAUUCCACAAAAAAUCACGAGAUCACCGAAAGUACUUUUCCGCCGCCGCAAGCUUCUGUCUCUGCAAGAUCCCAUCUGGGGCACGUUCUGGUGCCCUGCCGGAGGGGGGAUUCGGAUAUGGAGGCCUUCUUCGUCAACACCAUGACCUCUCCGAUGAUGCGUGAGUAGUUCACCAUAAACCUACGGGUCCAUAGCUAGUAACUAGAUGGCUUCUUCUCUCUCUUGGAUCUUCAAUACAAAGUUCUCCAUGAUCUUCAUGGAGAUCUAUCCGAUGUAAUCUUCUUUUGCGGUGUGUUUGUCGAGAUCCGAUGAAUUGUGGAUUUAUGAUCAGAUUAUCUAUGAAUCUUAUUUGAGUUUCUUCUGAUCUCUCUUAUGCAUGAUUUCAUAUCCUUGUAAUUCUCUUCGAGUUGUGGGUUUUGUUUGGCCAACUAGAUCUAUGAUUCUUGCAAUGGGAGAAGUGCUUGGUUUUGGGUUCAUACCGUGCGGUGACCUCACCCAGUGAAAGAAGGGGUAGCGAGGCACGCAUCAUGUUGUUGCCAUCAAGGAUAAAAAGAUGGGGUUUUCAUCGUUGGUUUGAGAUUAUCCCUCUACAUCAUGUCAUCUUGCUUAAAGCGUUACUCUGAUCGUCAUGAACUCAAUACACUAGAUGCAUGCUGGAUAGCGGUCGAUGUGUGGAGUAAUAAUAGUACAUGCCGAAAGUAUCGGUCUACUUGUCUCGGACGUCAUGCUUAUAUGUAUGAUCAUUGCCUUAGAUAUCGUCAUGACUUUGCGCGGUUCUAACAAUUGCUCGACAGUAAUUUGUUCACCCACCGUGAUAUUUGCUAUUUUGAGAGAAGCCUCUAGUGAACACUAUGGCCAAGGGUCUACUCCACACCAUAUUUUCAGCCUUACACCUUUUUACUUUGUUGCACUUUCCACCUUCAGAUCUCACUUUGCAAACAAUCUUGAAGGGAUUGACAACCCCUUUGAAGCGUUGGGUGCAAGCUUGUUUGUGUUUGCGCAGGUACUCUGGACUUGACGAGACCCUCUUACUGGAUCGAUACCUUGGUUCUCAAACUGAGGGAAAUACUUACUGCUCCUGUGUUGCAUCACCCUUUCCUCUUCAAGGGAAAAACCGACGCAAAACAAGAGAAGUAGCAAGAAGAAUUCCUGAUGUUGCUAGGGAAGGACUUUUGUUGCCGUAGCAGAAGAAUUUCUGGCGUCGUUGCCGGGGAGGAAGAUCAAGUCAAGAAAUCAUCCAAGUAGGUGUCGCAAAAUCAUCAGUUGCAUUUACUUUGUUUGCCAGUUGCCUCUCGUUUUCCUCUCCCCCACUUCACCAACUUGCCUUUUUUGUUUGCCUUUUUUGUUUGCCUUUUUCAUUCGCCUUUUUCUCGCUUGCUGUUUGUUCGCUCGUGUGCUUGCUUGCUUGCCGAAUUCACCAUGAAUGAAAACACCAAACUUUGUGACUUCUCGAAUACUAAUAAUAAUGAUUUUAUUAGUACUCCGAUUGCUCCUGCCACUAGUGCGGAGUCGUACGAAAUCAAUGCCGCUUUGAUGAAUCUUGUUAUGAAAGAGCAACUCUCCGGCCUUCCUGGCGAAGAUGCCGCAUCCCAUCUCAAUACCUUCAUUGAGAUUUUUCCUUUCUCGUUGCGAGAUCGCGCAAAAACUUGGUUUUCUUCUUUGCCCAAAAAUAGUAUCGAUUCUUGGGAUAAGUGCAAAGAUGCUUAUAUAUCCAAGUAUUUUGCGCCGGCUAAGAUCAUCUCUCUCCGUAACGACAUCAUGAAUUUCAAUCAACUUGAUCAUGAACAUGUUCCACAAUCUUGGGAGAGAAUGAAAUUAAUGAUUAGAAAUUGUCGCGCUCAUGGCUUGAGUCUUUGGAUGAUUAUUCAAAUCUUUUACGCUGGCUUGAAUUUUGCUUCUAGAAAUAUCUUGGACUCCACCUCAGGUGGAACAUUCAUGGAAAUCACGUUAGGGGAAGCCACAAAGAUCCUAGACAACAUCUUGACGAAUUACUCUCAGUGGAACACUGAAAGGUCGCAUACUAGUAAGAAGGUACACGCUAUAGAAGAAAUUAACUCGUUGAGUGCUAAGAUGGACGAGUUAAUGAAUUUGGUUGCUAGUAGAAGUGCUCCUUUGGAUCCUAAUGAUAUUCCCUUGUCUUGUUUGAUUGGCAGUAGCAACGCUAGCUUGGACGUUAAUUUUGUUGGUAGGAAUAACUUUGGCAACAACAAUGCUUUUAGAGGAAACUAUGUUCCUAGGCCUUUUCCAGCUAGUAACUCCUCUAAUAAUAUUGGCAACUCCUACAACAAUACUCACGGAAAUUACAAUAGAUUACCCUCUGAUCUAGAGAGUAAUAUCAAAGAGUUCAUCAACUCUCAAAAGAUUUUCAAUGCGUCCCUCCUACUGGAUCGAUACCUUGGUUCUCAAACUGAGGGAAAUACUUACUGCUCCUGUGCUGCAUCACCCUUUCCUCUUCAAGGGAAAAACCGACGCAAAACAAGAGAAGUAGCAAGAAGAAUUCCUGGCGUUGCUAGGGAAGGACUUUUGUUGCCGUAGCAGAAGAAUUUCUGACACCGUUGCCGGGGAGGAAGAUCAAGUCAAGAACUCAUCCAAGUAGGUGUCGCAAACUCAUCUCUUGCAUUUACUUUGUUUGCCAGUUGCCUCUCGUUUUCCUCUCCCCCACUUCACCAAUUUGCCUUUUUUGUUUGCUUUUUUUCGUUUGCCCUUUUCUCUCGCUUGCUCUCUGUUCGUCUGUGUGGGAUAGUCUACCUGUCCUCAUGGCUAGAUCCACCACUUCGAACGAUACUCCCGAGAGCGAAGUCCUCAAUUUCAAAAAAAUUGAGGAAGAAAACUUAAAGGACGCUUGGUAUAGGAUUUGCAAUGCUCAGAGUAGAUCUACUCGUAAGCAAUCCACUACCGUCUUGCUUCAUAGUUUUUAUGUGGGUGUUUCUCCUUGGAAUAGGUAUAUUCUUGACACCAUCGUGGAUGGAAAUUUCUUGGGUAACCAUACCGUUGAUUCUUACGGAGCUGUGAUAAAUUUGGUAGGAUCACCCCCACUCAUGGUUAAUGGAACUACCUUAACUCUGGAACAUGUGAUGCGUAGGCUGGACGUCAUUGAAAAUAAAGUUGCUACGAUCGAACUCACUGAGAAUUUGGAUAAAAAGAUCCACAAUCAAAUCACUCAGUACGGAUCCAUGGUGGGAAUGGUUUUGCAAAAAUUAAAUGAGAAGGAACCCACAGUUAACGAAAAGCUAGGUCAUGAUUCUGCUAGGAUUGUCAAACUAGAGGAUGUUAUAACCAACUUGGGUUCCGCUUUUGCCGCUGUGCAGAAUACUCCAAAUUUUGCCCACAAUAAGGUCACCAAGUCUGUUUUUGUUCCCAUAAAUAGUGGUGAAUCAUCUAGCAGGAAAGAUGAAAACCUUAAGAUGAUAAGUGAUCACACUACCUAUGGUUUGAGCACCAAAGACGACGAUACGUGAUUCUGACAGUUUUAUGCCUAGCUAGGGGCGUUAAACAAUAGCGCUUGUUGGGAGGCAACCCAAUGAAUUUAUCUUUUUGUCUCUGUUUUGUUGCGUCCACACCAUCACAAUUCUGUUGUGAUUGUGUCUUUUGUGUUUCUUUUUGUGUUUGAGCCAAGCAAAACCUUUAUGACUAGUCUUGGUAAUGGUUGUUUGAUCCUGCUGGAAAAAGACAGAAAUAUUUCGCUCACGAGAUGAUUUUUCAUUUUUAUUCAGAAAGAGUUUUUGAGUUGAUUCUUUUUGCUGCUGGGUGAUAUGCCUUUUUCCCAGGCCGUUGUAAGUUUUCAGAUUUUUUGAGGUACCAGAAGUAUACGAAGUAUACAGAUUUCUACAGACUGGUUUGUUUUUGACAAAUUAUGUUUUUUGUUGAGUUGGCUGCUUGUUUUGAUGAAACUAUGGUUAGUAUCGGGGGGUACUAGCCAUGGAAAAGUGAGAAUAGAGUAUCCCAACACCAAUAUAGAUAGAAUUCAGGUUUGCUACAGUACCAAAAGAAGUGGUAGUUUGUUUUCUUGUGCUAAUGUUAUCACGAGUUUCUGUUUAAGUUUUGUGUUGUGAAGUUUUCAAGUUUUGCAUGAUGCUCAUGGACAAAGAGAUAAGGAGUGGAAAGAGCUCAAGCUUGGGGAUGCCCAAGGCAUCCCAAGACAAAUUCAAGGACACGAAAAAGCCUAAGCUUGAUGAUGCCCCGGGAAGGCAUCCCCUCUUUCGUCUUCAAUCCAUCGGUAACAUUACUUAGAGCUAUAUUUUUGUUCAACACUUGAUAUUUGUUUUGCUUGGAGCGUCUUGUAUCGUCGGAGUCUUUUCUUUUUGUUGUGUCACAAUCAUCCUUGUUGCACACCUUUUUGAGAGAGAGAGAGAGACAUGCACUCAUCGUGAUUUUGCUAGAAUGCUCAUAGUGCUUCACUUAUAUCUUUUGAGCUAGAUACUUUUGCUCUAUGUGCUUCACUUAUAUCUUUUAGAGCUCGGCGGUGUGUGACGUGGUAGUUGGCUUAUGCUAUGAAAGUAGUCCCAAAUGUGAUAGGUACCCAAAGAGGAUGCAAAAACCUCCAGCUUCAUGUGCAUUGAGUAGAAAGAGAAGUUUUGAUUCCUCUCAAUUAGUUUUGAGACGUGGAUUUGGUAAUAUUAAAAGCUAUGUUAGUAGGGUGUUGUGAAUCUAGAAAUACUUGUGUUGAAGUUAGUGAUUCCCGUACCAUGCACGUAUGGUGAACCGCUAUGUUAGGAAGUCGGAGCAUAAUUGAUCUAUUGAUUGUCAUCCUUUGUGUUGAUGUCGGGAUCGCGCGAUGGUUAACACCUACCAACCCUUCCCCUAGGAGUAUGCGUUUAGCACUUUGUUUCGAUUACUAAUAAAAACUUUCGCAACAAGUAUUUGAGUUCUUCAUGACUAAUGUGAGUCCAUGGUAUAGAUGCGCUUUCACCUUCCACCAUUGCUAGCCUAUCUAGUGUCGCGCAAUUCUCGCCGGUACACAAACCCACCAUAUGCCUUCCUCAAAACAACCACCAUACCUACCUACUAUGGCAUUUUCAUAGCCAUUCCGAGAUAUAUUGCCAUGAACCUCCCACCGUUUCGUCUCAUGACUUGUGACGUCACUCUCAUAUUGCCAUUGCAUGAUCGUAAGAUAGCUAGCGAGAUGUUUCCAACGUCAUACGCCAUGCUAGAUCGUUGCACAUCCCGGUACACUUCUGGAGGCAUUUCCUAUAGAGUCAUCAUCAUUUUGAGCUUUGAGCUGUGAGUAAAUAAAAGUGUGAUGAUCAUCAUUAUUAGUGCAUUGUCCCAUCUGAGGAAAAAAAAAGAGGCCAAAGAGCCCAAAAAUAAAAAUAAAGGAGAAAAUAAGAGGCCUAAGAGCCAAAAUGAAAAAAAAGAGAAAAAGAGAGAAGGGACAAUGGUACUAUCUUUUUCCACACUUGUGCUUCAUAAUAGCACCAUGUUAUUCAUGAUUGAGAGCUUCUUGCUUUGUCACUACCAUAUGCUAGUGGGAAUUUUCAUUAUAUAACUUGGCUUGUAUAUUCCAAUGAUGGGCUUCCUCAAAAUUGCCCUAGGUCUUCGUGAGAAAGCAAGUUGGAUGCACGCCCACUAGUUUCCCUUUUGAGCUUUCACAUACUUAUAGCUCUAGUGCAUCUCUUGUAUGGCAAUCCCUACUCAUUCACAUUGAUAUCUAUUAAUGGGCAUCUCCAUAGCCCUUUGAUACACCGAGUCAAUGUAACCAUCUCCUCCUUUUUGUCUCACAACCAUCACCACACUCUAUUCCACUUAUAGUGCUAUAUCCAUGGCUCACGCUCAUGUAUUGCGUGAUAGUUAUAAAAAGUUUGAGAAAGUAAGAGUGUGAAAACAAUUACUUGGCCAAUACCGGGGUUGUGCAUGAUUUACAUUAGUUGUGUGAGGAUGACGGAGCAUAUCCAGACUAUAUCAUUUUGUAGGGAUAACUUUCCUAGGCCUUGUUAUUUUGAAAGUUCAUGAUUACCAUGCUAGUUUGCUUGAAGUAUUAUUGUUUUCAUGUUAAUAGCAAACUAUUGUUUUGAAUCUUACGGAUCUGAUCAUUCAUGUCACGUGAAAUAAGUUGCAAAGGACAACUAUGCUAGGUAGCAUUCCACAUCAAAAAUUCAUUCUUUAUUACUUCCCUACUCGAGGACGACCACGAGUUAAGCUUGGGGAUGCUUGAUACGUCUCCAACGUAUCUAUAAUUUUUGUUGGUUCCAUGCUAUUAUCUUGUCAAACUUUGGAUGUUUUGCAUGCCUUUUAUAUUUUUUUUGGGACUAACUUAUUAACUCAGUGCCAAGUGCCAGUUCCUGUUUUUUCCAUGUUUUUGACCCCUUUCAGAGGAGAUUUUGAAACGGAGUCCAAAGAGAAUAAAAUCCCCGAAAAGAUUUUUUUUCCGUAACGGAAGAAGAUCAGGAGACUUAAGAGUUAAGGCAGCGGGCCCCAGGGGCCCCACAAGCCCCCACCCCGCGGCCAUGGGGGGAGGUCACGGCCCUCAGGCUUGUGGGGCCCCUGGACACCCUUUGCCCUAGGGUUUGCGCCUAUAUAUCCCCAAAAAUUCCACAAAAAAUCAGGAGAUCAUCGAAAGUACUUUUCCGCCGCCGCAAGCUUCUAUCUCCGCAAGAUCCCAUCUGGGGCACGUUCUGGUGCCCUGCCGGAGGGGGGAUUCGGAUACGGAGGGCUUCUUCAUCAACACCAUGACCUCUCGGAUGAUGCGUGAGUAGUUCACCAUAGACCUACGGGUCCAUAGCUAGUAACUAGAUGGCUUCUUCUCUCUCUUGGAUCUUCAAUACAAAGUUCUCCAUGAUCUUCAUGGAGAUCUAUCCGAUGUAAUCUUCUUUUGCGGUGUGUUUGUCGAGAUCCGAUGAAUUGUGGAUUUAUGAUCAGAUUAUCUAUGAAUCUUAUUUGAGUUUCUUCUGAUCUCUCUUAUGCAUGAUUUCAUAUCCUUGUAAUUCUCUUCGAGUUGUGGGUUUUGUUUGGCCAACUAGAUCUAUGAUUCUUGCAAUGGGAGAAGUGCUUGGUUUUGGGUUCAUACCGUGCGGUGACCUCACCCAGUGACUGAUGGGGUAGCGAGGCACGCACCAUGUUGUUUUCAUCAAGGGUAAAAAGAUGAGGUUUUCAUCAUUGGUUUGAGAUUAUCCCUCUACAUCAUGUCAUCUUGCUUAAAGCGUUACUCUGUUCGUCAUGAACUCAAUACACUAGAUGCAUGCUCGAUAGCGGUCGAUCUGUGGAGUAAUAGUAGUAGAUGCAGAAAGUAUCGGUCUACUUGUCUCGUACGUGAUGCCUAUAUGUAUGAUCAUUGCCUUAGAUAUCGUCAUGACUUUGCGCGGUUCUAUCAAUUGCUCGACAGUAAUUUGUUCACCCACCGUGAUAUUUGCUAUUUUGAGAGAAGCCUCUAGUGAACACUAUGGCCCCAGGGUCUACUCCGCACCAUAUUUUCAGCCUUACACAUUUUUACUUCGUUGCACUUUCCGCCUUCAGAUCUCACUUUGCAAACAAUCUUGAAGGGAUUGACAACCCCUUUGAAGCGUUGGGUGGAAGCUUGUUUGUGUUUGCGCAGGUACUCUGGACUUGACGAGAACCUCCUACUGGAUCAAUACCUUGGUUCUCAAACUAAGGGAAAUACUUACUGCUCGUGUGCUGCAUCACCCUUUCCUCUUCAAGGGAAAACCCGACGCAAAACAAGAGAAGUAGCAAGAAGAAUUCCUGGCGUUGCUAGGGAAGGACUUUUGUUGCCAUAGCAACUACUUGCAGCAAUACUUCUCUCAUGGCCUCAAGAACAAAAGUAACUACUCACAAGUGAUAAACAUGCUCAUGAUUAGAGAGGUAUUAAAUAGCAUAUUGGAUCUGAACAUAUGAUCUUCCACCAAAUAAACCACAAAGCAUCAACCACAAGAUGUAAUCAACACUACUAGUCACCCCAUGUACCAAUUUGAGGUUUCGGUACAAGAUUGAGCACAAGAGAUCAACUAGGGUUUUGAGAGGAGAUUGUGUUGUUGAAGAUGUUCAUGAAUAUUGGCCUCCCCGAGAUGAGAGGGUUGUUGGUGAUGACGAUGGCCUCGAUUUCACCCUCCGGAAAGGAAGUUACUGUAGCGGAAUCGCUCUGCCGGAGCGCAAAAGUGCUCCUGCCCAAGUUCCGCCCCGAGACGAUGGUGCUCGUCCGAAAAAUCCUCUCCUUAUUUUUCCAGGUCAAACAUGAAAAGAUACCAGAAGAUGGUCGUCAAAAGUGGGAUGGGUGGCCCACUACCCACCAGGGCGUGAGGGGGGCUGUCGCACCCUCAUGCCUAGUGGCCAUCUGGCAUCCCCCCUUUGGUACUUCUUUCUUCUAGUAUUUUUAUUUAUUCCAUAGAAAUACUCCGUGGAGUUUCAACCCAUUUGGAGAUGUGCAGAAUAGGUAUCUCUGACGUAGCUUUUUCACGUCGAGAACUCCAUCUACCGACAUUCUCCCUCUUGGUGUAAACCUUGCAUAUUAUGAGAUAAAAUGCAUUAGAAUUACUCAAUAAAGUAGUAUAAUGUGUAAAAACAUUAUAAAUAACAGUAGCAAAACAUGAUGUAAAAUGGACGUAUCAUCGGGCUACGCUAAGACUUCUAUUGCGGCUGCCCUCCCUGUCCUGUUAUAUAUACAUAGGGGGUGGAGGUGCACCGACCCUAGGGCCUCCUCCAAGGGAGGGCCGUGGCCUAGGGGGUGGCUUGCCACCUAAGGCAAGGUUGGCGCCCCCCUCUAGGAUUUUCUAAAACCAUGGGAGCCUUGGGACUUGGGAGGUGGGGCGCCCGGCCCACCACGGGCUACUGCGCCACCCCUCUCAGCCCAUGGGUCCCUCUCGGGUUGGUGGACUUCCUUGGUGGACCUCCGGAACUGCUUCCAGCACUUCCAACAAAAAGCGGUAAAACUCAAAACCAUUCUGGUACCCGAAUACCAACUUCCCAUAUAUAAAUGUUUACCUCCGAACCAUUCCGAAGAUCCUAUUCAUGUACGGGAUCUCAUCUGGGACUCGAACAACAUUUGGUCACCAAUAUAAAUAUCCUGAUAAUAGUAUAUAUCAUCAUCAAACGUUAAGCGUGCGGACCCUAUGGGUUCAAGAAUCAUCCAGACAUGACCGAGACACCUAUCUGGUCAAUAACCAAUAAUGGGACAAGGAUGCCCAUAUUGGUUCCUACAUAUUCCACAAAGUUCUUUAUCAGUAAAACCAUAAUGUCAAGCAUUCAAUCAAUCCCACAUGUAGUUCCCUUUGCCCAUCAGUAUGUUACUUUCCCGAGAUUCAAUUGUCAGCAUAUCCAUACCUAGUUCAAUCUCGUUACCGAAAAGUCUCUUUACUCGUUUUGUAAUACAAGAUCACGUGACUAACUCCUUAGUCAUAUGCUUGCAAGAUUCUUCUGAUGUGUUAUUACCGAGAGGGCCCAGAGAUACCUCUCCGUCCUACAGAGUGAAAAAUGCCUGUCUCGAUCCAUGCCAACCCAACAAACUCCCUCAGAAAUACGUGUAGAGUACCUUUAUUAUCACCCAGUUAUGAAGUGAUGGUUGAUACACACAAGGCAUUCCUCUGGUGACAAGGAGUUGCAUGAUCUCAUGAUCUUAGGAACAGAACUUAGUGAUACAAUUGAAUGCUAUGCUUAUGGUUUGGUCUUGUCCAUCACAUCAUUCUUCUAAUGAUGUGAUCCCGUCAUCAAAUGAAAACUCAUGUCUAUGGUUAGGAAACUCUAACCAUCUUGGAUCAACGAGCUAUUCUAGUAGAGGCUCACUAGGGACACGGUGUUGUUUAUAUAUACACAUAUGUAUGUGAGUUUCCGAUCAAUACAAUUAUAGCAUGGAUAAUAAACAAUUAUCAUGAACAAAGAAAUUUGAUAAUAACUACUUUAUUAUUUCCUCUAGGGCAUAUUUCCAAAAACAUGCUCAUCACCUCAUUGUGUGUCGGCAUGAGAAAUAGAAAUAUUAUUAGGAUACUUAAUAGGUUUUUCUAUAACAGGUUCACUAGAACCAUGCAAAAUUUUAUUCCUAAUCUUGUUCUUUUUCUUCUCACAUGAACUAGGUCCACUAUAAAUAUUUGAUAAUCCUCUUCAAUCCUCUUAGUAUGACCCUCUGGGAAAAAAGUUUCUUGAGUUAAUUUACCCCCUCUCGUAUCUACUCCACGGGUGUGCUUAUUAAGUUUAUUAUGCAUAUACCUAAACAAAUCAUUUUCUGAUCUAGCACUUGUUCAAGCUGAGUGUGAACCAUGGAUGAGUACUUACUUAAAUCUUUAACAUCAUUAUUAAUUGUAACUAUCACAUCACUCAUGCAUUCAACAUAAUAGCAUUACAUUUCAGUUCAUCAGUUAAUUUCAUAUUGAAGGUUUAUGUUAUAACGACAAAACUAUCAAAUUCAUCUAAGCACCAUCUUAGAGAUUUAUUAUAAGGACUUUCACCCACAUCAAGCCUAUAAAUAGAAUUUGCCUCUACCACCUAUUUUGAACGUUGAGUCCAUGUAGUUUUUUCAAUAGUUGGUAAAUUCUUGACAUCUUUUGAUUUAAUACCUUUCUCAGUCAUAGAUUUCUUGGCUCCUUUCAUAUCUUCGGGGCAGAGAACUAGAAUACCCAUUUUGUUUGGAGAUGCAUUAGGAGGUGGUUCAUGACGUGCCCAAUCGUUGACAUUUCUUAAGAAGUUAUCCAAUAAUUAUUGAGUGUGUGAAAAUGUUCUUUCCCGGAAAACACAAUGAGCACAUCUAUCUAUCUACUCCAUAGAAGCAUAUGUUUGUCCAUUAUAAAUGACAUCAAGUAUUUCAUUUUCUUUCAUCGGAUAAUCACGCAAAGCGUAAACUAACUAGCCAAGAGACCCCCUAGCUUGAGCGAGAUUCUCUUCCUCAAGUUGUUCAAAUUAUAUAUUCCAUAAAGCAUCUUAUUUCUUAUGAGCAGGAAAAUAUUUUUAAGUGGAAUAAUAGGUGAUAUCCUGGGGACUACGCACAAAACCAAGAGCAAGAUUAUUAAACCAUAUCUUAACAUCAUCCUUUAAUGCAUAACGAAACAAUUUAAGAAUAUAAUAGUAGCAGAUUUUUUCCUCUUGAGCAAAUAGGGUGGCAAUAUCAUUAAGUGUAGUGAGAUGUGCAACAAAUGUUUCAUAUUUGUGACCAUUAAAAGGAUUUGAUUCUACCAAAGUAGUAAGUUCAAGAUCAAUACAAAAUCAUAAUCAUUAUUAGUAACAAAAAUAGGAGAAGUUCCAAAGUUACGAUCAUAAUUUCAUCAUUUGGUUCAUACCCUUUUCUUUAAACUUAGCAAUUAAUUGGCAAGAUUCUCUAUAUAUUCGCAAGCAAGUAUAUCUUUAGCAAUCUUCUCAUCCAUAGUAUAACCCUCAAGUAGAUCAAAGAAUUUAGUUCUAGUAGGAGUAUGAGGGGUAAUAGGUGAAUCAUAGUGAUACGUCCAUUUUGCAUCAUGAUUCCAUAUUGAUAUUUGUGUUAUUCUUGUCCAUUAUUCCCUAUUAUCAUACAAUUCUUAUGCCCUUUAUCUCUGAAUAUGCAAGGAACAUCACAAAGAGGGAAAUAUUUAGAAACUGGAAUUCUGGACUGGGAAACCAAGAAAAAGGCAGAAAAAUCAUAAGACUCCACAUGACCUAAAACUUCAAGGAGAAUUUUAGUGGAAUAUUUAAGAAUUAUUGGGCCAAAAAUAUACCAGAGGGGGACCACCCGCUGGACACAAGCCAACAGGGCGCGCCCACCUCCCUAGGCGUGCCCUGCUGGCUUAUGGGGCCCCAGUAGGACUCCUCACGCCCCUCUUAUACUAUAUGGUGUGUUUGGACCUAGAAAAAUCAUAAGAGACCUUUCGGGACGAAGCACCACCGUCCAUUGGGAAACCUGGGCAGAGAACCUUUUGCUCUUCGGUAAAGAUAUUUUGUCUUGGGAAUUCCCCUCCGGGAUAGGGAAAUCAAAUCCAUCAUCAUCAUGCUUGCUCCUUCAUGGGAGGACCAAUCUCCAUCAACAUAUUCACCAGCACCAUCUCAUCUCCAACCCUAGUUCAUCUCUUGUAUUCAUUAUAUGUCUCAAAACAUCAGAUUGGUACCUGUGGGUUACUAGUUGUGUUGAUUACAUCUUGUAGUUGAUGCUUGUUGGAUUACUUGGUGGAAGAUAUUAUGUUCAGAUCCAUAAUCAAUAUUAUUUCACCUCUCAUCUUAAACAUGUUGAUGAGGUGUGAGUAGUCACUAUUGUUCCUGAGGACAUGGGAGAACUCUUGUUAUAACUAAUCAUGUAAACUUGGUAUUCGUUCGAUGUUUUGAUGAUAUGUAUGUUGUUACUUCUCUUAGUGGUGUCAUGUGAAUGACAAAUACAUGACACUUCACUAUGUUAUGGUCAUAAGGUAAGUCAUUGUGGAGUAACAAGUAGAUGAUGGGUUGCGAGAAUGACCGAACCUUAAACCCUAGUUUAUGUGUUGCUUCAUGAGGGGCUGAUUUGGAUCCACACGUUUAAUGAUAUGGUAAGGUUUAUCUUAAUUCUUCUUUCGUAGUUGCGAAUGCUUGCAAGAGAGUCUAAUCAUAAAAUGGUUGUUUGUUCAAGUAAGAGCAUCACCUUAGCACCGGUCCACCCACAUACCAAAUUAUCAAAGUAGAGAAUGCAAAUCAACUCAACAUGAUGAACAUGACUAGACAGAAAUUCCCAAGUGUCCUCGGGAGCGCUUUCUUAAUAUAAGAGUACAUUUAGGCAUGUCCUUUGCUAAAAUAGGAUUGUGAUACCUUCCUGCACCUUUUCUACUAUUUUAAUUGUCACUUGCUAUGAAUUAUCUUCCUACAAAACUAUUUAUCACUCUUACUUAUAGCACUUGCACACAAUACCUUGGUGAAAAUCGCUUGUCAUUUCCUUUUACUCCUCAUUGAGUUCAACACUCUUACUUAGGUAAAGCACUAAGACUUAUCCCCAAUAAUUUUGGGUCAUAAAGACUCUUUUCUAGAGCCGUUUACGGGGAGUGAAGCACCUUUGGUAAGUGGAAAUUGGUAAGGAAACAUUUUCGGUACGUGCUGAAAUUCACUAUUGCUUGUCACUAUGAACGAUCACCCUAUGAGUGGCCUAUUCGGGGCAUCUUCGCCUUGAACGUUAGUUUCUAAAGUUGCUCCCCAACCUAAUAAACCUACUGAAAAUAUUUAUUAUGGGAUUCUUUCGGGUAUGGUAGAGAAACUAUUGUCUAAUCCUUAUAACAGUUCAACUCAUCUUGACUACCAUUUCGUAUAUGUCGAUGAGAUUUGUGAAUUGUUUAAGAUUUCAGGUCUACCCGGAGAUAAAGUUAAGAAGAAAAAUUUCCCUUUAUAUUUGGAGGGAAAAUCAUUAAUGUGGUACAGGCUAUUGGAUGAUAUUGGAUCAUGGGACUGGAACCUCUUGAAGCUAGAAUUUCAUCACAAGUUUUUCCCUAUGCAUCUAAUUCAUCGUGAUCGGAACUUUAUUUAUAAUUGAUAGCCUCGAAGGAGAAAGUAUCGCUCAAGCAUGUAGAUGGCUUACACCUAUUAUGCACACUUGCCCCAACCAUGAGCUCUCGAGAGAAAUGAUGAUAUAAAACUUUACUGCUCAGCUUUCUCUUGAUGAUCAAGCAUUACUCGAUUCUUGUGCUACUUCUUCCUAUAUGAAGGAGAUUAUUGUAUUCAAAAGGGAUCUUCUGGAAAGGAGUAAACUCAACUCUAAAGAUUGGGAACUCGGCGAAGCUAAGGAUCUCGGUGUAAAUCUUCAUUUUGAUUGUGAUAAAUCUUUUAUGGAAACUGCUUCUUUCCAUGAGUUUAGCAACAAAUAUGGUCUUGACUCUAAGAUAGGAACUACUUUCUACGAAUCUUUUGCUACCCAUGUUAAUCUUUCCAGGGAGAAGUGGUUUAAAUAUCAUCCUCCCAUUGCAAAAUUGUCUAAGUAACCUGUUAAAAUUAAGAAGGAAGAAAUAAUUGUUAACCAUGUUGAUGCAAUUUUUCCUACUCCUUCGAUUGAGAAACCUCCUUUUCCCGUUAGGAUUUGGGACUUGCUAAGCCUACAAUUGUGGUGAAUAAAAUUCAUGUUAGGAAACUGAAACCUUCUAAAAAAAUAAAUGUUGAGCCUAAUGUUGCUAUAGUUAAGGAUAUCCUAGCUGAUAAUAUUGAUGGGGAGGUUAUUUAGCUUUGUGAUGAAGUUGCUAGAAUUGCAAAACCUGUUAGAAACAAGCAUGACGAGAUCGAUAAAAAUAAACUAGUUGUAGGUAUGCAUGUCGUUUUAGUUAAAAUUGAACAUCAUUUCUACCUUGACUUUUGUGAUAUUGGUGGCUAGUGUUAGUGUUAUACCAUUUAUAUUAUAUCAAGAAAUUAUGCACGAUAUAGCACCCUAUGAGAUUAAAGAUAUAGAUGUCACUAUUAAACUUGUAAAUCGUGAUAUUAUUUCACACUUGGGAUUGUUUGAUAUGUUGAAGUAUUGUGUGGAAAAGUCAAUUACCAAACUAAUUUCCUAGUACUUGCCUCAGAGAAAGAUAACUUUUGUCACAUCAUAUUUGGUAGACCUUUCUUCAAUACUGCUAAUGCUAUUAAUUGUGCUAGUGAGAAGGUCAAAGUAAGCUUUGGUGAUAUGUCUCAUAAAUUUAAUUUUUCCAAGUUUAGUAGACAACCACAUGAAAAAGAACUCCCUAAUAAGGAUGAAAUAGUUGGUCUUUCUUCUAUUAUUGUACCUCCUACUGAUCCGCUAGAACAAUAUUUGCUAGACCAUGAAAAUGAAUGAAAGGAAUGAAAUAGAUAAAAUGUUCUUUGAUCAACAUCCUAUCCUUAAAUACAACCUACAAGUUGAUUUUUUAGGGGAUCCUCAUCGACCCAAGAGAGAUCCCGUGUUUGAGCUUAAGACAUUACCUAAUACUUAUGAAAUAUGCUUAUCUUGUGAAAAGGAGAUAUAUCAUGUUAUUAUUAGUGCUAACCUUUCAGAGAAUGAAGAAAAGAGAUUACUUAAAACUCUAAAGAAAUAGAGGGCUACUAUUGGAUAUACUCUUUUUGAUGAUCUUAAGGGCAUAAGCCCCACUCUAUGUCAGAAUGAGAUUAAUGUGGAACCGGAUGCUAAACCCGUCAUUGAUCGUCAACGUCGUCUCAAUCCUAAGAUGAAAGAGGUGGUAAGAACUGAGGUAUUAAAACUUCUGGAGGCAGGUAUCACUUAUCCUAUUGCUGAUAGUAGAUGGGUAAGUCCUAUUCAUUGUGUUCCUAAGAAAUGAGGCAUAACCAUUGUUCCUAAUGAUAAAAAUGAACUUAUUCCACAAAGAAUGAUAAUUGGCUAUAGGAUGGUAAUUGACUUUGGGAAAUUGAACAAAGCUACUAGAAAGUAUCAUUAACCAUUGCCUUUUACCGAUCAAAUGUUAUAAAUAUUAUCCAAGCACACACACUUUUGUUUUCUUGAUGGACAUUCUGGGUUCUCUCAAAUACCCAUGUCAAAAGGGGACCAAGAGAAAACUACCUUGACUUGACCUUUUGGAACUUAUGCUUAGAGGGGUAUGCCUUUUGGUCUAUGCAAUGAACCUCCUACCUUUCAAAGAUGUAUGACUGCUAUAUUCUCUGACUUAUAUGAGAAGAAUGUUGAGGUUUUCAUGGAUGAUUUUUCCAUUUACGGAACUUAUUUUCAUGAUUGCUUGAGAAACCAUGAUCGAGUUUUGCAUAGAUGUGAAGAAACUAAUCUUCUCUUGAAUUGGGAGAAGUGCCAAUUUAUGGUGAAUGGCGGUAUAGUACUUGGGCAUAAAGUUCCUGAACAAGGUACUGAGGUGGAUAAAGCCAAAGUUUAUGCAAUAGAGAAAAUGCCAUGCCCAAAAGAUAUCAAAGGCAUAAGAAAUUUUCUCGAUCAUGUUGGUUUCUAUAGGCGUUUCACUAAGGAUUUCUCAAAGAUUUCUAGGCCAUUAAUUAAUCUUCUUGAACUAGAUAUUCCUUUUGUUAUUGUGUAGAAGCCUUUGAAAUACUUAAGAAAGCCUUAAUUUCUGCACCUAUUGUUCAACCACCCGAUUGGAACUUACCAUUUGAAAUCAUGUGUGAUGCUAGUGAUUAUGUUGUUGGUUCUGUUCUAGGGCACAGACUAGAAGAAAUUGAAUGUUAUUCAUUACGCAGACCCUCGAUAGUGCCCAAAGAAAUUAUGCUACUACUAAACAGGAUUUUUUAGUUGUUAUGUUUGCAUGUGAUAAGUUUAGGUCUUACAUUGUGGAUUCUAAAGUAACUAUUCACACCGAUCAUGCUGCUAUUAAAUACCUUAUGGGAAAGAUAGAUGCUAAACCUAGACUUAUUAGGUGGGUGCUUUUACUCCAAGAAUUUGACUUGCAUAUUGUUGAUAGGAAGGGAGCUGAAAACCCUUUAGCACAUAACUUGUCUAGGACGGAAAAUCUUCUUGAUGACCCACUGUCUAUUGAUGAUAAUUUUCCUCAUGAGCAACUUGAUCUUAUAAAUACUUCACAUAGUACUACUUGGUAUGCGGAUUAUGCUAUUUAUAUUGUUGGUAAUAUCUUCCGCCUAUCUUCACCUAUCAACAAAAGAAAAAUUCUUUUAUGAUUUGCGACAUUACUUUUGGGAUGACCCACAUCUUUAUAAAGAAGGAGUAGAUGGUGUAAUUAGAUGGUGUACCUGAGCAUGGACCAGAACAGAUCCUAAGGAAGUGACACUCUAAGGCCUACGGAGGAUGCCAUGCUGGUCGCAGAACGGGUCACAAGGUACUACAAUCCGGUUUCUAUUGGCCAACUCUUUUUAAAGAUGCUUGUAAGUAUGUCCUUUAAUGUGAUCAAUGUCAAGAGUUGGUAACAUUGGUAAACGUCGACAAAUUCCUAUGAAUUAUUCACUUGCUAUUGAACCAUUUGAUAUUAAUGCUUUGAUUUUAUGGGACCUUUUCCUUCCUCUAAUGGGUGUACUCGUUCUUGUUGAUAACGUUACUAAGUGGGUAGAACCUAUUCCAACUAGUAGUGAUGAUCAUAACACAUCUACUAAAAGUCUUAAAGACAUCAUUUUUCCAACAGUCCCUAGAUAUUUAAUGACUGAUGGUAGUUCACAUUUUAUUCAUGGUGCUUUUCGUAAACUUCUAGCUAAAUAUGAUGUUAACCAUAUAAUUGCAUCACCUUAUCAUCCUCAGUCUAUUGGCCAAGUUGAAUUGAGUGACUAAGGAAUAAAAUUGAUUUUGCAAAAGACUCUUAAUAGUUCUAGAAAGAAUUGGUCGAAGAAACUAGAUGGUGCUUUAUGGGCUUAUAGAACUACUUAUGAAAAUCCCAUGGGGAUAUCCCCAAUAAAAUGGUGUAUGGAAAAUCUUGCCAUUUACCUCUUGAGUUAUAACAUAUAGAUUAUUGGGAAAUUAAAGAACAUAAUUAUGACUUUAAACUUGCCAGCGAAAAGAGGUUAUUUGAUAUUAGCUCAUUAGAUGAAUGGAGGACAUAAGCCUAUGAAAAUGCCAAGUUAUUUAAAAAAAAUAAGAGAUGGCAUGAUAAGAGAAUACAAAAAUGAGAAUUCAAUGCAGGAGAUCUAGUGCUUUUGUACAAUUCUUGUUUCAGAUUAUUUACAGGUAAACUCCUCUCCAAAUGGGAAGGAGCAUAUGUUGUCGAGGAGGUUUAUCGCUCCGGUGCUAUAAAGGUCAAUAAUUUCGAGGGAAAAAAUUUGAGAGUGGUAAAUGGGCAAUGAAUUAAGACUUACAUCUGAGGUAUGCCCAUUAAUGUUGAAAAUAAUAUUAUUCAAGAGAUAACACCGGAGGAGCACAUAAGAGAGACCUUCUGAAACUCUCCAGAAAACUAAAAAAAGAGUAGGUACAUGAUAGAGUAAGAAAACCGACUCCAAAAAUUCCAAAAAAAUAUGUCUUGUUGGUUUUGGUAUUUUAGAAAAAUUCCAAAAAUAAAUAGGAGUUAGGGGACCCACGAGAGAGGCACAAGCCAACACUGCGCACCCACACCAUGGGCGCACCCUCAUGGCUUUAUGGGCCCCUUGUGUGCUUCCCGGACUUCUUUUCUUCCCGAGCACGUAUUCUGACCUGGAAAAAAUCAUUAUAUAUACUCUCGACUGUUUUGACAACCGCAUCGCGAGUUUUCCUAUGUUCUUGCUUCGGGUUGUUUUUCUGACAGAUCUAGAUCGCCAUGGCAACAUCAAGCUCCUCCAAGGACAAGUUCUUUGAGAAGGUCAUAAACCCUUACCUCUCGGAGGUGAUGAAGCACCCGCAUACCAUUGAGAUGCACAAGGGGGUGCUCCACAUCCGUGACGUGCAAGGACGAAGGCCAGGCUUCCAGCAGUGGAGUACGAGAUCUUCAAGUGCCAAUGGGAUGGCUGAAUGUGGUUUAUGUGCUAAUCACUCUAUGAUCACAAACUUCAUCCCGAAGAACCAGCUGGACACUAGGAACAUGGGAUAGGCCAUCUUUAAGCUUCAAGAGAAGAUGAAAUAUCUCCAAGAUCAAAUAUUUGACCUGCAAAACUAAUACUUUGAGUAUGAACCGACGUUUAAGAGGAUGAGCAUCUCUGGCUUUCAGGAUUCCGGAGACAAGAUUAUGUUUCUAUGAUAGUUAUCCAAUGCCUUGGAAGGCGAAAGAUCAGCCUGUCGCAUCAUCGCCACCAUCACCCACGAAGGACGCCGGAGUACAUCGGUAUGGGAUCCACCCUUAGCUUGUUCCAAGCUUGGGCAGGUGCCCCGGUAUCAUAUCACCAUCACUUCUACCAUUACCAUCUAUUUUAGUUCGAUCCUUAGCUAUUUCGUGAUUUAGAGAAAUAAAAUUUCAGAUUUUCUUUGCUUAGAAUUUUUGCUUUGAGUUCUACCUACCUUUGUAACUGAGUAUGAGAGUUAUAUAAUAAAGAUUAGUUGAUUUUGUGUGCUUUACUUGUGUCCACCCAUAAUCAUAGCAUGGCAAUAAAAAGAAAUAAAAAGAUUAUAUGCUUAUCUCAUGAGGAGUAAUGACUUCAAAUAAAAAUGGUAUAGGUGAUAAAAGUUGUUGGGAAUAAACAAGCAUAGUGUUAGUUAUUGCUACAAUCUAAGCAAUGUUAUGAAUUAUGAUAGAGAGGAUAUUCUCAUAUAAAUACACUAUCUUGGACAUCUUUUAUGAUUGUAAGACCACAUAAAAUAUUAUAUAAUGAUCAAGUGUUGAUGUUGGAAAUGGAAGACAACCUAAUGACCAUGGUAGUUUAUAUUCACAUAGAAGUUAUAUGGUCUUCGAUCCUUUAACAUGUGAUUCUUUCUUUAGAUCCUUGCUAGCCCAAACAAUCCACACUAAGUACAGAUACUACUUGUGCAUCCAAAAAACUGAAAAGCGCAUGACAACCUUUGCUUCCCUCUGCAAAGGGCCUAUCAUUUAUCUAGAGGAGUUCACUCUUGUGCGUGAGUCAAUAAAGUUUAUUCCUCUUCCUACAUAUUAACUCUAUAGUGGCAAGCAUCAUGUGUUGAGGAAAGAUUUAGAACUAUAUAUCCAAGUGAAUGUACAUGAUCAUGAUUUUUUAUUAUUGUUGACUUUAUCCUUGAGGUAAAUAAGUUUGGUGGCAAAUUAAUGAACUCACUAUCUUCCUAUGUGUCCCAUGGAAACAUGUGCUCAAAAAAUAUGUCUUGCUCGUCAAUAAUCAUAGAAGAUUAAAUGGUAGUUGAGUAUGUGAACUUUCCAAUAACAAAUUUCUUACAUAGACUCUCCUCUAAAAUAUGAUGAAUUAUGAUUGUCCCGGUCACUAAGAACAUAGUUGUUGAUUGUCAAUAAGGUUUAUGCUUCGUACUCCAAUAAUUGUGAAUGGGUUGCUAAUUUUAAUGAGGAGAUAUAUGAUAAAAUACUUGUUUCUAUGCUAAUAUUCAUGAUGUUAUCAUGUUCGUAUUUUCUUUUUAUCGACUUCUCCCUCUCAAAUCAUGUGGCCAUUAUUCUUGAGCUCGGCUUUCGCUUGAGGACAAGCGAGUUCUAAGCUUGGGAGAGUUGAUACGUCCAUUUUGCAUCAUGAUUCCUUAUUGAUAUUUGUGUUCUUCUUGUCCGUUAUUCUCUAUUAUCAUACAAUUCUUAUGCCCUUUCUCUUGGAAUAUGCAAGGUACAUCACGAGAAUAUUUGGAAACAGCAAUUCUGGACCGGUAAACCAAGAAAAAGGUAGAAAAACACCACACUCCAAAUGACUUGAAACUUCACAGAGAAAUUUUAUGAAAUAUUUAAGAAUUAUUGGCAAAAAAUAUUCUAGAGGGGGACACCUUCUAGCCACAGGCCAACAGGGCGCGCCCACCCCGUGGGCGUGCACUAAUAGCUUAUCAAGCCCCAGCACGCUUCAUGACGCCCCUCUUCUCCUAUAUGGUGUGUUUUGACCUAGAAAAAAUCAUAUGAAACCUUUUGGCAAGAAUCGCCGCUGUCUCGAGGCAGAAACCUAGGUGGAGGCCCUUUUGCUCUGUGGCAGAGAGAUUCUGCAGGGGGGGUUCCCCUCCGGGAGGGGGAAAUUGAAGCCAUCGUCAGCACCAACGCUUCCUCCUUCAUGGGAGGCCCAAUCUCCAUCAACACCUUCACGAGAACCAUCUCAUCUUCAACCCUAGUUCAUCUCUUAUAUUCAAUCUUUGUCUCAAAACCUCAUAUUGGUACCCGUGGGUUACUAGUUGUGUUGAUUAUAUCUUGUAGUUGAUGCUUGUUGGAUUGUUUGGUGGAAGAUAUUAUUUUCAUAUCCUUAAUCAUUAUUAUUAUAUCUAUGAUGUUGAACAUGUUAAUGAGGUGUGAGUAUUUACUAUUGUUCCUGAGGACAUGGAAGAAGUCUUGUUAUAAGUAAUCAUGUAAAGUUGGUAUUUAUUCGAUAUUUUGAUGAUAUGUAUGUUGUUACUUCUCUUAGUGGUGUCAUAUGAACGUCGACUACAUGGAACUUCACCAUGUUAUGGGCCUAAGGGAACACAUUGUGGAGUAACAAGUAUAUGAUGGGUUGCGAGAGUGAAAAAAGCUUAAACCCCAGUGUAUGUGUUGCUUCAUGAGGGGCUCAUUUGUAUCCACACGUUUAAUGCUAUGGUUAUAUUUAUCUUGAUUCUUCUUUCGUAGUUGUGGAUGCUUGCGAGAGUGGGUAAUCAUAAGUUGGUUGUUUUUUCAAGUAAGAAUAACACCUUAGCACCGGUCCACCCACAUAUCAAAUUAUCAAAGUAGCAAACGUGAAUCAACUCAAUAUGAUGAACAUGACAAGACAGAAAUCCCAUGUGUCAUCGGGAGCACUUGCUUAAUAUAAGAGUACUUUGAGGCAUGUCAUUUGCUACAAAAAGGUUGGCUACCUUGCUGCACCUUUGCUACUGUUGUUGCUUGUAACUUGUUACGAAUUAUCUAGCUACAAAACAAUGUAUCAUUGUUACUUACAACACUACAUAGAAUACCUUGCUGAAAACCGCUUGUCAUUUCCUUCUCCUCCUCAUUGGGUUUAACACUCUUACUUAUCGAAAGGACUAUGAUUGAUCCCCUAUACUAGCGGGUCAUCACAGUGUUUUCAUCAAAUUCAGUUUCAUUUUGUUUAGGUUUAGUAAUAUGAACAUCUAUUAAUUCACCAAGGGGCACAACAGUAUUAACCAGAAAAGUCGGAGCAUCAUCAUGAAUAUCAAUAAAAGUAGAAUCAAUAUGUGUUACUUUCGAUGUAUCAUAUUGAAUGGAAGGUGGUGGUGUUGCAAGCUAACAUAAAAGAAGGUGGUCAACCUGGCUGGCAGUUCCUUACUUCCCCUUGUCUUACACGGCAUGAUCUUGUUCUUAGAUUCUCCCAGAUUCUUCAUGAUAAAUAUAAAUUGCAGCAGAUAAUUAAUUCCCGAGUUAACUUAAUAAAUAGAACUAUGCUCCCAUGCAAUGACGCGAGAAAAUAGUCUUGAUGACCCAUAAGUAUAGGGGACCAAAAUAGUCUUCAAGGAUAGUUUUUCAUGCAAAUUUAUUGAUUCCCCACAAGGUAUCAAAAGAAUAUUUAUAAGCCCUUACAUAUGAGUUGUCAAUUCAGAAACACCUCACAAGUCACAUCUUUGCAGCAAUUUAUUAGUUGAACACUAAUAUGAUGAUAUUGAUAGAAGUGGUAAGAGUACUAGCAAUAGUAACGGUAAGAGUAAUAAUAGUUUUGGAUCAAGUGUAGUAGUAGCGAUGGAUAUUUGGACAAAAUUCAUUAUGUAACUGUCACAACCUAGACCGAGACAGAAUUAGCUCCAAUUCAUUAAUUAUUUGUAGGCAUGUAUUCUUCCUGCUUGCAAUAAGAACUUGCAUGCCAUAUUUUAUCCUACCCCCCCCCCCCACACACACACAUAGCAGCGGGGUCCUAAUGGAAACUAAGUGGAAUUAAGGAGCUCCUUUAAAUACAUAACUAGAAAAAAACAUUAUCAAAUAGUGAAUACAUUAACUCCUCAAAUUACACUCAUCCUAGGAGAGUAUCGCAAUUAUUGUUAGCUUGGAGUCUAUGGUCUAGAACAAUAACAUUUGCAUAUAACUCGCAAGAUAUGAUCCAGAACUCAAAUAUAUUCAUGAAAAUAUAAUACGUUCAUAUAUGAAAUCAUGACACCCAGGCCCUAGUUACAAGCAUUAAGCAUAGCAAAAGUCAUAGCAACACCAAUCUCAAAACAUAAUGGAUAUUGGGGAUCAAGCCCUAACAAAUUAAAUCGAUUACAUGACGAAUUUAGACCAUCUCCAUCUACCUCCAAUAUGCCUAUGAUGAGAUUACUCAUCGCUAACGGUGAGCAUCAUGCGGUUGUUGAUGACUGGCCACUCCGGAGCCCCAAACGGACUCGUGAUCACGCCUCUUGAUGAAGAACAAGAGUUGGCGGCGAUUCCGUAUCAUAAAACGUGAUCAAACUUUCUCUGUAAUUUUUUCAUUGGGAGGACGGUAUACGUAGACUUGCAGUUAGGGCAAACGGGGCCUCGAGGGUCCCACAAGCUCACAUGAUGCAACAUAAAAGGGUGUCCCCUGAGUUUGUGCCUCCCUGGUGGACCCUCUGAUAGUUCUUUGCACCCGUAUUUUAAAUUAUUUUCCAAAACAGCUCACCAUAAAGAAAAUUCCAAUUCCAAGAACUUUUAUUUCUCCACAAAAAACAAAACCAAAGUAGUUUUGCUAAAAACAACAUAAGUACGGGUUAGUUUCAUUCAAAACAUGCAAAUUAGGGUCCAAAAUAAGAUUAAACAUGUUUGGAAAAGUUGAUACAAUUUAGACAUAUCAGAUGGUGGCUUAUUUCGCCUCACCUUGCUAUUUCCCAUGCAAAUCUUUUUAGCGGUUCUUCCACUAGCAGUGCAUGCCACCAACUGAACCUAGCAUACAUGGGAAUCCUCUUGUUGUUCCAAUUGCCAACAAUUUUUAUGUGUCCUCCAUAGUUGUCUAUCUCACGUACUCCGAUCCGAACACCUUAAUAAUAGUGCAUGCAAAUUGCAUUGUGGUGUUCAGGACCGUGGUCUCUCCCAUCCGGAUUUUUGCAUCAAUUGCAUUUGGUGCCAUACCAUAAGCAAGCAUCCUGAGAGCAGUCGUGUAUUUCUUCUCACGAGAGAAGGAAAGUUUUAUGCAAGAAUCCUUCCACAUCUUGAAGUUGUCAUCAACCUUCUCCAUGCCUUCCACCACACGCGAGAUAAGUUCAUCUUCAUUCAGUAGUGACGACGAAAGGAAGUUUCAUGGAAUGUUGAGACAUCUAUCAAAUAGUUUGUGUUUAAAAGUCCUAGACCGGGAAUCCUAUCAUGGGAAAUACCUAUCCAAACUUCCUUGAACCCUUGAAUUUUAGGGUGUGCUACCCUACCUUAUUGAACUCCUCUUGGAUGCAGAUCAUCAUCAUUUCAGCAUCCUCGUCAUUUGAAUAUGGCAACACGGUAAACUCGUUGAAUAUGAAUUCAUCAGGAUCAUUGUUCCCAUAUCCAUCAUUCCAUGAUGUAUCAUUGGUGGCCUGAAAGUAAUGAAUUAAAGAAUAAAAAAUGGUUCAGACAUUUCAUCAAACACGUAGAGUGAGGGGUGAAAGUAUGGGCAAGUUUGACGUAUUAGGGUGUCAUUGGGUGGUGGCAACCUUGUGCAAUGGUGGCGUGGUCGGCGGCGGUGUGCAUUGGGGUGUCUUGGGGAGAAGCCCUCAGUUAGGUAUGGCGGCAUUGCACUGAUAGUGGUAGAAGUACAGUGGAAAAUGGGAAAAGAAGGGAAAACAAACAAGAUGGGAGGACUAUUUGGGCAUGGAGAGGGGAGGAUGAUAUGAGCGAACUCGCAUGGGCCCUAGCAUUGUGUAUGACAUGGUAGACACGUCCGAUAGUACCCAUAUCCACCCCAAAUUUAAGCUGGAUAUGGGGAGCGCCCGUUAGUCCAAGCGUUUGUGUCGGCUAUGGGGUGUCCGGUUGGCACGUGUUUUUUUGUCUGUGCGUUUGGGGAGGGUAUGGGUCAUCCAGUCAUAGAUGCUCUUAUGGCAUCCCCAAUGUUGAUCCACAAACCAGGCACCAUAUCCGUCUCCGUAUAGAGGGGCCAGUCCACGGACACAGAUGCGGUACUUGGCCAUCGAAUACUAUUUGUAUAUAUUUAAAACUAGAGUUAAAAUAAAUGGACGACUUACAUGCAAAACGGAUGAUUUUCAUUCAAAUGGACGAGAACAUUUACAUUUCACACAUGUUUUAGCUAAACUAUACCGAACUAGGCUAAUUCUUGUAUGAUGCGUGAUACGUCUCCAAUGUAUCUAUAAUUGUUUAUUGUUCCAUGCUAUAAUAUUAUCAUUCUAGGAUACUUUUCGGCCGUUUACUUGUUGAAUUAUAUUAUUUGUAGAACUAACCUAUUAACCAAGUGCCAAGUGCUAGUUGUUGUUUUGUGCAUGUUUUUGCCUUUUCGGGUUUAUAGUACCAAACGAAGUCCAAAUACCAUGAAAUUUUUUGAUGUUUUUUUAUGGACCAAAACAAGACCUAGAAACUUCGGGAGAAGGCCGGGGGACACAGAAGGGCCCCACAAGCCAACAGAGCACGCCCAGGGGGUGGCCGCCUCUUCUUUGCUUGUGGGCCACCCCUGGCUCUCCCAACCUCGUUCUUUGGCUUAUAAAUCCUCAUAUAUUCCAAAAACCCUUGGGAAGCUCCCGAAACACUUUUUCCACCACCGCCAGUCUCUGUUCUGAUGUGUUACCAUCUGGACCCUGUACCGGUGCCCUACCGGAGGGGGGUCGAUCGUGAAGGGCCUCUAUAUCAACCUGCUGCUCCCAUGGUGAUGUGUGAGUAGGCUACCACACACCUACGGUUCCAUAGCUAGUAUAUAGAUGGCUCUCUGUGUGUGUGUGUGUGUGUAUAUAUGUGUGUGUGUGUGUGNNNNNNNNNNNNNNNNNNNNNNNNNNNNNNNNNNNNNNNNNNNNNNNNNNNNNNNNNNNNNNNNNNNNNNNNNNNNNNNNNNNNNNNNNNNNNNNNNNNNNNNNNNNNNNNNNNNNNNNNNNNNNNNNNNNNNNNNNNNNNNNNNNNNUCUUCAAUACAAAGUUCCACUACUAGGAAAUAGCUUAUAAGUAGAACAUUACUAGUAGCGCGGUUUUAGUGCCCCCCACUACUAUUACUUAGAAGUAGCACCUCUCAUCAAGACGCUCUAGGAGUAAGUCACAGAAGUAGCGCUGGUCAGUUGACCCCCAUUGCUAAUAUGUGAGGCACACCUUACACCCAUGAGUUGGCGAUAGUAGCAGGGCGCGUCACGAACUGGUGCAACUACUAAGACAAUUAAUAGUAACCCACUUUUGGGCCGACGCUACUAAUGUAUCCUGUGCAGGCCCACAUCCCAUACCACCACUUAGCAGUAGUGUGUCUUCAAGCCCCGCGUUGCUGUUAACCCUAACUUAUCCUCUUCCCAAGGCUGCGUUGACCCCCUCACUCUCCUCACUAUCUGCCUCCUCACUCUCUACCUCUCCAUCCCACUCCUCCCCCCNNNNNNNNNNNNNNNNNNNNNNNNNNNNNNNNNNNNNNNNNNNNNNNNNNNNNNNNNNNNNNNNNNNNNNNNNNNNNNNNNNNNNNNNNNNNNNNNNNNNNNNNNNNNNNNNNNNNNNNNNNNNNNNNNNCCCCCCCCCCCCGCGUGUCUGCCGCCCUCCCGCACCCGUUACCGCCGUUUCCCAAUGUCAGUGUUGGUCGUCUACCGCCGACGUCCCGCGCUCGCUGCCCUCCCACUCUCCCUGCUCCCGUCCCGUGCCCGUCGCCUCCCAGCAGAGUUUGCCCCUCCCUCCCUACUCCCUCCACCUCCCCUCCCUCCUUCCUCUAUUCUUGUAGAGAUUAAAAUGGUAUUGAUUUUUUAAAAUAGAAUAGAAUAGGUUUUAAACAGAAUAGAAUAGGUAUAGAAAUUUUAGUAAAAAUAUUUUGGUAUAGAUAUAGAAUAAAAUAAAAAAUAGGUAUACAAAUAGAAUAAAAUAUGUUUUCCAAAUUUAGUAAUAUAAAUUUUAGUAACUAAAUUUAAUAAAUUUUAUGUCAUUAUCACUUAUGUCAUUAUUGGAGUGUAUGAUUUUGCAAGGAGCACCUUCGAGUGGUCUAUGUUUUGCUAAAUGUUGAUUUAUUUUUGUUUCGGCAAAUUUCAGGUGCUUGGUAUGUCCUGUUUUUAGAAAAGGUCAUUCAAAAAAUUUGAUUUUGUCAUGACUUGUGCUAGAAAGUAGGAAAUAUUGAGGGCCUGUGAUUUGUGAGAAUAGGAAUUAGAUGACAUUCCGACAAAACAUGGGCCAUUUUUAUGUCGAUACUUAUUAACUCAACCCAUGCUAAAUUUUCAUAUACACCAAUAAUUCUGGUCCAUUUUUAAUCUUUGAAUCAUGAACAAAGGAAAUGUCCUCUGAGUAUAAGGGGGUCCCUAAGUGUGAUUAUUGCGGUGAAGAUCAGGGUGUGUGCGACAAGCCUCGCCUGCAAAACGGUGGGUUCUUCACCAUCAAGCUAGGCAAGACCUUUGAUGUUUUUACGGUACGUAACGAUACCAUUAUUUUUUAAUUCUUUGCUUUGUGUUUCUUUGCUUCAAUCAACGUGUAAUUUCUAGUUUGUACAAUUCGACUAGUGCAUUCCCUACCAUGCAAGACAGUAUGUCUUGGAGAAGCUUGGUUUCCAAGAAAUGGAAAAUAUGUAGAAGAGGAGAGCUCACAUGAGGACUUAACAUGGUUUCACAUUUAUGGUUACACCAUACAAUGAAAUUAAUCACUCGAAUUUUGGUUUCUCAACUUGGGAAGCUCUAGGCAAUGCAUAUGGAUUUUAGGAGGAUAUGGAAAUAACCUACGAUAUUCGUCGUGGAGAUGAUAUUGAAGGUAAUAUCAACAUUUGGGUGGAUGUCGAUAUGCUUCCAGUUAUACCUCUAUGUGAUUUUGACAACCAUAUUUGUUUAUUUAAAAGUAAUUAUCAUUGUUUAUUUAAAAAUAGUUGGUGUUCAUCCCAACGUAACUUGUUUAUUUUUGAUUAACAGCUUUUCAUGUCUCUGAGUUAAAUACAGAAGAUAGUAGACAUGACACACUACACUUAUGGAUCACAUAUAACUUGGGAGGAGAAGUAUUUUCUUGUCACCUUUGUUAAUGGUUGCCUAUCUACUAGGGACGACACGAAUUAUGGAGCUCGCUCCAAUUAUACAUUAUACAUGCCACUAGUUCAUAGGUUUAUAGAUCAUGAUAUUCGCGCAAAUAUCUUGGUAAGAGUUGCUAACUACACUAAUAUUACGUAAACUACAUUGCUAAUUAUGCUAAUAUUAUGUCAAUUGCAUUGCUAACUAGGCUACUAUUAUGCUCUUUAACAAAAACUGCCAAAUGAUGAUGUGCCUCCAUUGAUGCAUCGUGAAGGUGAGAUCGUAAUUACAAAUCGUCAAUGCGUCCCUUCCAUUUUUAAAUACUCGACUAAGCACAAACCACGAGGAUAAGUUCAAAAUUGAAGCAUGGAGAAAAAUAAAGAAGGAUUGCAAGCAACAAGUUGAGACCGUUGGAUCUCCUUACUUCAUCAUGGAAACUUUGGUAUUUUUCUGUUUUACAACAUAUUACCUAGGAGAGAGGACUAGGUCCUAUGACAUAUAUUAACUUGGCAUGAUCAAUUAGGAUGAUGAUUAUUAUGGUUUUUUCUAUUUUAUGAUAUUUUAACUUGGUAUGAUUAAGAUGAUAAUGAGUUGUUAGAUUGUUAAGAGGAUGAUGAGUUCUUAUAUGAUUAAAAGUAUGAUGAGUUGUUAGAUGAUUAAGAGGAUGAUAAGUUAUAUAACAAAUAUUAGAUUAAAGUGGAUAGACGCAAGUGACCAAGUUAAGUUAGAGGCAAUAUGAUGUUGCAAUUUGUAACAUCAUACUUUCUCUCUAACCCAACUUGAUCACUUGCACCCAUCCACUUUAAUCUAAAUGUUGUUUUUUGCAAAAUUAUUAUUGUUUUUGUAUGUUAAUAUGUAUAACCAUGUGAAAAUACAAAAUAAAUAUGCGGGAUUAGUAGUGUUUCUAGUUAAGAAACAACGCUACUCGUAAAGUCACGUAUGAGUAGCGUGUAUCGGCUGAUAGCGUUACUGAUAUGUGACUUUACCAGUAGCGUGGGUCAUGAAGACUGCUAGUGCUAAAAAUUAGUUAUAGCAUCGUAGCAUUAGCGCGCCUACCAGAACUACUCGUAGCUAAAAGUCACGUUCUACUCGUAGGGUUUUCCCUAGUAGUGUUCAUCGCAUCUCCGCGAUGAUAUAUUAGAUGUAAUCACUUUGUACGGUGCGUUUGUUAGGAUCUGAUGGAUUGUGGGUUUAUGUUUAGAUUAUCAUGAUAAAAUAUUUGAGUAUUUCCUGAAUUAAAUGAUUUGUAUCUACAUGAUUAUUAUAGGAUCGUAAAUCUCUCCGAUCUAUUGAUUUCGUUGGCAAACUAGAUUGAUCUAUCUUCGGUGAAAGAGGUGCGUCGUAGCGGGUUCAAUCUUGUGGUUCUCAAUCCCAGUGACAGAAAGGGGCAUGACACAUAUUUGUAUUGCUGCCACUAAGGAUAAAACGAUGGGGUCGAUUCAUAUUAAUUUAGUUAGUGUUCUCCAAGCAUUACUUUGUUUUACUUAAUACUCUAGAUGCAUGAUGGAUAGUGGUCGAUGGUUGGAGUAAUAGUAGUAAGUGCAUGCAGGAGUUGGUCUACUUGCUUACGGACAUGAUGCAUAUAUGCACAUAAUCAUUAUCGUGAAUAAAUAUUGCAUAAUUGUGCAAUUUUCUAUCAAUUUCCCAACAGUAAUUUGUUUACACACUGUAUGCCUUCUUCGAGAGAGAUGCGAGUAGAGAACACUAUGCCCCCGAGGUCAAUUGACAUAUGAAUUUACAAACACUCAUAUCUCCUCGCUUCCUUUAUUUACUUUGGAAUUUAUAUUUAUCCAACUAUCAUCUACACUACUUAUCUUCUUGCAAGUAACGAGUCCAAGGGGAUUGACAACCCUCUUGCUUGCGUUGGGUGCAAGUGUUUGCUAAUUUGUGUAUAGGGACAUGAGUUGUGUGGUCCUCCUAUUGGUUCUAUAACCUUGGUUCUCACUAAGGGAAAUACUUAUAUAUUUUUUGCUGCAUCAUCUGAUCCUCUUCGCGGAAAAACCCAACGCACAUCACAAGUAUGAGGAAGGAUUUUUUGACACCGUUGUCGGGGAGUAUCACCAACUUACUAUCAAGUACAUUAUCCCAAAUUAUCAUUCACAUGUUCUACUUUUUUAUUUGAUGUUAUAUUUUUCUUGUAUAAAAAUCUAAAAAAAUUACCUUUACUUUUUUACUUUUUUCGCUUGCUUGAUGUUGCUAUCAUGUUUGAUUUUAUCAUUGAUAAGGAUGAUGGAGGUAAAAUACGAAAAGAGGAAACUCCCCCCAACGAGAUGUAAAAGUUUUUUUGCAUGGAAAGGGAAUAUUAUAGGGGAAAGAAUUAUCCAAGAAUUCUUUAACUGUACGAGUACUUUGUCUUGCAAGGAUACUCCAAUCCUUAAAAGAGCCAAAAGUUAUGUCGUUGUUAUUUCCUCUCUUGUUCUCAAACUUGAAAGAAGAUCUAUGCAUACCGACCCUACUUUGCAAAGGCUUUUCUAUGAGUUGCCAGUCAUAAAAGAACCUAGAGCCAAGAAGAUGGCUACUCUUAUCCUUAUGCAUGAAUUUGACUAUAUAGUGGGAGAGGCUCGAGAUAUCUUUGAUCACUAAAUAUGAGCCGUGAACAUCCUGUGAUAGAUGAAAUUUUCUAUAAUAAGGACUAUAUGAUGAGGAGUGUGUUUCAAGAUAACAAUACUUUUGAUAAAAAUACUAAUAAAGAACUUCCUCCCAUUCAUAUUAUACAACAAGUUUUCAAUGCUAUAAAUAAACAAUAUUCUUGGAUAGUAAGAGAGAAUACAGAAGGUUUUGACGAUAGUAGUAUUGAUAUUGCUAAAAUAUUGCUUGAUGAUGUGUUUACUGUUUUCUUUGAAAAGCCUCCUCAUGAACACAUAUCCCAAGAUGUGAUUUCCACUAAGGAUGAAAAUACUAGAAACUAUGAAUUAUGCCUAGCUAGGUGCGUAAACAAUAACGCUCGUUGGGAGGCAAGCCAAUAGUUAUGUUACUUUUGUUGUUCUACUUUAUAUUUGUGUGACAUAACAUGAUUAUUUAUAAUGUAAUGAUUGAGUUUUUAUUUUUAAAUUAUUGUAUUUUCCAAGUAAAUCCUUCGGGAUUAUUUGAAUGAUAAGUAGAAUUGAUACGGUGCAAAAACAGAAACUUUGAUGUCGAGUGCAGAAUUUCUUUGAUUGUACUGGCACAUCUUUUUGAUCUGAAUUUUUACACAGUAUUUUUGUACAAGUUCUUCAGGUUUUACUAAUUUAUUAGAAUUUUCAGAGUUACAUAACUGGCAUGUCUUUGCUAAUCACUAGACACUAUUAUGUUUUAGACAAAUUAUGUUUUUGCUUGCAUAGUUUGCAUGUUUUGAUGAUGCUAUGGAUUAUAAAGGGGGGUAUAAGUCAUGGAGAAGUUAGAAUACAGUACCUUAUGCAAUAAUAAAUAUUAAUCAAUUUAUAACAGUAACUAAUGUUUAUGGUUUGCCUAUCAUACUAACAGAUCUCAUGAGUUUUCUGUUGAGUUUUGUGUGCUGAAGUUUUGAAAUUUUGGGUGUUAUCGCGAUUCCUCACCAAGCUGUGCGCCCGGAAAGUAGCGCCUCCUACUGCCAGCCUCGCGGAGCCCAGUACCAAACAUGGCGCCUCUCAAGGAUGUUGUCUCCGAGUCGACGAAGAGGAUGCCGGUCGGGCAUCGUCGACGUUGAGAACAAAUUCCUAUGAGAACAUUUUCUUAUCGUUUAAUGUUUUACUUUCUCGUUAUCUUCUUAGAAAUAUGCGAACAAUUUCUUUUUUCUCAUAAAAACAUUAUAUGAAAAAUGUCCAAAUUAGUACUGCAUGCCAAAUUAAUACUACUCUCAUUUGGACAGAAAGCAUCUCAUUUUAAUUUGGGCAUCAAAACCAUUUUUCUGACUCAUUUUUUAUUUAGUUUUGCUACUUGAAAAAUGCUUAAUUUCAGAAACUUAUUUUUAAAUUAUUUUUGACUCGGUAUUCUCAUUAACUGUCUAAUUUCACAAACAAUGUCCUAGCAAGAAUCCUAGCAACUAGACCCAGCAAUGUCCUAGCAAGAACCCUAGCAAUCCACCGAAACCCUACCAAGAAAAAGGGUGGAGGAGGCGUCGGGAUGUCUCACCAAAGAAGGAGACAAUCAGCGCGCAAAGGAGACGGUUGGCGUGCGGAGGAGAUGACUGGCGCGCAGAGGAUAUGGUCGAAGGAGAAGAAGACGCCGGGGUCAGGGUAGGGGUCACGGUCGGGGUCGGGGUCGAGGUUGCCGGGGCAGUAGAGUGGGUCGGGGCCGGGGUCGAGGUCGUCGGGGCAGUAGAGUGCGGCUGGGUCACGUUGAAAGGACCGGGGGAGGGGCAAGGGAGGGAGUCGGGAGGGAUAGAGGGAUUGAACGAGGGGCGUCCGCGGGGGGGAGAUGAUAAAUCCACGAGGGCACUAAUUAGGAGUAGCGUGGGUCCGAGGAGGGCAAAAUUGAUACGGUGCUUAGCAGCAACAGUUUAUUGUGGCCACCGCGACUACUACAUCUAGCGUCAGUGCACUCGUUGGGUCCCACUUAGGAGCAGCACCUAAUCCCAGCCAACGCUACUGCUAACGUGUUUAACAGUAGCGCGGUAUUUUGGGCAGCACUACUACUAGAGCUGGCAUCGGUGGACUCGUUUGGUCCCACUUAGCAGUAGCACUGCUUACAUUUACAUCGCUACUAAUACGACAUCACUUGUAGCACUUUCCAUAUCCAGCGCUACUGCUAAUUAGCAACAACGCUGCAUAUUUUCAAGCGCUACUACUCAGGUUCUACCUACAAGAAUUUCCCUAGUAGUGAUUUUCCAACAGUAAUUGGUUUACCCAUCGUAUCCCGUCUUCGAGAGUGAUGCCACUAGAGAACACUAUGCCCCCGGGUCUAUUCACAUAUAAAUUUACAACACUCUUAUUUGCUUCCUGCCUUCAUUUACUUUUUUAUUUACUUUCCAUAUAUUUAUCCAACUAUCAUCUACACUAUUUAUCUGCUUGCAAGUAAGGAGUCCAAGGGGAUUGACAACCCUCUUGCCCGCGUUGGGUGCAAGUGUUUGCUCUUCUAUGUGUAGGCACUCAAGACGGGAGUUGUGUGGUCCUCCCAUUGGUUUGAUAACCUUGUUUCUCACUCAGGGGAAUACUUAUCUAUAAUGUACUGCAUCAUGUGCCCUCUUCGCAGAAAAACCCAAUGUAGAUCACAAGUAUCAAUGCCGACUGAGGCGGAUCUCCAUUCGCACAACAUGUCUUCCCCAUGUCUGUCAGUCUGCUCGUCGGACUAUCAAGAGAUCUGGAGGGAUAUGCUUCAGCGAGAGAGGGGGAAUAACCCCCAUCCGUCUCCGAGAAGCACGCACUAUAGAUUUGGUUUUGGGGUGAGGGAAGACAGUCUCCAUGGUCUAAGCCAUCGCUCGCUAGCCAAGACACCGACUGUGUAACCCGACGACGCAGUGGUGGUGUCCUUCUUGGGACCUAAGCAGCGGUAGCCUCCCAUGAUCUACUUUUCCUCGCUGCCACGUGCUGGUUGCGGACGUGCGGGCAUUCAUAGACAUGGCUUCUUUACCCCACCUUCCUGACAUGUUGCUGCCAUUGCUUGUGAUGGAUUUGGUGGGAGACGGCGUUGGACAACCUGGACAACGAGGAGGGGUGGCAAUUGUGGUGGCGGUGGCAUCGGAUCCGGAGGGUUUGCCAGCAAGGCAACAUGUAUCGCCUGGCUUGUCGGGAAACCCAGGCCGAUGCAAUGUCGGAAAACUCCUUCUUCCACUCUUCGGAGGCCAUGAUGGGUGUUGUACAAGGAGAAGAUGGGGAGAACGUAGGUUGUAUGUGGUUCUUUCCCAACGCCUAGCCACAUUUAUAUAGUCGGUAGAUGCAAGGAGCCAGCGAGAGAGGUGUUUAUUGCCGACAUGCACAUGAACACAUGUAUGGCACUCAUGACACUCGAGUGUGUUCCUUGGCACACAUGCCGGUUAUAUGGAGGUAGGUGGCACACUAAUGUAUUUUAAUGCUAAUACAACGUGUUUGUAGCUGGAGACGAUCGGGCGGCGCUCUUGGUCGGUAAGCCGCUUCAAUGUUGACUCCAAUGAGCAGUCAAGUUCACUCUAGACUGGCAUGAAUGCGGUUAUCUGGCUUUGGGCAGGAAAGUGUGCACAUGCCCACAACCUCCCUAGUUUUUUAAACAUUUUAUGGGGUAAAAUGUGCGUGGGCCACUGAACGGGCCGACGUAGGAGAUCAUUGGAUGGCAAAACAUGUUGGGACCACGUCCUCUGGACUGUUGCAUGGGAGUUGAGUGUCGGCACUCGAGAUACCCUUAGUUUGUUGAUCAUGAUGCAAUGGCAUAUAUGACAUUUUUCUUCCACUCGCCAAAAAAUACAUUUUCCUUCAUAUUUGUAUUUACUCUAGCGGACGAUGUUAGUAAACAAUAAUUCACAUUUCACUUUCAUGACGGCGUCUUUUGGCUCAUAUCAAGUGCAAAAUUUGUAGGGUCUUUUACAUUUGUGCCCCUAACUCGAACCCACUACUAAGAUUUGCCCCUAAUUUUGAAGCAUGCUAAACUUUGUCCCUCUUCCAUUAAGUGCACUUAUAUAAAUGCCCUUCUAUACACUUUCCGACUAGUCAAAGGACAUUGACCGUUAAGUGUGCGUAUAGAAAAAUAUAAUGGUCAAAGGCCUUUUACUAGAUGGAAAAUGUAGGUAAGGGCAUUUCUAUAAGCACACUUAACGGAAGAGGGGAAAUUUUGAGCAUGCUUCAAAAUUAGGGGCAAAUCUGAGUAGGUGGUUCAAGUUAGGGACAGAAAUGCAAAUGGCCCAAAUCUGUAUAAAGAAAUCAAUACAUAUUUUAUAGUUAGACGGGAAGAUUUGGUUCCAUAUAGCACCACCACUACGAGGGGAAAUUGGAAUAUAAAACAAAAGGGUUAUUGUAUUUACGAGAAAAUGCCACUACAACCAUUAGAUGUAUCACGAGAUGUCGUUAUGGUUAUUUCAACUCAAUGACAACAAGAAUAAGGACCCAAUUCCCCCUAAUUUAUUGCAAGGGCAACACAUAACUCUCCAUUACCUAGGACAUUAACCUCGCCAAAAAGAUAUUCUUGCCUUUCCGGUUUAGAGGGCUCAAAUAUGAAAUCUCAUCAACCAAGGUAGAUUACGUGAAUGACAUAUAUUUUUGUGGACACAAAACUACCCAAUGAAAUAUUUCCUACAUAUGUGAUUCCUGAACCAAUAAAUGUAAUACCUCCCUCUUAUUAGACUAGUCAUAGUGGGGAGUAACUUAGACUAGUAACAUGCAUAUGUUACUAGUCUAUGUUACUACAUCCAUACUAGGUAGUGUCAUAAGAGUGAUAACAUAGAUGUCCUCAUUUAUUACUUUGUAGAUCCAUAUUGCAUUGAGAAGUGCUAUGUGAUGGUAACAUAUUAUGUGAUGGCAUAUACGUUACCACCUAUCUUACUCCCACUAAGAGCAACCUAAAUCCCUCUAUUAUCUCUACGAAUUAAAUGUGGUGUGUGACUCAAAGCACUUUCACUCGAUUGGGCUCAAAGUUAGCAUAAUAUAGUGGAAAUCUGGAAUUUUUUGGAUGAGUCCUUUGAGACAGAAAGGAGGGAGUAAAACCAAUGGAACGUUGGAUUACAACAUCUUGACACCAUGUGUUCCACCUCUUGUUCAACACAAUGAUGCCUUUGUAGGAUUAAAAGUAUGUCUAGAGGGUGGUGAUUAGACUACUUGACAGGAUAAAAACUUAGACUUUUCCCAAUUUUAAGUGUGGUCUAGUUUAGCAAUUAUGACUAGCCAAGUACACCCUACACAUGCACAUCUAAGAGUAUAGCAGCUGAAAGUAAAACAUGCAAGUGUAAAGUAGAGGGUAAGGUAGGUAGAUCAAACAUAGAGGUUGACAUAGUGAUUUUUGGCAUGGUUCCAAUAGGUGGCGCUAUCGUACGUCCAUAUUAGUGGACACUUCAACACAUGGAGGGUAACGAAUGCGAGAGUCCAUGGAGGGCUCCACCCACAAGGGGUCGAAGAAGCGGUCUUGUCUAUUCCACCACGGCUUUCGUCCACAGAGGACUAGCCUCACUCACGGUAGAUCUUCACGGAGUAGGCGAUAUCCUUGCCCUUACAAACAUCUUGGUUCAACUCCACAACAUGAAGUAGGAGGCUCCCAAGCGACUCCUAACCAAUCUAUGAGGCACCACUUUCCAAAAGAUAAUAGAUGUGGUAGAUGUUGGGGAACGUCGCAUGGGAAACAAAAAAUUUCCUACGCGCACGAAGACCUAUCAUGGUGAUGUCCAUCUACGAGAGGGGAUUUCUGAUCUACGUACCCUUGUAGAUCGCACAGCAGAAGCAUUAGUGAACGCGGUUGAUGUAGUGGAACGUCCUCACGUCCCUCGAUCCGCCCCGCGAACCGUCCCACGAACCGUCCCGCGAUCCGUCCCACGAUCUAGUGCCGAACGGACGGCACCUCCGCGUUCAGCACACAUACAGCUCGACGAUGAUCACGGCCUUCUUGAUCCAGCAAGAGAGACGGAGAGGUAGAUGAGUUCUCCAGCAGCGUGACGGCGUUCCGGAGGUUGGUGAUGAUCUAAUCUUGGCAGGGCUCCGCCCAAGUUCCGCAGAGACGCGNUCUUCGUUUCCGGACCAUUCCGGAAACCCUCGUGACGUCCGUGAUCUCAUCCGGGACUCCUAACAAAAUUCGGUAACCAACCAUAUAACUCAAAUAUGCAUAAAACAACGUCGAACCUUAAGUGUGUAGACCCUGCGGGUUCGAGAACUAUGUAGACAUGACCCGAGUGACUCCUCGGUCAAUAUCCAAUAGCGGGACCUGGAUGCCCAUAUUGGAUCCUAGAUAUUCUACGAAGAUCUUAUCGUUUGAACCUCAGUGCCAAGGAUUCAUAUAAUCUCGUAUGUCAUUCCCUUUCUCCUUUGGUAUGUUACUUGCCCGAGAUUCGAUCGUCAGUAUCCGCAUACCUAGUUCAAUCUCAUUUACCGGCAAGUCUCUNNNNNNNNNNNNNNNNNNNNNNNNNNNNNNNNNNNNNNNNNNNNNNNNNNNNNNNNNNNNNNNNNNNNNNNNNNNNNNNNNNNNNNNNNNNNNNNNNNNNNNNNNNNNNNNNNNNNNNNNNNNNNNNNNNNNNNNNNNNNNNNNNNNNNNNNNNNNNNNNNNNNNNNNNNNNNNNNNNNNNNNNNNNNNNNNNNNNNNNNNNNNNNNNNNNNNNNNNNNNNNNNNNNNNNNNGAGUGGGCCCCGAGAUAACUCUCCGUCACACGGAGUGACAAAUCCCAAUCUCGAUCCAUACUAACUCAACGAACACCUUCGGAGAUACCUGUAGAGCAUCUUUAUAGUCCCCCAGUUACGUUGUGACGUUUGAUACACACAAAGCAUUCCUCCGGUGUCACUGAGUUAUAUGAUCUCAUGGUCAUAGGAACAAAUACUUGACACGCAGAAAACAGUAGCAACAAAAUGACACGAUCAACAUGCUACGUCUAUUAGUUUGGGUCUAGUCCAUCACAUGAUUCUCCUAAUGAUGUGAUCCCGUUAUCAAGUGACAAGACUUGCCUAUGGUCAGGAAACCUUGACCAUCUUUGAUCAACGAGCUAGUCAACUAGAGGCUUACUAGGGACAGUGUUUUGUCUAUGUAUCCACACAUGCACUGUGUUUCCAAUCAAUACAAUUAUAGAAUGGAUAAUAAACGAUUAUCAUGAACAAAGAAAUAUAAUAAUAACUAAUUUAUUAUUGCCUCUAGGGCAUAUUUCCAACAGUAUCCCACUUGCACUAGAGUCAAUAAUCUAGUUCACAUCACCAUGUGAUUCCAACGAAUCGAACACCCAUAUAGUCAUGGGGUCUGAUCACGUCUUGCCCGUGAGAGCGGUUUUAGUCAACGGUUCUGAAACUUUCAGACCCGUGUGUUCUUUACAAAUCUUUAUGUCAUCUUAUAGAUGCUGCUACUAUGUGCUAUUCGGAAAUACUCCAAAUAUCUACUCUACUGUACGAAUCCGUUUCACUACUCAUAGUUACUCGGAUUAGUGUCAAAUCUUGCAUCGACGUAACCCUUUACGACGAACUCUUUAACCACCUCCAUAAUCGAUAAAAAUUCCUUAGUCCAUCAGUUACUAAGGAUAAAUUUUGACCGCUGCUAGUGAUUCAAUCAUGGAUCACUCUCUAUACCUCUCAACAGACUUUGAGUCAAGGCACACAUCAGGUGCGGUACCCAGCAUGGCAUACUUCAGAUUCUAUGGCCAAGGCAUAGAAGACGACCUUCGUCUAUUCUCUUUAUUCUGCCGGGGUCGGGUUUUGAGUCUUACUCAAAUUCACACCUCACAACGCAACCAAGAACUCCUUCUUUGCUGAUCUAUUUUGAACUCCUUCAAAAACUUGUCAAGGCAUGGAUCUUGUUGAAACUUCCAUUAAGCGCUUUCGAUCUAUCUCCAUAGAUCUUUGAUGCUCAACGUUCAAGUAGCGCAAUCCAGGUACUCCUUUGAAAACUCCUUUCAAACAACCUUGUAUGCUUUACAGAAAUUCUAUAUUACUUCUGAUCCACAAUAUGUCAACCACAUAUACUUAUUAGAAAUUCUAUUGUGCUCCCACUCACUUCUUUGGAAAUACAAGUUUCUCAUAAACUUUGUACAAACCGAAAAUCUUUGAUCAUCUCAUCAAAGUGUAUAUUCCAACUCCGAGAUGCUUGCACCAGUCCAUUGAAGGAUCGCUAGAGCUUGCAUACUUGCUAGUAUCUUUAGGUUCGACAAAACCUCCUGGUUGUAUCACAUACAAUGUUUGCUCAAGGAAACCGUCGAGGAAACAAUGUUUGGACAUCCUAUGUGCAAUAUUUCAUAAAUAAUGCAACAACUACUAACAUAAUUCUAACAGACUUUUAGCAUCGCUACGAGUGAGAAAGUCUCAUCAUAGUCAACUGUUUGAUCUUGUCGGAAACAUCUUUGCGACAAGUCGAGCUUUUCUUAAUAGUGACUUAUCACCAUCAUCGUCUGUCUUCCUUUUAAAGAUCCAUCUUUACUCAACAGUCCUAUGACCAUCAAGUAGUUCUUCCAAAGUCUACACUUUGUUUUCAUACAUGGAUCCUCUCUCGGAUUUCAUGGCUUCCAGCCAUUUGUCGGAAUCCGGGCCCACCAUUGCUUUCUCCAUAACUCGUAGGUUCACUGUUGCUCAACAAUAUGACCUCCAAGACAGGGUUACCGUACCACUCUGUAGUAGUACGUGACCUUGUCAACCUACGAGGUUUGUAGUAACUUGAUCCGAUGCUCGAUGAUCACCAUCAUCAGCUUUCACUUCAAUUGGUGUAGGCGCCACAGGAAUAACUUCAUGCACCCUGCUACACACUAGUUGAAGUGAUGGUUCAAUAACCUCAUUAAGUUCUACCACCCUCCCACUCAAUUCUUUCGAGAGAAACCUUUCCUCAAGAAAGGAUUCGUUUCUAGAAACAAACACUUUGCUUUCGGAUCUGAGAUAGGAGAUGUACCCAAUUGUUUUGGAUAUCCUAUGAAAAUGCAUUUAUCCGCUUUGGGUUUGAGCUUAUUCGACUGAAACUUUUCACACAAGUGUCGAAGCCCCAAACUUUCAAGAAACGACAGUUUAGAUUUCUCUAAACCUCAGUAUAUAUUGUGUCAUCUCAACGGAAAUACGCGGUGCCCUAUUUAAAGUGAAUGCGGUUGUCUCUAAUGCAUAACCCAUAAACGAUAGUGGUAAUUCGAUAAGAGACAUCAUAGCAUGCACCAUACCAAAUAGUGCGUGGCUAUGACGUUCAGACACAUCAUCACACUAUGAUGUUCGAGGUGGCAUGAACUACGAAACACUUUCCACAUUGUCUUAACUGCGUACCAAAACUCGUAACUCAUAUAUUCAUUUCUAUGAUCAUCUCGUAGACAGUUUAUCCUCUUGUUACGACGAACUUCACUCCUGAAACAGAAUUGAACCUUUCAAUAUUUCAGACUUGUGAUUCAUUAAGUAAAUACUCUUGUAUCUGCUCAAAUCGUCAUUGAAGUAAGAACAUAAUGAUAUCCACUGCGUGCCUCAGCACCCAUUGGACUACAUACAUCAAAAUGUAUCACUUCCAACAAGUUACUAUCUUGUUUCAUCUCAAUGAAAACAAGGCCUUGCUCAUGUGGUAUGAUUUGCAUGUCACUAGUGAUUCAAAAUCAAGUGAGUAUAAAGAUCCAUCAGCAUGGAGCCUCUUCAUGCAAUUUAUACCAACAUGACUCAAGCGGCAGUGCCACAAGUAAGUGGUACUAUCAUCAUUACCUCGUAUCUUUUGGCACCAAUAUUAUGAACAUGUGUAACACUACGAUCGAGAUUCAAUAAACCAUUGAAGGUGAUUUAUUCAAGCAAAUAGAGUAACCAUUAUUCUCUUUAAAUGAAUAAUCGUAUUGCAAUAAACACGAUCCAAUCAUGUUCAUGCUUAACGCAAGUACCAAAUAACAAUUAUUUAGGUUUAACACCAAUCCCGAUGGUAGAUGGAGUGUGCGACGUUUGAUCAUAUCAACCUUGGAAACACUUCCAAUACAUAUCGUCACCUCGCCUUUAGCUAGUCUCCGUUUAUGCCGUAGCUUUCAUUUCGUGUUACUAAUCACUUAGCAACCAAACCGGUAUCCAAUACCCUCGUGCUACUAGGAGUACUAGUAAAGUACACAUCAACAUCAUGUAUAUCAAAUAUACUUCUUUCGACUUUUGCCAGCCUUCUUAUCUACCAUGUAUCUAGAGUUAUUCCGCCUCAGUGACUGUUCCCCUCAUUACAGAAGCACUUAGUCUCGGGUUUGGGUUUAAUCUUGGGUCUCUUCAUUAGUGCAGCAACUGUUUUGCUAUUUCACGAAGUAUCCCUUCUAGCCCUUGCCAUUCUUGAAACUUAGUGGUUUUACUAACCAUCAACUAUUGAUGCUCCUUCUUGAUUUCUACUUUCGCAGUGUCAAACAUCGCGAAUCUCUCAAGGAUCAUUGUAUCUAUCCUUGAUAUGUUAUAGUUCAUCACGAAGCUCUCACAGCUUGGUGGCAGUGACUUUGGAGAACCAUCACUAUUUCAUCUGGAAGAUUAACUCCCACUUGAUUCAAGCGAUUGUCGUACUCAGACAAUCUGAGCACACGCUCAACGAUUGAGAUUUUCUCCUUUACUUUGUGGACAAAGAAUCUUGUCGGAGGUCUCGUACCUCUUAACAAGGGCACAAGCAUGAAAUCACAAUUUCAUCUCUUUUAGAACAUCACUUAUGUUCCGUGACGUUUCAAAACGUCUUCGGCGCCUUGCUUCUAAGCCAUUAAGUAUUUUGCACUGAACUAUCGUGUAGUCAUCAGAAACGUGUAUGUCGGAUGUUCACAGCAUCCACAGACGACGCUCGAGGUGCAGCACACCGAGUGGUGCAUUAAGGACAUAAGCCUUCUGCGCAGCAACAAGGACAAUCAUCUGCAAAGUUUGCUACCAUCAACUUUCAACUAAAUUUUCUCUAGGAAUAUAUAAAAACAGUAGAGCUAUAGCGCAAGCUACAUCGUAAUUCGCAAAGACCAUUAGACUAUGUUCAUGACAAUCAGUUCAAUUAAUCAUAUUACUUAAGAACUCCCACUCAAAAAGUACAUCUCUUUAGUCAUUUGAGUGGUACAUGAUCCAAAUCCACUAUCUCAAGUCCGAUCAUCACGUGAGUCGAGAAUAGUUUCAGUGGUAAGCAUCUCUAUGCUAAUCAUAUCAACUAUACGAUUCAUGCUCGACCUUUCGCUCUCAUGUGUUCCGAGGCCAUGUCUGCACAUGCUAGGCUCAUCAAGCUUAACCCGAGUGUUCCGCGUGUGCAACUGUUUUGCACCCGUUGUAUGUGAACGUUGAGUCUAUCACACCCGGUCAUCACGUGGUGUCACGAAACGAAGAACUGUCGCAACGGUGCACAAUUGGGGAGAACACAAUUUCGUCUUGAAAUUUUAGUGAGAGAUCACCUCAUAAUGCUACCGUCGUUCUAAGCAAAAUAAGGUGCAUAAAGGAUUAACAUCACAUGCAAUUCAUAAGUGACAUGAUAUAGCCAUCAUCAUGUGCUUCUUGAUCUCCAUCACCAAAGCACCGGCACGAUCUUCUUGUCGCCAGCAUCACACCAUGAUCUCCAUCAUCAUGAUCUCCAUCAACGUGUCGCCAUCGGGGUUGUCGUGCUACUCAUGCUAUUACUACUAAAGCUACGUCCUACAAUAUAGUAAACGCAUCUGCAAGCACAAAUGUUAAUUUAAAGACAACCCUAUGGCUCCUGCCGGUUGCCGUACCAUCGACGUGCAAGUCGAUAUUAACUAUUACAACAUGAUCAUCUCAUACAUCCAAUAUAUCACAUCACAUCGUUGGCCAUAUCACAUCACAAGCAUACCCUGCAAAAACAAGUUAGACGUCCUCUAAUUGUUGUUGCAUGUUUUACAUGGUGACCAUGGGUAUCUAGUAGGAUCCCAUCUUACUUACGCAAACACCACAACGGAGAUGUAUGAAUUGCUAUUUAACCUCAUCCAAGGACCUCCUCGGUCAAAUCAGAUUCAACUAAAGUUCGAGAAACCGACACUUUCCAGUCAUCUUUGAGCAACGGAGUUACUCGUAGCGAUGAAACCAGUCUCUCGUAAGCGUACGAGUAAUGUCGGUCCAAGCCGCUUCAAUCCAACAAUACCGCAGAAUCAAGAAAAGACUAAGGAGGGCAGCAAGACGCACAUCACCGCCCACAAAAACUUUUGUGUUCUACUCGAGAUUACAUCUACGCAUGGAUGCCACUGUUGGGGAACGUCGCAUGGGAAACAAAAAAUUUCCUACGCGCACGAAGACCUAUCAUGGUGAUGUCCAUCUACGAGAGGGGAUUUCCGAUCUACGUACCCUUGUAGAUCGCACAGCAGAAGCGUUAGUGAACGUGGUUGAUGUAGUGGAACGUCCUCACGUCCCUCGAUCCGCCCCGCGAACCGUCCCACGAACCGUCCCGCGAUCCGUCCAACGAUCAAGUGCCGAACGGACGGCACCUCCGCGUUCAGCACACGUACAGCUCGACAAUGAUCUCGGCCUUCUUGAUCCAGCAAGAGAGAUGGAGAGGUAGAUGAGUUCUCCGACAGCGUGACGGUGUUCCGGAGGUUGGUGAUGAUCUAAUAUUGGCAGGGCUCCGCCCGAGUUCCGCAGAGACGCGNNNNNNNNNNNNNNNNNNNNNNNNNNNNNNNNNNNNNNNNNNNNNNNNNNNNNNNNNNNNNNNNNNNNNNNNNNNNNNNNNNNNNNNNNNNNNNNNNNNNNNNNNNNNNNNNNNNNNNNNNNNNNNNNNNNNNNNNNNNNNNNNNNNNNNNNNNNNNUCUUCGUUUCCGGACCAAUCCGGAAACCCUCGUGACGUCCGUGAUCUCAUCCGGGACUCCGAAAAACAUUCGGUAACCAACCAUAUAACUCAAAUACGCAUAAAUCAACUUCGAACCUUAAGUGUGCACACCCUGCGGGUUCGAGAACUAUGUAGACAUGACCCGAGUAACUCCUCGGUCAAUAUCCAAUAGCGGGACCUGUAUGCCCAUAUUAGAUCCUACAUAUUCUACGAAGAUCUUAUCGUUUGAACCUAGUGCCAAGGAUUCAUAUAAUCUCGUAUGUCAUUCCCUUUGUCCUUUGGUAUGUUACUUGCCCGAGAUUCGAUCGUCAGUAUCCGCAUACCUACUUCAAUCUCGUUUACCGGCAAGUCUCUUUACUCGUUCCGUAAUACAAGAUCCCGCAACUUACACUAAGUCACAUUGCUUGCAAGGCUUGUGUGUGAUGUUGUAUUACCGAGUGGGCCCCGAGAUACCUCUCCGUCACACGGAGUGACAAAUCCCAAUCUCGAUCCAUACUAACUCAACGAACACCUUCAGAGAUACCUGUAGAGCAUCUUUAUAGUCACCCAAUUACGUUGCGACGUUUGAUACACAUAAAGCAUUCCUCCGGUGUCAGUGAGUUAUAUGAUCUCAUGGUCAUAGGAACAAAUACUUGACACGCAGAAAACAGUAGCAACAAAAUGACACGAUCAACAUGCUACGUCUAUUAGUUUGGGUCUAGUCCAUCACAUGAUUCUCCUAAUGAUGUGAUCCCGUUAUCAAGUGACAAGACUUGCCUAUGGUCAGGAAACCUUGACCAUCUUUGAUCAACGAGCUAGUCAACUAGAGGCUUACUAGGGACAGUGUUUUGUCUAUGUAUCCACACAUGCAUUGUGCUUCCAAUCAAUACAAUUAUAGCAUGGAUAAUAAAAGAUUAUCAUGAACAAAGAAAUAUAAUUAUAACUAAUUUAUUAUUGCCUCUAGGGCAUAUUUCCAACAGUAGAACGAUGAACUCCUUGCUCUUGUGCUUCUAAAGAUAGUCUCCUCAACACUCAAUCACCCUCUCUCAGAUUUGGCAGUGGUAGGAGAGAUUGAUAUUGUGGAAAGCAACUUGGGGAGGCUAGAAAUGAAGGUUCAAACGGUUGGAAUGGAAUCUCUUGAUCUCAACACAUGAGUAGGUGGCUCUGUCUCAGAAAAAUAGAUCUGGCAAGUGUGGGUGUGUGUGUGUGUGAUCUAAGUGCUUCCUCCAUGAAUGAGAGGUAGGUGGAGGGGUAUAUAUAGGCAUCCCCCAAAACCCAACCAUUACAACAUUAUUUCGCAACUUGGUGACACCGAAAUGUAUCUCAGUGGUACCGAGUUGCAUUAAAUGUGGCAACUUUUGAUUUCUCGGUGAGACUAAUAUAGGAUUUUUGGUGGUACCUAGACCAAUUUCCAAAUCUCGGUGACACCAAUUUCUAACUCAGAAAUUUUGAUUCUUGAAAUAUUCUCAACAGAAAGUUGGUCACUGAAUCUCGGUGGCACCGAUAUGAAUGUUGGUGGUAUCGAGAUGGUAGGGUUUGGCAUAGGAUCUGUGAAUUGUAAAAUGGGUAAGGUCGAAUGGAAAUUAUUGGUGGCACCGAUUUUGCUGAUAUGGGUUUGGACAGAGAUAUUUUGUGGGAGAAUGGUUGAGUAUUUUUUUGCUGCCUACCUCUAAGCACUUGAGCAACCAAUUCAUCAUAAUACCUCAUCCCCUUUUAAUAUUUUUGACUUUGCUAUGGACUCAAAGUGAUUUCUCACAAAGUAUAAAAUGAAGAGUCUUCUUGCUUGAAGCUUUAGCCAAUCCUAUUCCUUCCUUCAUCAAGGGGCAUCUCCUUACAAUCCUAUAGCCAAAGCAUCUUUGAACUUUUCUGAAAUAUACUUUGAUAAACUCAUUAGUGCAAUGAUGCAGAUGUUGUGAUUAAUUACCAAAACCAACUUAGCGAGCAAUUGUGCUUACAAUCUCCUCCUUUUCGGUAAUUGAUGACAACAUAUAGAUCAAAGCUUCGACAAAAGAUAUAAUCAAUGAUUAGCAUCGACGCUUUCAGAAGUAUGUGAAAAACAAGAGCUCCCCCUAAAUUUGUGCAUUAUUUUAAAUUUGCGUUUGAAUGCAAAUGCACAAUCGAUUAGGAUCAUGGGUUACCCUUCCAUGUCACAUACAACAUGGUGGUGCGCAUAAAUGAUAUGAAUGAAUAGUAAUGCACAUAAUAACCAAACAAGACGUGAAUUAUCAACAUGUAGAUAGCCCAAAAUUAAUAAUGUGGUAUCAUCAAACAACCAUAGUGUAUGAUCAAACACACCUCUAAAGGAUUAAGUCAUCCAAAAUAUCAAAAGCUUGGAAAACCCAAAUGAGAGCAGAUAAAAUGCAACGCUCUCUCUCUCUCUCUNNNNNNNNNNNNCUCUCUCUCUCUCUCUCGAAGCCCUAUUUGAUUUGUACACUUCUCCCCCUUUGGCAACAAGUUACCAAAAAGUUAAAAGGUCUAGAACUAAACGUCUCUCUGGGCACGACCUCCUACGGUAGCUGAAGAUGGACUAGACAAGUGAGCAUAAACGAAGGCUUGUGCAGAUGCCACUAGAGCUGGAGGUGUAGACAUUGGAGGUUGAGGAGCACGAGUUGAAGCUUGAGCUGACGAAGAUGGUCUGACUUCCGGUACUUGCACAACUGCUAACCUAGUCUCGGUCGUCAACUGAGUGGUACUAGGAAGAGGCGAAUCAUCAUCAUCAUCAUCAUCACUGCAGGAGCGUGGAAUCUUCACUAACUCAACUUCAUGUUGAAGUUACUGAAUAGUGGUGGUCAACUCCGUCACCUUAACAUCCAGGUCAUGGAAUUUUGUCUCGACGAUCCUCUCUAGGAUCUUCUGGUUCAGCAAGAUCUAAGAAACUUUCUUCUCCAUCCCUUUGAUGGUGCUGAUCGAGAAGGACAUUUUCUCAUCUCUGGUUUUGAGUUGUGGGGGUUGAGCUCGAGCAUUCCUAGCAGCCUCUGCAACUCCUGCCUCUGCUGCCUCUCUAGCAGCAGCUGAGCUGGGAUGGGUAUCAUCCAUCACAAAUUCAUUAUCUUCAAAAUCAGGUUAAAGAGGCAGGUGGGGACGAUAAAGUUGAUAUGCAUGCUUUCCAAUCUUGGCAUUGAUGAGCGUAUGAAUGUAUGGAGCAUUGAUACGUCUCCAUCGUAUCUACUUUUCCAAACUCUUUUGCCCUUGUUUUGGACUCUAUUUUGCAUGAUUUGAAUGGAACUAACCUGGACUGACGUUGUUUUCAGCAGAAUUGCCUUGGCGUUAUUUUUGUGCAGAAAUCAAAGUUCUCCAAAUGUCCUGAAAAUCUACGGGGAGCAGUUUUGGAAAAUAUGAAAAAUAUCUGCGCCAAGUUCCACCUGAGGGGGUGGGCCAGUGGGCCACAAGGCCUAGCUCCGCCACCACCCCCCUGGUGGCGGUGGGCAGGCUUGUGGGGCCCACACGGCUCUGGCGCCCCCAACCUCAGGUCUAUAAGUUCACUUUCGUCCCACAAAAAAUAAAAAGAGAAGUUUUCGUCGUGUUUGCGAUACGGAGCCGCCGCCACCACCUGUUCUUCAUGUGGAGGGAAGAUCUGGAGUCCAUCUUGUGCUCCGGAGAGGGGAAAUCGUCGCCAUUGUCAUCAUCAACCUUCUUCCCUCUCCAAUUCCAUGAAGCUCUUCGUCGUUCGUGAGUAAUCUAUUCGUAGGCUCGCUGGGCAGUGAUGAGUAGGAUGAGAUCUAUCAUGUAAUCGAGUUAGUUUUGAUGGGGAUUGAUCCCUAGUAUCCACUAUGUUCUGAGAUUGAUGUUGCUACUACUUUGCCAUGCUUAAUGCUUGUCACUAGGGCCCGAGUGACAUGAUUUCAGAUCUGAAAUUAUUAUGUUGUCACCAAUAUAUGUGUGUUUUAGAUCCGAUCUGGCAAGUUGUAGUUACCUACUAUGUGUUAUGAUCCGGCAACCCCGGAGUGAAAAUAACCGGAACCACUCCCGGUGAUGACCAUAGUUUGAGGAGUUCAUGUGUUCACCAAGUGCUAAUGCGUUGGUCCGGUUCUUCAUUAGAAGGAGAACCUUAAUAUCCCGUAGUUUCCUUUUGGACCCCGCUGCCACGGGAGGGAUGGACAAUAGAUGUCAUGCAAGUUCUUUUCCCUAAGCACGUAUGACGACACACGGAAUGCAUGCCUACAUCACAUUGAUGAACGGGAGCUAGCCACUUAUCUCUCUGUGUUAUAACUGUUGCAUGAUGAAUAUCAUCCAAACAAAUCACUGACCCAUUGCCUACGAGUUUGUCCUUCUGCUGUUGUUACUUGUCAUGCUCUGCUGCUACUGUUGCUACUACUGUCGCUUGCUGUUGUUACUACUGUUGUUGUUGUUGUUCCUUGUCUUGCUCUGCUGCUACUGUUGCUACUACUGUUGCUUGCUACUGUUGCUACUUGCUACUGCUGUCACUAUCGUUGUUCCUUGCCACUGCCGUUACUCGCUACUUUGUUGUUACUACUUUGCUUGCAGAUACUAAUCUUUCAGGUGUGGUUGAAUCUGACAAAUUCAACUGCUAAUACUCGAGAGUAUUCUCUCACCUCCUGUUUUGGCGAUCAAUAAAUUUGGGUUGAAUACUCUACCCUCAAAAACUGCUACGAUCCCACGCGCUGGUGGGCGUCAACAACAUUCGUCUAGUUUCGAUUGCCGGAGAGUGCUAGCAGCAUUCUUAUGGUGCCGUUACAAGGGGAAGAACAAUUGACAUCAAGCAUAUGCACAAGAUCUCUUUUGAUCUGUAGUAGUCCUCUUGACAGUCUCAACUAUCAAGUCCAUCACUCGAAACCAGGCCUAGGUGUCUAGAUGAUGCAGCAUGUUGAUGGAAUAGCCUAUAAUCAUCUUGUCAUCACCUGACUUGGGCAUCAGGAUGUGUCUCAUAAUAGUGUUUGUAGUGGGUAUUCCUGCUUGCAGAAAGUAGACAAAGUCAAGUUUGUGAGACGGCAGAUAAUCAUUGGGCACAACCUUAUACAUGUUGCCAUGGAGUUGUGAUUCAUCUUGAGUUGUGAAUACACAUCCAAGUCCUCUUCACGUGCUUUAGGAGCACCAAUAAUAGUGGCCCAUUCAUCAACAGUGGCUUCAUACCGGUGACCCUCAGUCAUCCAAAUAAUUCUUCCAUCAGAAUAGAAAUGAGAGGUGGAAUGGAAUUGCAUGAUCAUCUCACCAUUCCAUGCAGUCAUCUCCUUGCCAAUAAAAUCUUCAAUAUGAAUCAUCCUGAAAUUUUCUCUCACAUGAGGAAAAUAGUGUUCAUUGGCCUUGAUGUAUUCCCAAUCGACAUAUCUCAUGUCGCAGUCUGCAGGAUUCUUGUCAAGCAACACUGUCUCAUAGAAAAUUUGUUGUUCCCUUGUGUGAAAGCGGGGAUCAACAAUGGUUCUCCUUCUCAUAGCAUAUGGAUCAACAAACCUCCAGUUCCUUAGACCUGCAUCUUUCCUAUCAUUCAUGUCCUCAGUAACUAGGUGAGAUGCAUUAUGAGUUGGCAGAUGAGGUCUCAGCUUCAUAAGCACAGGGGCAUCCUCAUCUUCCUCAGCAGAAAAAUCUCUGGCCGCACAGCCUUUGUUUUUCUCAGCUACAGGAAUAUCCUUGGUAGUCCUCUUGUGAGCUAUAGGCUUCUUAGGAGCUGAAGACUUCUUCAGAGCAGAAGGUUUCUUUGUCAUAGCAUCACCCAUCAGCUUAGUCUUCUUUGGAGGAGGGACCUCAGCUGGAAUUUCUUCCUCAUCAUCAGCUUCAGCAGUCUGUGCUGGAUCUUCAUACAUAGAGGUUUGCCUACCAAUGACAUGAAUAUUUCUUUUCUGGGAUCUCUUCACACCUGGCUUCUUGUUAAGCCUAGCUUCAUAAGGUUUAGCAUAAUCCUUCUUCACAGUCUUCCUGACUGUGGUCUUCUCCUUCUGCUUCUAGGGAGCACGUUCCUGAGGGAUGAAAUCAGCAUCUUCUUCAUCAGAAUUGAGCUUCCUUCUAGACAUGGUAGCUACCUUAUCCAUACCAUGGGAGCUCGGAGAACCUCUGUCAGAAGGGGUCCUCUCGGGACUAGUGCGUGAGUCAGUUUCAGCAUGGGGCUCACUGAAGUUGUUCUGACUAUCCUCUAAACCUGACAUCUUCCAAGACUAAGUAGACAAGAACACUAGUAGACGAGGUGACCUUGUGAAAAAAUAUAGAAGAGGUUGAAAAGAUAAGCAUCACAAAAUUGCAAAAGUUUGGUCAAAUUUGAACUCUAAAAAAAUUAGUUUUAACUUUCAGCAAAAUAGGAUUUCGGUACCACCGAGUCAGAAAUUUCACUGCAACCGAGACACAUGUCCUCUUUAACAGAAACUUGGCCCCUUUUCGUUUUCACCGAAAAAGAGAACUCGGCUCCACCGAAAACAUUCUGAGUAACCCUAAAACCAAAAUCGGUAAGACCGAUUUUUGCAACUCGGUGACACCGAGAUUCAAUCUUGCGAAUAGCUAACCCUAAAAUUUAGUUUUCUUCCCGAUCUAAGGAUUUUUUUCUACAGGAUAUAACUUGUAGCAAUUGUGGGAAGAUAAUGGCACUUCCUAAUUGCCCAAGGAAUCAGAUUGGAGCGCAGAAAGGAGAUCGGAUCCAUACCCUAACUCGGUGUGGAUUCUCUACGAUGGCAAUGGCGGUGAAGAAUCCGUCGGCGGCGAGGACUCCCGGCGAAGGCGCACGGGAGAAUCAAGUAGAUGUCCGGGGACUAGGGCACGACAUCAAAGGGGUGUGUCUUCCAGCGUUUGAAGAAAUUUUCAAUCGUCGGGCUCUGCUCGUAUAUAUAUCCCUUUGCUGUCGGUGACACCGAGAUGAAAUUAUUGGUGCGACUGAGUUCCACAACAGUCAGCUCACAGUGAAACUCGGUGAGGCCGAAAAGCUAAACUCGGUUGCAUCGAGAUGAUAAAACCUGAUCAACCCUAGGCUUCAGUAGGACCGAGAUUUUGAGGUUGAUCACACCAAGAUGCACUUUGGGAGGAUUUGAAAAUUAAGCCCUUGUCGAGAAGGAUCUCCGAGUGCUCCUCACACAGAGUGUCCCUAAAGUGCUUGCUCAAAUUUUGUGAUGAAGCAUGAAUAGAAUUUGAGACGAGAAAGCAUAGAUAGCUAGAAAGGGGUACUUAUGAAUUCUUGUAUAUCCAAUUGGCCAAAACAAAUACAAAGUCAAAUAACAACAAUUGGACAUCCUCGAAUGAGAAAAACAUGCAUACCAACAUGCUCACACAAUAGGAUGUCAAAUAAAACAUGGUGAACAUGCACAAACAUUCUAGCAUCUAUCAAGCACUUUGGCGAUGAUGAAAUCAUCUAUAUAUGAGUAUAUUGGAUUAGGAGUCAAGUAAGAAUACUUGGUCAUAGGUCAUACUCAUCGAUUAAGCACAAGUGGGGUUACCACUUUUACAUAAUGCAUUAAUGUGUUCAAAUCAUUUAGGAGAUGCUUAUACUCAAGUCUUAGAGUAAAGCUCCCCCUAGAUGUUACAUCCCCCCUAAGAGGGAUAAACUAACCUUGGAUUUUGUCGUAGAAGACUUUAAUUUGGUGUAGUAGAGGUGGAUUCUCAUUGUUGAUGAAGAUAAUCUUGAGUUGGGAGCAAUCCUUGUUGUUCCUUACUCUUCUCACCUACAUGGGUUAGUCCCAAAGCAAAAGGAACACAUGCAAGGAUAUCUAUGGACAUAGAAUGAAAUACAUGGGAGGUGAUGUCCGAAGAUGCAUUAAUUACCUUGUCCCUUGCUCACCUUUGAGGGAAUGUGUGACUCCUUGAACUAAUGCAUGUGGUUGGAGUUGAUUGCAUAUAGUUCUUGCCAAAAUGAAUAAGUGUGAAUUUCAUUGGCGGAGUCACCCCUCAAGAACUUUCUAGUUCUUCCUCUUGGGGACCCACAUCACCUUGAUGGGGAUCCUUGGAGUUGUGGUAGCACUAGAUGAGUUAGUACUAGAAGUGUCCUUAAGAACCCAGUCGACCUUGGCUUGUGGUUCUUCCUUAUAUGAGUCAAUCUCCUCUUGAAGCUUUUCCUUGCCCUUGUGGUCUUGUGGUACAAGUACAUAUUGAGAGCUUGUUCCCUCGGGAGGAGUAGGAUCAUACUUCUCCUCUUGAGGAACACUGUUGGGAAUGGGAUAUGGACCUUCUUCCCAAACAUCUCCGUGGACGUUGAAGUAGCCAACACCUUGCUUCUUUCGAUGUCAUCCUUGCUUGCGCACAAUUUCCUCAAAUUGCUUACUUCCGGCAAGACACCCAAAGACACCUCUCUCUAUAAUUCCUUUUAAUAAAUCAUUUUCUUGCUCAAGUGUAACUUGCCUAAGAGAAUAAUUAGUGGAAUCAAUAGAGCUACUAGCAACAACAUCAUUUGAUCUAGCUUUAGCAUUGUUGUUACUAGAUGAAGAAACUUUAUUGCCUUUGUUACUAGUGUUAUUAGGUUUAACUUGUCGAACAAAAGUAGAGAAGAGGAAUUGUUUGGCUAGAUAAGAGGAACUCUUAUUUCAAAGAUCAUUGUCAUUUGAUUUCUCUUGACUAGCAUGAAUAUUUUCAAGUUCAUUUUCAAUGUUAUCACUAGUCUUAUCAAAGAGCAAGUCAUCAUCUCCUAACUACGCAUCCUCAUCACUACCAAAGUCAAAGUACUCGGAGUGUGAUACCUUAGGGACUUUUGCCAUGAAGCAGCUUCCAAUCCCUUCAUUUGGUGAAUCAAAUAAUUCGUAGGAGUUAGAGGAAAUGAGUGCAAGACUAGCAACACCUUCAUCUUGACUGUAGUCAGAGUUGGAGUGAUAUCUUCUCUUGGAUUAGUUGUAUGACUCGAAGCUGGAAACCCAUUCACCAAUGUGAGAUUGAUGUCUUCUUCUUGAACUACUCUUGGUGUACUUGUCCUUCUUCUUCGAUUAUUUGCCUUUGCGGGAGUGCCUUCGUACAUAAUGAUCUUCUAUACUCCUUCUCUCUCUGCGAGGUGACUCAUCUAUUGAGCUUCGUCUUCUAGGUGACUAUUCUCUUCGUUUGUGGGGAGCCGAGCACUCAUUGGAAUAGUGUUCAAGCUUUCCACAGUUGUAGCAGUUUCGGUCACGACUAGACUAGCGCUUAUCAUCAUAUCUUGAGCUUGAGCUUCUUUCUUUGCCUCUACUCUUGUAGAACUUGUUGAAUUUUCUCACCAUGAGGUUGAUAUCUUCAUUGGUAAAAAGGUUGUCACUUGAAGUAAUAGGAGCAUCGCUUGAAGUUUUGUAAGCACCGCUUGACUUGUUGUGCAACUCAUCUUUGUCCUUGAGAGACAUUUCAUGAGAAAAAAUCCUUCCAAUGACUUCAGUUGGCUUGAGAUCCUUGUAGCUUGUCAUCAUUUGGAUUAAUGUGCACACGGUGUCGUAUCUUCCAUCCAAGGCUCUAAAUAUCUUCUUGAUGAUGAAUUUGUCGAUCAUCUCUUCACUUCCUAAGCCAGCAAUCUCAUUUGUGAUGAGAGCUAGCCUUGAAUACAUCUCAGGGACUCCUUCACCAUCCUUCAUCUUGAACUUGUCAAGCUGACUUUAAAGCACAUCCAACUUAGAUUCCAUGACAGAAUCAGUUUUUUCGUGCAUAUCCAUCAAAGUAUCCCAAAUUUCCUUUGCAUUCUCAAGGCAACUGAUUUAGUUGAGUUCUUCGGGACACAAGCAGUUGAACAGAAUAUCACGGGCUUGAGCAUUGAAUUGCAGCAUCUUCACUUCUCCUGUUGUCGCAUCACGAUCCGGUUCUUUUCCUUCUCCGAAGAAAUCACCUUGCACACCAACAUGAACAAUAUCCCAAACGGCACGAUUAUGACCAAGAAUAUGCAUUUUCAUCUUAUGCUUCCAACUAGCAAAAUUAGUGCCAUCAAAAUAUGGACCUCUACGGUGAUAAUUUCCAUCACUAGACGCCAAACUCUCCUAGGUUGUGAAACCAAUGCAAUGGAGACCAAAGCUCUCAUAGCACUUGUAGGAUCGAAAGUAUGUCUAGAGGGGGUGAUUACACUGCUUGACAGGAUAAAAACCUAGACUUUUCCCAUUUUUAAGUGCGGGCUAGUUUUAACAAUUACGACUAGUCAAGUACACCCUACACAUGCACAUCUAAGAGUAUAAUAGCGGGAAGUAAAACAUGCAAGGUUAAAGUAGAGGGUAAGGUAGGGAGAUCAAACACAAAGGUUGACACAUUGAUUUUUGGCAUUGUUCCGGUAGGUGGCGCUAUUGUACGUCCAUGUUAGUGGAGACUUCAACCCACGAAGGGUAACGACGGCGAGAGUCCACGGAGGGCUCCACCCACAAGGGAUUCACGAAGAAGCGUCCUUGUCUAUUCCACCACUUCUUCCGCCCACACAGGACUAGCCUCACUCACGAUAGAUCUUCACGAAGUAGUGAUCUCCUUGCCCUUACAAACAUCUUGGUUCAACUCCAGAACACGAAGUAGGAGGUUCCCAAGCGACACCUAACCAAUCUAGGAGGCUUCAUCCUCCAAAAGGUAAUAGAUGUGGUAGAACGAUGAACUCCUUGCUCUUGUGUUUCUAAAGAUAGUCUCCUCAACACUCAAUCACUAUCUCUCAGAUUAGGAAGGGGUAGGAGAGAUUGAUCUUGUGGAAAGCAACUUGGGGAGGCUAGAAAUCAAGGUUCAAGGUUGGAAUGGAAUCUCUUGAUCUCAACACAUGAGUAGGUGGCUCUCUCUCAGAAAAAUGGAUCUCGCAAGUGUAUGUAUGUGUUCUGAGUGCUUCCUCUACUAAUGAGAGGUAGGUGGAGGGGUAUAUAUAUGCAUCCCCCAAAAUCCAACCGUUACAACAUUAUUGCCCAACUCGGUGACACCGAAAUGAAUCUUGGUGGUACCGAGGUGCACUAAAUGUGGCAACUUUUGAAUUCUCGGUGAGACCGAUAUAGAAAUCUCGGUGGUACCAAUAUGAUGACGUUGACCAGUUUCCAAAUCUUGGUGAGACUGAAUUGAAACUCGGAAAUUCUGAUUCAUGAAAUCUUCUCAACAAAAAGUUGGUCACUGAAUCUCGAUGGCAUCGAUAGGAAUGUUGGUGGUAACGAGAUGGUGGGGUUUGGCAUAGGAUUGUCAAGUGUAAAAUUGGUAAGGCCGAAUGGAAAUUGUUGGUGGUUCCGAUUUUGCUGAUAUGGGUUUGGACAGAGAUAUUUUGUGGGAGAAUAGGUGAGUAUUUUUGGUGGCUACCUCUAAGCACUUGAGCAACCAAUUCAUCAUAAUACCUCAUCCCCUUUUAAUAGUAUUGGCUUUCCUAUGGACUCAAAGAGAUUUCUCACAAAGUAUAAAAUGAAGAAUCUUCUUGCUUGAAGGUUGAGCCAAUCCUAUUCCUUCCUUCAUCAAGGGGCAUCUCCUCACAAUCCUAUAGCCAAAGCAUCUUUGAUUUUUUUUUAAAUAUACUUGGAUAAACUCAUUAGUCCAAUGAUGCAUAUGUUGUGAUUAAUUACCAAAACCACCUUAGGGAGCAAUUGUGCUUUCAGCCUUAGACAUCGUUCAUCUAGCAACGUCGAUGGAGGCACAAGAAUUGACUAAGGAUGCGAACGAAAGAAGGAAAGGUGUAAGUGCAUUUAGUGCCUUGUUUGUGUUUGUGUGUAUACAUAGGUGAAAGUCCCUGAUUUUUUAACCAAUUAUAGUGAACCCUAUAAAUAUGUUAAUGAAACCUUAAGACAUUGGUGCGUGGCAAAGGAGCACAGCAUGAAUUCUUAGAUCUUUAAUAGUUGCUUUUAAUUUUUUGGGGAUCCUAGGGCAAUUCAUACUGUUAAGGGGGUCCAGACGAUAUGAAGACAUCAUUUUGCAAAGUGUGCUCAACCCAAACCUAUUUCUUUGAAUCCGGACUUUGGAAAUCUCAUUGGGUGCAUGAUCAUUUCCUUUAUUGUCCUAGAUGAUAUUCCUCCGGGCACUAUAGUGAAAGCCCUCUCCAAAGAGUUUGGAAACCAUUAGCUUGGUUUUCCUACCGUGAGGAAAUUGAGAGUUUCCCCAUCUGGUAACAACACGUUGGUGGAUGCGUCCUUUUCAAUGGUCAUAUCGGUUCUUGGGUUGCGACCUCGACUAUAAAUAGCCACUCCCUCCAUCAUAAGUUGGUUGGUUGCUUCGUGUGAAAUUUAGACGAGUGUUGUAUAAGAAAUCCAUCAUCUCGAUGAGUUCGAGUGAAUUCUAAGUGAGGGAAAACCUAGUGCGUGAUAGCUUAAGUUGAUAAGCAUCGCCAAAGAACCUGUCUGAGUUCACUCAAGACUUGUGUCCUCUUUGAAGAUUUUGAUGUUUUAGGCGGUUACGUGUGGGAGCAUCCAAGAGUAGUUGAGGCGAUAACCUACCUUGAAGAUUGUUUGGAGGUAUGGUUUGAAAAUGUACCUGCGAGUGAUUGGACGAGGUCUAAGUGAUCUCAACUCAUGGAGAAUGGGGUGAAGACUUGGUCUCCUAAAUUAAAUUUCAGCCUCUCCAACCAAACGUACAGUCAUCACAACACCUUGAACUGGUGCAACAAAUCGAAUGUCUUCACUGAGCCAAUGGUUCCAUUUUGCUCAUCUUUGUUUACUAUGAAUAAUUUGCAUGUCCCGAAGAAUUUGACCCUACUAAUAUGUGAAGACUUCAACUGUGUACUCAGCUAUUAACUCUACAUUCUAUUAUGCUUUGUUACUUAAAUUUUGGUUUAGUUACUUCUUUUACACGUUACCUAACGUUGUUAUGACUAUGUCUCGGUUUUGAUUGUAUGCAUAGCUUAGUUUUUCUUCAGCCAAUUUUAUUUUUGUUCUGUUAAUUUCAGUGUUCAUCAAAGAAACAGUUUUUUAGGAAUCUCCUAUUCACCUCCGCACUAGUCAAUUAAACGUUCCUACAAAUGGACGUGAUGUACACAAGGCGAUAUCAUUGGGUGACUACCGUGAUAAUUUAAAAUGUGGUGGCAAUGACAUGAGAAGGAUCCAUGCUAGGGCUUAUAAAGAUGUGGGGGUCAUGAACACCGACAAAUUUGCUAGGUACUUGCGACUUCGUUGGCCAUGGUUUGAAUGGAAGGAGCCCAACAAACUUUGAGUUGGGUUGGGAUACCGAUGCACCAAGGAAGACCUUGAUUUCUUCUAUGCUCCCACAACCAUCACGGUUCGGAACGGCACAAAAACUCCUUUCUAGGGCCCCCCUUGGUUGUUUGGCCUCAAUCCCAAAGAUGUCGCUCCUCUAAUGUAUGAGGCCUCUAGAAGACAGAAUUGGAAGGUGUGCGAGGCUCUCCAUGGGGACGCCUUGAUGACAAAGAUCAAGACCGACAACAUCAUUUCCGGUGAACACAUUCAGGAGCUUUUCUCCCUUUCGAUGUUUGUUCACGACUUCCAACUUGAUGAACAUGUCGAGGAUGACAUUGUUUGGAAACACGUUGUUGAUGGUAUUUACUCGACGGCAACUGCGUACAAGUUACAAUUCCUUGGACUGGCGCUCUCCCCCAUGAACUUUAUGGUCUUCAAAGCAUGGGCCCCACCAAAGGUUAAAUUCUUUGCCCUACUAGCAUUGCAAGAUAGGAACUGGACUGCCGACCUCUUGGAGCUGUGUGGAUGGGAUAACUGUGGUCUUUCCCUCUUUGUGAGAGGGAGCUCGAAACGGGCAUUGACAUAUUCAUCAACUAUCGCUUCUCUAUUCGACUUUGGGGUUUGGCCAUUGCAAAAUUCGGGCUUCUACAUGUGGAAACAUCCUGUUGUCACCUUGAGGAGUCACUCAUGAGACGGUGGGACCAAAGGACCGACAUGCAAAAUCCCAAUAGAUCAACCAUGGCUUCCCCCACCAUGCAUGUUUCGAGGAUCAUUUGGAAUGAGCGAAACACGACAAUCUUUCGUCACAAGAGUGCUCCACCGCAAAAUUUGCUCAAGGGCGCUUUGGACGAGGGCAACCUUUGGGUUACCGCCGACGCUAAGAAAUUAUGGCAAAUUGUUCUAUGUGAGUAAUUGUCAGGGCCUGUUGUGCCCACUUAUAAAACUCUAUUCUUCCUUAAUUUAAUGGAUGAGGCAAAUCUUUUCCUUCGUUUUGAAAAGAAAAAAAGUAGGAUCCGUGCUAUGACGACAUCAACUUGACAGCUAGUGGUCGAUGGCGGGAGCAGGAGGGAGUUGGGCCACAUUUUCAUUUAUUUUCUAUCGAACCAAGUUGUCAUCGGAGAGCAACUUAUAAAAAUUGGAUUAAAUAUGCAUGGUUCCAGAUUCCGUGUUUAGACAUAACAGGCUUCCUAUUUCUUUACACAAUGACUCAUCGGGCGAUUCACAUACAAAUAACAUUAGCAAAUCCUAGCAUUCGAAGUAAGGACAAAUGAAGCACCGUAGUGACGUCUUGACAGAUUUGGGGGUUCAAAAACUGAAUUGUCACAAUCCACCUUGAUACCGAACGCAGUCUAAAUCGCGUGUAUAUAUACGCUUGGAUUUGGAAGCCACAACAAGGACGUCGAUGGCGACAAACGCACCUAAAAAAAGGUCCAUACGCGUUCCAGGUAGUAAAUCUCAACGCAGUAGCUCGCCUAACUCAGCGCACACCAUCUUUAAAAGAAAAGGAGAAAAAAAAAAACACGUUCCCACCGUGGCUGAGGGGCGCAGAAAUGCUCAGACCGCGAAGGACCGGGGGUUUGGCAUGCCCCCAUGCAUGAGUCGGACCGGUAAAAAACCACAGACGGCGCGGCGCUCACCGUUUUUUUCGGUGAGCAGCACGAGAGCUACUGCGUGCCUCUCCCUCCGGCCCAGCCACGAGGUACUACUUCCUCCGUUGUCCGUUUGCAUAACCGUUGGGAAUGCUCCUUGCGGCAGUGACAGCUAGCCCCCGACGACAGGCAGAGUCUCCCCCUGGGUAUGCCCACCAGGAUUUGGCUGCCGGCCCCACCCUAAAUUUCCACUCUCGAUUCAGCUUGUGCUCUUUCACAAAUAAAUAAUACUCCCUCCGUUCCAAAAGAAAUAUCGUUAAUUUGAUAUAAAUUUAUACUAACUUAAUAUAAAUUUUAGGACAUUUAUUUUAGGACGGAGGAAGUAGUAGUACCUAGUUUUCGUAUGAAAGUUGAGUGGGCCGCACAAGCACAAAAUUAGAGAGUAGGGCGUUUUGGAGCUCGGCCUCUAUGAAGUCUUUUAUUUUUAAAAUAUUCAAAAUUUCAACUUUCUGAUUUCAAAAACAUUUGAAAAAAUAUGCAAGUACAAAAAGAUGAAAUGUAUAUAUGUGUGUAAAAAUCAGUAUGAAAUACUUUUAGAUGUGAUGUCUGAAAAAAGAACAAAUCCGUAUACUUUUGAGAUGAAUAGUAUCAUGUGUUAAAAACCAUAAAUCUGUCUUUUUUACACAAACCUUAUUUCAACAUAUUUCGUUCUAAAAAUUUACAUACAUAUGUGCCAUGUCUUUAUGUAUAUCUUUAUUUUUUCUCAGAUAUUUUGAAAUAUAAAAAUAUGAAUUUUGAUGAAUUUUAAGUUUUUUAAAAAUCAGCCUACAUGAAGGCCGAGCUCCAAAAGACAUUUUCUAAAAUUAGACUAACAAAAACCUCUCGCAAGCUUUGAAUUUCCUUGGAUUUCCUAUUUUCUAGUUGUAUUUUUAACAAAAGUGAGUCAUUAGGCCGGAUAGGGAUUGUUAAUUAGGCAAGUACUCCCUCUAUUAACUAAUAAAAAAACAUUUAGAUCAUCACUACAAGCGUUUAGAUCAUUAAAGUAAUACUUGUGGUCUUGCUGUUGUGUGUUGGGCAUUGUGGAAUUGUCGUAACCGUGCUAUCUUUGAGAACAAAAAAUUGAGUUCCCCCUUCGAUGUGAUAUAUACGGCUUGUGGUCUCCUUACAUACUGGACAGGUUUACUGGCAGGGAAAGAUCGGGAGGCUAUGGAGCGAGGGGCUAAGAUGCUGAAGAUCAAUGCAACUAACUUGAUGUGAAUUUGUGCUGCGCCAGAUGGUGCACAGUGAUGAUGGUGCAUGGCUUCUGUGGUCAGGUGGUUUUAGUUUGCCAUCCCCCCCCCCCCCCCCNNNNNNNNNNNNNNNNNNNNNNNNNNNNNNNNNNNNNNNNNNNNNNNNNNNNNNNNNNNNNNNNNNNNNNNNNNNNNNNNNNNNNNNNNNNNNNNNNNNNNNNNNNNNNNNNNNNNNNNNNNNNNNNNNNNNNNCCCCCCCCCCCCGCGUGGAAGUAUUAGUUGAUUUCAAAGUGAAUCAGGCUAUGUUCUAUGUUGGUGUUAGACUUGUUUUCAUGUAGUGUGACUGGUGGAUUUUAGACUUUUUUUUUCGUUGCGGUGGAUAGGUGUUUUUGGGUUUUCGCCCUGCGGUAGGCUGCUCGAGAACGAGUGCCUACGGUGGGUUUUUCAAAAAUGCUUUGAACUCGCUCCCCUUUUUUAGUUUUCUUUUGUCAAACUUUGUAUUUCCGUUAUGAUAAGUAAUGGAAAGGGGUUUGUCCGGUUUAAAAAAAGUAAUGAUAUAAACGCUUUUAUAUUAGUUGACAGAUGAAGUAUAUUUUUUCUAUAAUGGAUAAAGGAUCACCGACCAAAACAGUGGAGAGACCGGCAAAAGAGAAUGCCGCGCGUAGGGUAGACACAGGGUUCCAAGGAAAUUAUAAACAUGACACCAUUUUUCACUUCUUUUCUUCCCGACGAUGAUGAUGGAAUAAACAUCUGUACAAAUACUACAUACACCAGAAGCCAUUGGCAACACAACAAAAGGAAAGGAGGUGGGGGUGGGGUGGGGGCCUUUCUCUUGUGUGUCAUCAAAUCUUAAAAAAGGCUGGCCCUGAUCCGGUCUGUUAAGGAGGGCAUUUUUGGCAACCUGGCGGGUCCCAGUCCACACACAGGCCAGGACAAAAGGUUAGUGAUUCUUGGCUCUUUCUAUCACUUGGACUCACAUAUGUACACUAGAGGGUGAGGGGCGUUUGGGUCAUCCUAGCCAGGCUUGUCCUAUGACUAUGAUUUUCGUUGGAGGGCCAUCCAUGGUGGUGACCCGCACCUCUUCCUACCCUUCUUCUUUCCUAGUCUAGUGGAAACAUCUCCUUCAACUGUCAGUUUUGACACAAGGAUUCGGUGCUGGGACAGGGAGAGGAACCCGGCGACGGCCGCGAUGCCAGCGGGCGGAAGAUCAACGGCGCCCCGUACUGCGGGUAGAGGAGCAUGAGCACCGUGGGCGCGUGCACAUAGUUGGGCGACGUCCGGAUGUCGAACCGCUGCAGAAGGAUGGCCAUGGUGAGCUUGGCCUCCAGGCGCGCCAGGUUCUGGCCCACGCACAUCCGGGACCCGAGCCCGAAUGGUAUGAAGGCCAGCGGGUGCUUCGCCGCCCUGGCCGCCCCGUUGGCGAACCGCGCCGGGUUGAACUGCGCCGCGUCCUGGCCCCAGUACCGGGCGUCGUGGUGGAUGGCCAUGAUCGGGAUCAGCAGCUCCAUGUCGCGCGGGAUCAUGCACCCGUCAGACAGCCGGACGUCGGCCUUGGCGCGCCGGAUGGUGGCAACCGCCGGCGGGUACAGCCGGAGCGUCUCGUUUAUGAUCAUGCCCAGCUGUCGUGAGAAACACAUGGAACAUGCACUGUGUGUCAGCGCGCGCUUAAAGAAAAAUGACGAGAACGCCCUUCUGCCUGCGGCGAGUUUGAAAUUUCUCCUGCAGAUGGCGAAUCGGAAUCGAGGUGGCAGAGUUGCGCUGGGACUGGGACUGGGACGUACCGUUUUCAGCUUGGGGAGGUGCUCCUUGGAGGGAUCGUCGGAGCCGCAGACGUCGAGGACCUCGCGGCGGGCGCGCUCUUGCCACUCUGGGUGCAUGGCCAGGAGCACGGUGGCCCACGUCAGGAGGUUCGUCGUCGUCUGCUUCCCGGCGAAGAAGAACGUCUUGCACUCCUCCACCAUGUCAUGUACCGGGAUCGCCUUGCCCACCGGCGCCCGCCUCGUGCUCUGGCUGGCAUUGAUCAUGAGCCCGAGCAAGUCGCGGAAGCUCCCGGUGCCGGCCUUCUCGCCCUCGGCUUCCACGGCGGCCGCCUCGUCGCUGCGCCGGCCGAUGAGCCUCGUCAGGCUCCGGCGAAUAUCUCUGUCCAGCUUCCACGACAGCCAGUUCUUCUUGGUCGGCAUGAACCGGUAGCCUGGGACGAGGACCUUGCGGAACGCCUCGGACGCGAAGGCCAUGAGCUGGCUCUGCAUGGCGAACACCACGCGGCCGUCGUUGUAGCUGCCGCCGAAGGUGGCGCGCGUGAUGGCCUCCUCCGUCACCUCCUGGAACCACUCCGCCACGUCUACUUCCACCUCGCCGCUGCCGUCCGCCGCCGCCAUCUCUCGCCACUUCUCCGCUAGCGCGGACACGGACUUGCCGACGUGCGGCACCAGGCGCUGCAAAAUCAAAACCACAUCGCAUGUUGAGAGGCGCCAGCGCGGCCACGGACAAAAAGGAAAGGAGAACAGAGGAGCAGCACGGCGCCCGUACGUUGAGGUUGUCGGGGUAGAAGGCGUCGCCGAGGACGCGGCGGUGGCGCGCCCACUUGUCCCCGUGGAGGCUGACCAGGCCGUCGCCCUCGAGCUGGCGCACGACGGGGUGCGCCUCGUAGCGGUCGAAGGCGUCGGCGCGGGUCAGGAAGAUCUCCCGGAUCAGCUCCGGCUCCGCUACCGUCAGCCGCGGCGUCGGCCCGAACCAUAUCAAGAACGUCGGACCUGCAUCGUCACCAAAACCAUUAAUGGUGACCCAAAAGGACGGGAAUUGACAUCCGACGCAAGAAGCACAGCAGUGGCAACCGAGGGAGGGGAAACAGAGGUGUCUGCGAGGGGGAAGAAGCGAAGUAAAUGCCAUAAACCCCAUAUGCGCAAACGAAAGAGAGACAAGCUAGCUGAGCUGACAACAAGAGACAAAAGCUGAGCCCUGGCCACAAACAGACGCGCGGAGGGAGAGAGAGAGAGAGAGAGAGUGAGCAGCCAAACGGAAAAUCGGACAGCGAGGGAACAGAUCAACAAGCAGAUGCAACUAAAACCGCCCAAAAAGAUGAGCAAUUAAGCCACGCAGGGACGCAGACGGAUGAUGCUGGCUGAGAUACUAUUCUUGUACAACACAUGCGUAUAUAUGUGUGUGUUUGUGUGUAUGUAUGCAUGAGCGGCGGCGAGGAGGGAGGGACGCAC
rnacentral:lncRNA from 1 species